rnacentral:lncRNA from 1 species
AUUUUUUUUUUGUUUAAGUUCAUGUACAAAAUAUCUUUUAUAUUUGGUACACGGUCUUGAACCAAAUAACAUUUUGAAAAAAAUAAUACAAGAUUGAUAAUUGAUUGAAAACAAAUAUCAUUCUUUCAAAAAAAUAUAAAAGAAAAAUUGUGUAAGAGAGAAGAAAGAAGAUGGAAAGGAAGCCACCCAAAAUUCAAAAACGACCAGAAAACUUGAAAUAUUUAAACCCUAAACCCAAUCUUACCUAUUUAUACUAUUACUUAUUUGAAGAUUUUUUAUUUAAUUUAUUUGUUUGCAACCCUAUCUAAAUAUGAUAUAUAUUGCAUACAAUUAUGAUAAUAUUUCAACUAAACUUUCUUUUCGUCUUUUUUUUCUUCUUCUAGGCAAAUAUUGUCGUAUUCCUUUACGUCGUUCAUCCCCGUAGAAAUAUAUUAUCUACAAUAUUUCAAAUAAUCUCUAUCUUCGUCCAUUUUUUCUUCUUUCGGUAAAAUCUUGUAUUCCUUUGUUGUUCAUCUUCUUCAUAUUUUCCUCUGAGUUUAUAUUUUUCUCAUCUAUAUUUUAUUAUAAUAUACAUCAGUAUUUUUUGAUGAGUUUAUAUUUUUUUCAUAUAUAUAUUUUAGAUAUGACCAACAUUACAAUAUAUUAUGAUAGUUUUUUCAAUGAUUCAGACAAGUAUAUUAGUUACAGUAUAUCAAAAACUUUAUUUUAUGAAUAGAUGUUUUUUCAAGAGUUAUACAAUAGUCUUAUAUCCAAGUUAGAUAGUUUUCUUAAUAUGGAUAGUUUGGAUAUAUAUCUUUGCUUAGUUUCUAUAGAAUGUCUGAAAGAGGAUUUAGCCUAUUACCAAUGCAAACAAUGUAAAAUGGGUUUAUCACGUAGUGGCGGAUCUAAAAAAAUUAUUGACACAGAGCUUUAUAGUUUAGUCAAAAUAAUUUAUAAGUGAGUGGUUUUAAAAAUGGAUAGUUGCAAAAUUUAGCUAUUAGAUUCAAAAUAAUUGAGUAUAUAACAACAUUUUAAAAAAUUUGCAAAUAUAACAAAAUUUGUCAAAUUCUAUCAACGAUAGAUCAUGUUGUAAAUAUUGGUCUAUCACUAAUAGACCAUACGAAUCUAUCAACGAUACAAGUCUUAGUUUUGUUAUAUUUGCAGUUCUUUUAAGAUGUUGUUAUAUACUUAAUUAUUAUUCCUAAAAUGACCCUCAAUUAUAAAUACCUUUUAAAAAUUAAUAAAUAAUCCAACAAGUUUACUUAAGAUCCAUAAAUGUUUUCAAGAAUUAAUAAAAUAUGUAUAAAACAAAUGAACUAAUACAAAAAAAAUAAGAAUGAUUUGAAAUAUGAAAACCAAAUGCAUAUAAAUAAAUUACAAAACUUACCUCAUAAAUUAAAAAAUAAAAGAUAAAAUUGAAAAAAAAUCCAAAAAAAGUUGAAAUAUAAAUUUUAAAAACUAAAACAAAAACAAUAAUAAAAUAUUAAUACUAAGGCAUAUAAAUAAAGUAACAAACUUAAAAGUAAAAAAAAAAAACAAACAACAAAAACUUACAUGACAAUCUACCAAAAGAUGUUGAAGAAGAGAAAAAAAAAAAAAAAAUUUAAAAGCUAAAAGAAAUUAAUUUGAAGACUUAUAAAAUAAAAAAAUAAAUGAAGUUGAAUAGCUAAAUUAUGAAGCUGGGAGUUGAAAAAAAUUAAAAAGCUACAAAAAAAAAUUAAAUUGAAGUUUUAUAAAAAAGAAAAGUAGUUUUAAUUUGAAUGAAGUUGAAUAGUCUACUAACUUUAAUUUUGGUGGUAAAGAGUGGAUAAUUAUUAUUUCUUAGAUGAAAAUCGAAUGAUUGUAAUUUGGGAAAAAAAGAAAAUUUUAAAAAUUAUUAUUAAAUAGGUGGAAGGGCGACAAGUAUUAAAAGUUAAAUAUAUUUAUUUACAUAUAUUAUGUAAGACGAUAAAAUUGAGAGGGACUUGAGUCCCGUGGACUUAUACGAAAUUUGUUGGUGUUACCACAUAAUAACAUCAAAUGUAAACCAACACAUUGCUCUCAUUGUUUAUUUAUUGGCUGCUACACACUAGACCUUCCAAUUCAUUGCCAACAAACAUUUAGGCAUAUGAGAGCCGUUUUUUCUUUAAAAUAUUGACAUGUCCAAGAUUUCUUCCAAUUUUGAAAUAAAAAACCAUGACUUUUUUUCAACGAAAGCUUUGUUGAAAAAAAUCCUUGCAAGUCAUUGCCAUUGUAGACAAUUUUCAAUAUCGUACUAUUAAAUCAAACAAGUAAGUUUUGAUUUUGCAAAGCAUAUUUAAAAAUUGUUUAUAGUCAGUACGUGCUUCAUUUUGUUUCCAUAGUGACAUAUCUUUAUGAGUUGUUAUUAGGUUUGAUGGUGAACAUACAUAUACUCUAUAGAUGUUUAUUUAAUAGAUUAUUGACAAGCUACUUUUUAUGUUAUCAAAUACCUGAUAAAGAAGAAAAAUAAGUAUAUCUAGGUCGGAGUUGAGACUUCUAAAGAUAUAGUACAUUAUAUUCAUUGUGAGCAUGGUUUGAACAUCAGUUACCUAAAAAGUUUGGUGUGCAUGCGAAGCUGCUUUCAAGAAGUUAGAGGAUCUCUUAGGACUCGUACAAGAUGUUACCAGCAUUUACGUACAUGUUGAAUUUGAACAACCCAUGUGUAUGUUCAUAAUAUAUACCCUUACAAAAACAAUAUAUAUCUAUGAUGUCACUUAUUAGACAUUAUUUGUUGAAUCAAUAUAUCCAUUUUUCACGUCCAUAGGUUUUUUUUUUUAUUGAAUACAAGGUUGAUGGUGAAGGUAGAUUCCUUUAUUUCUUUAUGGCAUUAUAUGCUUCAAUUUCUAGUUGGCAGCAUUGUCGUCUUGUUUUGUCCAUUGAUGGUACAAGUCUAAAAAAUAAGUAUGGUGAUACUCUUUUACAAUUAAAUUUUUAGACAGAGGUAAAGAAAUGACAAAUUGACGAGCGACAAGAUGGGCUCGUGACCUGCUAUAUAGGGACUCUACUCUUUUGCUUUUGCUCUUUACGUGUUUUUACAUGAUGCAACUGUUUGGAAUUUUAUUUUGAACUUAAUGAAUACUUUAUGUUUAUUUCUUUGGUCCAAACUAGGUUUACAUUUUCUAAUAUUUUACUGAUGUACCAAACUUUGCUUGAGAAACAUUUGUUUUGUAUUUAUUUAAUAAAGAAGUAAAUUUUGCUAUGUUUUAAAACCAUCCGAAAGUAUUGUUUAUUUUAAAGUAAUGAUCUCAACUUAGCUUGAAAAGUCUUGGGUCGUUACAUUUUUAGAGAGUCAAAACAAAAAUUUGAUGAUUUUUCUUGUGAUGAAUUAGAAUUAAAGACAAACAUCGUGAAAACCGUGAAAGAGGGAUAUGCUUCCAAUAGCCAAACCAAAGCUCUAUUGCUAGAAUAACCACCAUUAAAGUUUUUAUUGCCAUUGUUUCUAUUCUUAAAUGGUGAAUUAGAAGAAGAGAUUUACAUGGUAGAAAAAAUGGAAAGCUGACAAGUGAUAUGAAGCGUCCAUGAGACAUGCCUAAGUCUCACUUCCGCUUUUAAUAAUUAAUUUUUUUAGUAUUUGUGAUUUUAAACAUUUUAUUUCAAUAAUUUAUUAUUUAUUUUUAUCAUCUUUAAAAUUUGUAAAACUAGUUGCGGUAUGUUUUCAUGGUAUUUCACCGAUUUUGUAAAAUUUUGUUUUAUAAACAGUUGUUUGAAAGUUAUUAUAAUAAAGAUCUAGUUUUCUCCCAUUUUAAGACAAUGUCAAAAUUGUUAUUUAUCUUUUAGGUAAUGACCUCGACUGGUAUAAAAAGUUGGAUCGUUACACCAUACAUGUUAAUGCUAGUACUAUCAACAUAAUAUUCAAUAAAUUAUUAGACAAUAAUCAUCACGAUUUAAUGAUGAUUUCGUCUUUUUUUGAAAUAUAUGUUUGUUUAUGUCUUAAUUAUCAUUUUUACCAUUCUUUAUAUCCUAGUUUCUAAUUGCUUCCUAAGAUUUAAAAUGUUAGACGGUAAUUCCGUAAGUUAAAAGUUUGGUUUCAAUUUAGUUCCUAAAUUUCAAUUUGUUAUAAUUUUAUCUUUGACAUUUAAGUUUUGUUUCCUACAUUUCAAGAUUACCUUGAAUUUUCACUAAAUAUUAUUCACUUUCUUUAGUGACCAUGUUUAUUGAUUAAUUAAAAGAAUAACUAGUUAAAAAAUUUAUAAAACAACCAUUGUAAAUGACAAACUACCUAAAAUAUUUACAAAACAUAACAAAAUUUCAACUCUAUCAAUGGUAGACACCGAUAAAUAUUGAUACACUUCUAUUAGUUUCUAUCAAUAUCAUUGAUAGAUCAUCCACGUAAAAGUUUAUACCAAUACCUAUUACCUAGAAUGUUCGAACUCCAUAGAAUUAACGAUAGAACCUAUUUAACUAAUUAUGUAUGGAGAUGGCCGUUUUGGAAGAUUAAUAAAUUGCUUUUGUCCUUUAUGAAUUAUACCAAAAUAUGUAAUUUAUUAAGCAAAAUCAAUUUAAUGCUUAAGAUUUCACUUUUAAAGACUACUUUUAUACCAUAAAAAUUAAUUUAUACCAAAAUACUUUCAAUCAUGCCAUACAUAUAAAAUAAGAUUGAAACGUAUCAACACAAGUAUCCUACUGAAUCAUGGAAAAUUUCCUCAAAUAUGUAUAUAAUUAAGGAAAUGAACAUAGUAUUCAGAAGGGAAAAACAUACCCUAUUUAACAAUAUCCAUGAAUUAAUUACACAUCUUUUUCAAAACGUAUCAAUUAAAAUUAAAAAUGGUAUAAGUGGUUAGAUCUUUCUAGAUAUACAAAAUUGAUUUUGAUUGUAUAUAAAUGGUUCAUAUCCUAAAGGGUUAAAUGAAUCACUCACGAAAUUCUAAGGCAAUUUUUUAAAAAAUGAAGGCUGUGCUUUUUAUGUUCGUAAUUUUUGCAUUAUCUUUUAACAUUGACAAUUGUUAUGCAGCCUCCAAAAGAAUAGCUCCAUUGACAUCAUGGCAUGUGACCAUUAAGAACUCUCAACCAACUACUGCUUUGGUAGUUCAUUGCAAGUCUAAAGACAAUGAUUUGGGUAAACAAUUUACAAAAUUAUUACUUCGUUCAUUUUUUUUUUCAGUUUUUUAUAGCUUAUAGAUAAACUAUUUACUUUCUGUACGUAUUUGUUCUUGAAAUUUGACAUUUUUGGUUUAAAUCUUAAUUUAGUUAUUCAAAGUAUUGUUUUAUUUUAACCCGUUUUAGCAGCCAUUCAUUUUCUUGCUAUUGUUUUCAUCUUACUAUUUUCUUUUUUAGCUUUCAAACUUGGCUUGAUAUUUAUUGGUAGGAAGUGUGUAUAUAUGUAUCUCUCUAUUAUUUUUGUUAAUUAAAAUUGUGUAGUAACAUAAAAUUUUGAAUUUGCCACUGAUUUUAGGUCAGAGACUUCUGGACAUUGGGCAGUCAUUUGAUUGGCAAUUCGAGAUGGAUCUUUUUGGAACAACGUUGUAUUGGUGCACCUUUACUGGCGCAGUAAAGCAUGCUUCAUUUGAAGUUUUUUGGCAAGAGGAAACAGGUCAUACAUGGCUUGAAACUCAUUGCUCUAAUUCAGGUUGUGUUUGGGAAGCUAAAGAUGAUGGAUUUUAUUUGCUUAAUGGGUCUACAAAUAAAUUGGACUUUGUUCAUCCAUGGUCAUAAAGGCCAAUAUCUCCAUAAUAAAACCGAUGGAUAAUUAUUUUUUGUUUAGUUUUACUUUUUCAUUACUCGCAAUUGUACUUUUAGAAAGGUUCUAGAGAGGGAUCCUGAAGACUGAAGUGCACUGGCCUCAUCAUUAUGUCUCAGACAUCUCAAUAUUUGAAAUAAGAUUUAAUUUACUCUUAGUCUCUUGCCUCUUUCUCGGUUCUUAUCUAAAAAAGUCACAUACUUCAUUCCUCAUGAUCUUGAAUGCGCAUAAAUAGUGGUUGCUGUGACAACUAGCUUGGGUGAAAUAUAUUAUAUAUAUCAUCAUUCAAUAGCAUGACGAUGUACUAAAUAGUGUUUUUAAUUGAUUAAUUCAUUAGACAACUUCCUAAUUAAUCCUCAUUUUCUUCCAGUUUUUAUCACACAUCUUUUCAUAUUAGAAGCUGAAGGGUAGUGGUGUGGGUUCUUUGCUUUGCAAAUGCACAGCCCAAAUUUUCAUUAACAAACUCAAUUCAUGAUCAUACCACAGUAAUCUUCUGGAUCAUUGUAAGUCAUACGAAUAUAACUUCCUUCUGUAGAUAAUAGUGCACUUUCCACCUACCAUAUAACAUCAAAUAAUACUCAAAUUAGUAACUAAAUUAACUAACUAGUUAUCUUCAGAAAUGUUUGGUUAAACACAAGCAAAGUUUAACUAGAAAAAUGAAGAUUGUACUAUUGAUGUCAAAGUUUAAGGUUUGAUUUGUUGGAAAUGCAACCAAAGUUUCACAUUUGGCUAAAUGAGAGAACAUACAAUUAUUUCCAGUAGCAUGAGGCAUUUGUAGGUGAAACAAAAAGCAAAGUCAUGAAAAUUUAUGUCAAAAGUUGAUAAAACCAUCUAGUAGCUAGUAUCUCUAGAGGUUAAUUUUAAACGAUUCCUUAUUCCGUUAUAUUGUAAAGAAAAAAGUUGGUAACGUAGGUGUUUUAGGCUAGGAUUUUCCCUACCUGAAUCGAUGAAGGUGAAGAACAAGAUCAUUGCAGCUAAGAGAGCAAAUGUGAUAGGAAACUUCAUGUUCAUGAUUUUGAGGGAUGUUAAUAACUUGGUUUGCUUUUUAGUUUUUCUAGCCGAACGCUCCUGUAAUUGAGGUUAUUUGUAGGUUUAAAGUAGAAAAAGGUCUAGGAGAAAAGGAAGUAUGAAGAUAUAUGUGUAAAGGUAACUUAGCUUUGCUUUAAAAAAGGGGAAAAUAAUAGAAAAGGUAAGAAAAUUACUGUGAAAAUAAGAUAUGUAUGAUAUUUGAAAAUUUUGGGUGGUUGUGAAAACUUAAAAUUAAUGAGAAAAUCAUAAUUAGAGUUUAAUUUGACAAAAUGAGAAAGUUUGUAAUCUCACAUUUAGAGUUUCAAAUGUUCCAACCACAUAAAUUAUAAAAAAAGAAAAGUUAAUUUUUUUCUUAAGAAAUUUUUGUCUACAAGUAUUAUCUAAUUUAAAUAAAUAAAAAAAAAGGUCAACUAGAACAAUAGAAUUAUCAAGUUUCUAUUUGGAAAAAUGACAAACCUAAUUUGACAAAAAAAGUUAAAAAUAAAAUAAAUAGAAGUUGGCAAAAGUCCAUCAUACCCCCCAAAUAUUUAGCAUGUUAGCUACCUUAUGCAACUGAAAGAAUAUAUAAUUACACUUUAAUAAAAACUAACAUUAGAGCCUAAUUAAUCAAACAAUCUCACUAAUCAAGAUGUUUUUUAAACAACCCACCUAGAGUCUUCAUCUUCAUCACUUGCGAUCUCCAAGCCUCCAUCUUCAAGCUCGUCGUCUCCAAUCCUUCAUCUUUCAUCGUCAAGCUCAAUAUACAAUGGUCUUCACAAACUCACCAUUCCAUCUCCAUAACAUAAAAAUUUGUACCUAAAUCAUCAAGCUCACAAUCUAUAAACCCAACGUCACUACAAGAAAUCGGAGUUAUCUCGACGUAGACUUAGGUGUCGGGAUAAAAGACGUCGUAAGAAGAAGCUUUCCCAACGCCGUAAAAAAGGUGUUGGCAUUGAGCAUAUAUGCCGACAUCGACUUGAAGAUGUUGAGACAACAUAAGCCUUCCACGACGCCAUGCACAAAGAUGUUGUAGAGACAUUUCAUUUAAAUAAUAAUAUAACUUUUUCGUUGUGCCAUGCAAGUACCCGUUGACAAUGUCCCAUAUGUGGCGUGUAUAUGCAUAGCGUCGACAAUUGAUCCGUCUACGAUGACGUUGGCAUUCACCGCGCCGACAAAGGUUGAACCUUUAAAUAAUCAUGACAGCCGUUCCUCGAAGCCAAGAAGUGUCACGUUGAGAUAGACCUACCUUUUGCUGACGUAGGGGUUAACCAUGUAACGAGAAAUUAUGAUGUUUGAAAGAUUUUUAAAAAUUUUUCACGACGCCCGUUGGUAUUUCAUAGAAAAAAAUGACACACUCAAUUAUGGCGACGCGGUUGGGGUGUUCUCAUGAUGUUUCAAGCUGCGUCGCGAGAACCCUUGUUAUUAAAGUUUCCAUGUUCACAGAACAUAGAACACAAAAUAGAGAAAAGUGAAAAGAGAAAGACGAAGCGAAAGAGAGAAGAGAGUUUGCCAUGCCGUCUUUCAUCCAUCGUCACCGUCGUCCGUCAAGUUGUUGCCUGUCGUCGUCACCAUCUGCCGCCCACCGUCCUAUCGUUUUCCACUUACUUCGUCAUCUCUACUGGUAAAAAUGUAGUAUUUGGUUUUCUUUUGUUUCUAAAUAAAUAUAUAUUAAUAUAUUAUAGAUUAUAGAUUAGGUUGUAUGUAUAUUGUAUAUUGUAUGUAUAACUUGUAGAUGUAUGUGUAGAUUGUAUUUUGCAUGUAUAAUUUGUAGAUUAUAUAUUGUAUUUGUAUUGUAUGUGUAGAUUGUUUAUUGUAUGUAUGUUUAUUAUUAAAUUUGUUGUAUGAAUAAGUAAAUGUUGUUAGAAUUUAAAUUAAAUUGUAAGUAUAGAUUGUAUAUUGAAAUUGUUGAAAGUUUUUUUUAAUUAAAAUGCAUAUUGAAUUGUUUAAGAAUCAAAUUAUAUGUAUGAAUGAAAUUUUGAAAAUUGUAAUAUGUUAGGGUUUAAAUUCAUGAAAUUGUGGUUAUGAUUGUUAUAGAGAGAUAUAAAUGUAUUGAAAUUGUUGAAUUUGAAAAAAUUUUAAAUUGUUGAUAUAGUUUAAAUACUUGAAAAACUUUAUUGAUUUGUUGUGGCUAUUUUGGGGUUGUAGUAGCUUGUAAUUUAUUAUUUGUGAAUAUGAUUUGUUUGUUAGAAGUAAGGUAGCCGAUAUUAAGUUAGAAUUAUGGUAGCCCUUAGUAUAUGAUAAUUUUUAGUUUAAACUUAGAUAUAGUGAAAGUUGGGAUAUUAAAUACUUGUGAGGUGAGACUUAUUCAUGGAGUAAAUUUAGCAUUUGAGAGGAUGAAUAUAAGACUAAUUACACGUAUUUAUGUUUUAAGUUUUUAACGAUGGACAUGUGUUAGAUGAAACUUGGGAAUAAGUUCUCGGUUGAGUAUAGAGAAAGAGUUUUUCAAUUUUUAGAAGUUGAAAAGUAUCACGCCAAAUGAGUACGAACGGACAAGGUUUCCAUGCAAAGAGACGUAUGAACUAAAAUUGAGACUCAUUAAAGGGUGUGUAGAGAAAUUUUUUAACCAUUGGAAUAUGGUCCUCCUACACAGAUUGGGUGUUCCAUGGAGAGCCAGUAAACUUGUAUAAAGGUAUAGAAAGAUUUGAUGCAGGAACUAGCAGUGACCCUUUCCAAAUGAAGGAACUAGCAGCGACCCCUUCCAUGAAGGAACCACUAGUAAUCCAUUUCCUGAAGAAAAUGAAAUAUUGGAUAUGUCGCAUGAUUUAAAAGCUUCGAUUGAAUACGAAGAAGAAACUGCAGAGGAAUGUUUGGAGAACGAUAUGUCGUUCAAUAGUGGUGUAGAAGAGGAGACGACAAAUAUAUUUUAGAAGUUAUUAAAUCAAGCACGUCGUAAGCUAUACCCCGACUAUUUAGAAUUUUUAUCCCUAAAUUUUUUGAUCACGUUGAUGCAUGUGAAGGUUAUCAACGGUUGGAGCAACAAGUCAUUCGAGAUGUUGUUAGAGAUAUUAAAACGUGUGUUUCCAAUGUGCAGUAUCAUCCCUAGCUAAUUAUACGAAGCCAAACAAAAAUUGUGUGACUUGAGCUUGUGAUACGAAACUAUUCAUGCCUACAAGUACGACUGUGUAUUGUACUGGAAGAAGUUUGGGGAUUUGAAAUAUUGUCCAACUUGUGGGGAGUUUCGGUAUAAAAUAUGUCCUAACAGAGGGAAAAACUUCUGCAUAAGGUAUUCUGCACUUUCCUUUGAUAUUAAGAUUACAACGAUUGUUUGUAUCGCAAGAGGGCUCGUCUGAUAUGAGAUAAACGAGUCAAAACGGAGGAUGUGUUAGAGACAUCCAACGGAUGCAGAAGGAUGGAAGCAUUUUGAUUAUGAAUUUCCUAAGUUUGCUUCAGAUCCACUGAACGUUUGUUUGAGAUUAGCUUCUAAUGGGUUCAAUACCAGUGCUCCUCUAAUGACAACAUGUUUAUGGUCCUACCAAUAAACAUAAACCCCUUUCGUGCCAUAGAGAGGGUAUGACAUUUUGUUCAAGUUUUAGAGACACCAUUUAAGAGAACACUCAUCUACUUACCCUAAAGUAGAGAAUGAGUGAAUUUCAUCUUGUGUAAUUAUGUUCCCAGCUCUCCACUCGGUCUUAUCCCCAAAAUGAUAAGCUUUUUGAGUCGACAAUCUAGUCACUAUAACCCAUACAAAUUAAAGGAUAGUCCCCUACGAACAGGAGUUCAUAAUACAUUCAAGAUUAAGACUAAGUUAUCUAGGUCAUUCUAGUGAAAUAGAAACCUAACUAGUUAACGGAGUUACAUCUAGUGGUUACUAUUUCGCGGUCUGAUCUUAUGCAAACUCAUUGCAUAGGAUACCCUCAUUCGCAUGUCAACUACACGAAUUCGUUAUAAAUCAUUGUGUUUGUAUCAAAUACAAAGUAUGUCGAAUUCAUAGUGUUACUAGGAUAAGGUACCAAGUCUUAUCUCUAUAUUAUAGACUCUUUAAGCUAAUAUCAAACAUUGAUCCAUGUAUGUCUCUACAUACUGUUCAAGACUCACUAAACAUUGAUCCCUAUUGUCACUUCUUGAAUGCAUGAGGCCUUAAACGCAUGAGGUCUUCCUUUCUUCUGUUUGACUCUUCAACUCUUUUGCUCUCUAAGAUUAGAGUCGACUUCUUAUCAUCCUCUUCUUUCUUGCUUUUCGCCACUAAGGCUGCUCUCUAUAGAAAGUCCCUAGGGUGUAAAGGUGGCACUUUCUUCUUUACCUAGAUUGCCUAGCUACCUCUAUUAGCAAGGGCGGAUUCAUUAAGGGGCCACGGGGGGACACGUACCCCAUCUCACAUUAUCAAUUUUUGUAUUUUAAAUAUUAGUUUUGAAGUAUUAGAUUACAAUAUUAAUGGUACACUUUGAUUUUAUCAAUGAUAAACAUUAAUAAAUAUUGAUACACUUUUAUAGACCGUCUAGGUAGAAAUACCAUAAAAAUUAAUUUAUACCAAAAGUACUUUCAAACAUACCUCUAUAAAAUAAGAUUGAAAUCUAUCAAUGAUAGACAUUAAUAAAUAUUGAUAUACUUCUAUAGAUGGUCCAAAAAGAAAUACCAUAAAAGUUAAUUUAUACCAAAAGUACUUUCAAAUACGUACAUAAUUAAGGAAAUGAACAUAGUCUCCAGAAGAGAAAAACAUCCCUAUUUAAUAAUAUCCAUGAACUUAAUUAUCCAUCUUUGCCUAAAUGUAUUAAAUAAAUUAGAUAUGGUAUAUGUGGUUAGAUCUUUCUAUAUACAAAAUUGAUUUUAAUAUAUAUAAAUGGUUCAUAUCCUAAAGGGUUAAUCACUCAAGAAAUUCUAAGGCAAUUUUUUUAAAAAAAUGAGGGCUAUGAAUAGUUUGUGUGUGCUUUUUAUGUUCGUAAUGUUUGCAUUAUCUUUUAACAUUGACAAUUGUUUUGCAGCCUCCAAAAGAAUGACUCCAUUGUCAACAUGGAAAGUGACCAUUACGAACUCUCAGCCAACUACUGCUUUGGCUGUUGAUUGCAAGUCUAAAGACACUGAUUUAGGUCAACAAUUUACAUAAUUAUUACUUCGUUCAUUUCUUUUCUUUCGUUUUCUAUAACUUACAGAUAAAUUAUUUACAAGUUGUGUUUAACUUUUGUGUGUAUUUUUUCUUUAAAUUUGACAUUUUUGGUUUAAAUCUUAAUUUAGUUAUUGAAAGUAUUGUUUUAUUUUAACCCCUUUUAGCAACCUUUCGUUUUCUUGCUACUGUUUUCAUCUUUCUAAACGAAUUUUUAGCCAAAUUCAUUAACAAGUUUUUAAAUACAAUUUUCUUUUCUAGCUUCCAAGACUUGGCUUGAUAUUUAAAACAUGGACUAAAACAUUGGCAGGAAAGUAAUUUUGUUAAUGAAAAUUGUGUACAUGAACAUUAUGUGUAACAUAAAAUUCUGAAUUUGCCACUGAUUUUAGGUCAGAGACUUCUGGAUAUUGGACAGUCAUUCGAUUGGCAAUUCGAGAUAAAUAUUCUUGGAACAACUUUGUAUUGGUGCACGUUUGCCGGUGCAGUAAAGCAUGCUUCAUUUGAAGUUUUUUGGCCAGAGAAAACAAAUUGGCUUGGAACUCAUUGCACUAAUUCAAACUGUGUUUGGGUAGCUAAAGAUGAUGGGUUUUAUUUGCUUAAUGGAUCUACAAAUAAAUUGGACUUCGUUCAUCCAUGGUCAUAAAGGCCAAUGCCUCCAUAAUAAAACUGGUGAUUAUCAAUAAUUGUUUUCUUUUGUUUAGUUUGACUUAUUCAUUGCACACACCUGCACUUUUAGAAGGCUCUAGUUUGAGGGGAUCCUGAUGUACUGCACUGCCCUCAUCAUCAUGUAUCAAACAUCUCAAUAUUUGAAAUAAGAUUUAAUUUACUCUAAGUCUCUCGGUUCUUGGCUAAAAAGUCACACAUACUUCAUUCCUCAUGAUCUCGAACACACAUAAAUAAGAGUAAUCGAUCUAUAACAUUAUAAGAGAAAUACCCAGUUGUAUCAUAAUCUCAUUGAUUCAUAUAUAUAUCAACUUUUACAUCCAAAAAUACAAAAUAGAAGGUUUCUAUGACAACUAGCUUGGGUAGAAUGUAUUAUAUAUAUCAUCAUUCAAUAGCAUGAAGAUGCAGUACUAAAUAGUGUUUUGAAUCGAUUAAUUCAUGAGACAAUUUCGUAAGUGAUUUUCAUUUUCUCCCAGUCUUAUCACUCAUCUUUUGAUAAUAGAAGCUGAAGGGCAGUGGUGCGCUCUUUGCUUUGCAAAUGCACAGCCCAAAUUUUCAAUCACAAACUGAAUUCAUACCACAGUCUUCUGGAUCAUUAUUGCAAGUCAUAUGAAUAUAUAUAACUUCCUUAAUUUUGUAGACAAUGGUGCACUUUCCGAUACACAUAUAACAUCAAAAUAAUACUCAAAUUAGUAACUAAUUUAACUAACUAGUUAACUUUAGAAGUGUUUGGUUGAACACGAGCAUAGUUCAACUAGCAAAAUAUAUAUAUAUAUUGUACUAUUGAUGCAUGUCAAAGUUUAAGGUUUGAUUUGUUGGAAAUACAAUCAAAGUUUCAUAAUUGGCUAAAUGAGAGAACAUGCAAUUAUUCCUAGUAGCAUGAAGCAUUGUAUGUGAAAACAAAAAAGCUGACGAAAUCAUACCAUCUAGCGGUAUUUCUAUAGGUUCAUUUUCUUUAACAUGAUUUCCUAUUCCGUUAUAUUGUAAAAUAAAAAGUUGCGGGCUAAUGGAGUUGUUUUAGUCUAGGAUUUUUCCUACUUGAAUCGAUGAGGGUACAGAAUAAGAUCAUUCUAGCUAAGAGAGCAAAUGUGAUAAUUAAUUUUCUUAAUUAAGUUUUUUUAUGCUAAUAAUUUGGUUUACUUUUUAGUUUUUCUAGCCAAAUCCUCUUGUAAUUGAGGUUAUUUGUAGGUUUAAAGUAGAAAAAGGUAUAGGAGAAAAGGAAGCAUGAAGGUAUAUGUCAAAAGGUAACUUAGCUUUGGUUAAAAAAGGAAAAAAAAUAGAAAAGGUCAAGAAAAAAUUACGGUGAAAAUAAAAUAUGUAUGAUAUUUGAAAAUUUGGUGUGGUUGUGAGAACUUAUGGAGUUUAAUUUGACAAAAUGAGUAUAUAACUCGGUUGAUAAAAUUUGUACUAUCAACUUCAAAUUUAGAGAUUCAAUUGUUUCAACUAUAUAAAAAAAGUUAUUUUUUUCUUUAGAAAUUCUUGUCUACGAGUAUUAUCUAAUUUAAAUAAUAAUAAAAAAAGUUCACUAGAAGAAUAAAAUUUUCAAGUUUCUAUUUAGAAAAAUGACAAAUCCAAUUUUAUGUUGCAAAAAUGGCAAAAAUAAUUUUAAAAAGUCCAUCAUACCCCUAAAUGCUACUUUCUGUCACCGAAAGAAUAUAUAUUACACUUUAAUAAAAACUGACAUUAGAGUCUAAUUAAUCACACAAUCUCAAUAACCAAGACGUUUAAAGAAAAAAACACCUACACAGACUCUUCAUCUUUAAGCACGGGAUCUCCAAGUCUUCAUCUUCCAUUUUUAAGCUCGAUAACUCCAACCCUCCAUCUUCGAUCUUCCAUCUUCAAGCUCAAUAUACAAUGUUAUUAACAAAUUCACAAUUCCAUCUUCAUAAUAUAAAAAUUUGUUCCUUCAUCUUCGAGCUGACGGUCCUACAAACUCUAACGUCGUUCCAUUUUCAAACAAAAAUUUUAUCUUAAUUAAAGCCACUGAAUGUAACGAUCCAAACUCUUAAACUAAGUGAGGUUAUUACCCUAAUCUCUACAUCUACUAUGUCACACCCCCGCCCGAACUACCUGAUAGCUUAGCCCGAGAGACGACGUGAAGCCUUUCGACAUCGCUAUCUUCUAAUGAUACUUGAUGACCCUGCUAUAAACAUGUUAGUCUUAUAUGUGAAAUACUUAACAUGUAACACAACACAACGAAUCAAUGAUAAACUCAUAAAUACACAUGAGUGCAGCCUUGACUUAACUUACUGAUAUGGAAAGUAAACCUAAUAGAGGCAUUCGUAAUCCAACAUAUAAUAAUUUACAAGAUGAAAUUGCUACAACACUUUACUAAUGUUUUACAAGGUCAAACAUAUAGGAUUAUACAAACACAUUAUACAACUCCACCCACGUACUGAAAAUCAAACUAGAAGCUUCUAAUGGACUGUGGCAAUGUAUCAGACAUUUGGAACUCCAUUUUAAAAGGGUGAGCUAUAAAGGUUCAGUAAGUGACUAAAUUUAAAAUUGUUAACCUAGAAAUCAUAUUGCACAUGAUAAACCUUUAAUUAUGUGUAAAUUUGUUUAAGCAAAACGUUAAAUAUGAACAUGUAGUGAGAAUAGCUUCCUCAAAUACUCAGCAAGUAUGUCACUAAAAUCUAGCAAGACAUUUCAUAUAUAUUAAAUAUUUUAACUAAUAUGACAAAUCUACGUUGUGUAGGGCUCGUUCAGUGUAACCAAUAUUUCAUAGCAAUACUAACUUUAUGAUGUAGUGUGCACGUCCAUCACCUCUGAAAGAAUCGUUGUCACGGAGUACACUCAACAUCAACAAAGAAACAUAUAAUCUGUGUGGACAUGAUACCAUACAGUCUCAAGCUCAAUACCACAAUCAUGUAGUCAAUAGAAAUCUUAGAAAAUCACAUGAAAACAUGAAAACAUGCUUGCUUAUCUUUAUCUUGCGUAAAACUCAAGCUUACUCAGCUUGUUCGUGAAAAAAUGGAAAUCUUAAAGCAAUACUUGAUAAUACAUACUUUGCUUAAAACGAAAUCAUUUCAACUACCUUGUCAGAAACUCAAUAAUCAUGUGCUCAUAUGUAAAUUUUAUUAAGACAAGUAAGUUCAAAACUCAUGCUUGAAAAAUAAUCGUACAAAACAAUGUAUCGUUCAUAAAUUUGAAAUCAACCGUAGUUGAUUUUAGAAAUCCUAAAUAAUAAUUUUAGAAAUCAUUUUCAAAACUUGUUUUGUCACUCACAGUCUCAAGCUAGUUUCCUGAUCGGUAAACUUGACUUAUUUCCUCUCGAUCGGUAAAACAAACCAAAAUCGAGCAUCAAAAUUCUAAAUAUUCUUGUCGUUAUAUGAUAUGCUUAAAAUAACAUAAGUAAGAUAAUGUACUAAAGAUGUGUACAUGAAUUCCAAUCUUAAGAAAUAAAAUCACAUUUUUACACCGUUUACCAUAAUUUUUCAUAUUCAAUACACAAACUUCAAACAUUUCAAUACUUAACCAAAAUGGGUGUACUUUUGAUUAAAUUCUUCAUAUUAAAGUCCUCUAUACUUAUUUGGAGGAACAAAGACCAGAUUCCCAGUGGAUUUAUCCAGAAAUUCUUCAAAAUAAAGCUAGUGUUAUGCAACCCUUGUGUCUUUUUCCUAAAAUUAAACUAUUUUCCAAUCAUAUUUGGCUCAUGUGAUCUACAUUAGGGAUGUAAGAAUAUGAGUUGAAUCCGAAUAACCCGAACUACCCAACCCAUAUUAUAAAGGUUGAGUUGGGUUACGUUAAAAUACAUGGAUUGGGUUGGGCUAAAAAAAUUUCAAUCAUAUUUGGCUCAUGUGAUCUACAUUAGGGAUGUAAGAAUAUGAGUUGAAUCCGAAUAACCCGAACUACCCAACCCAUAUUAUAAAGGUUGAGUUGGGUUACGUUAAAAUACAUGGAUUGGGGUGGGCUAAAAAAACAUUUUUUUAGGUUGGAUUGGAUCUCAGGUUGGAGGGUCGAAAAAUUCGGUUCAACUCAACACAACCCAAAUUAAUAUAAUAUAUAUAUAAUAAAAAAACAAAUUAGGUAUAUAAACUUUGAAUUUAUUGUAUGAAAUUUUGAAUUAUGUAUGUUUGAAAUUUAAAUGUAACAAAUUUGAACUUUUUUAUAACCAUUAGAAACUAAAAACGAAAAAGAAAAAAAAACUAUACAAUCGUAUAAUCAAAUUCAUAUUUUACAUGUUGGGUUAGAAACUAAAUUCGGGUUGUCAACCCAUAUAAUUCGAAAAUAUGAGUUGGGUUGAGAAUGUCUCACAACCCAAUCCAACCUAAUCCGAUUUCAUCCCUACUUAACCAGAUUUCAUCCCUAGUUAAAUGUUUCUAAAAUUAAAAAAAUUGGAAGAUAAGUUUCAAAGAAAAAAAAAGUUUAAAAAUCAUUUUAUUAACUAGCCUUAUUAUUUCUUUUGAUUUCUUAUUUCUUCCUUUCUAUGUUCCAUCCUUCAACCUUUUUUUUCUUUUGCUUAAUAGCUCAAUAAAGGAUCAUUUAGACAUUUUAGUCCAAAUUAAUAUAAUAUAUAUAGUACAAAAAUAAAUAAUCGCAUAUCACGUCCAACCAACCUUUUAGCGUUUCUUCUCAAAUUUCUCAAAUUAAAAUAUAUUAUUGCUAGCAAUUAUCAAAUAUAGUAGCUAUCACCUAAUAGAUAUAAGUGCUAUUAGUGAGGCUUUCAAUUUUAUAAAUGUGUUAUUAGUUGCCAUUAUAUCAACUAUCAGUGAUGACUUUUACAAGUGAUCGUCACUAAAGAGCAUACUUGACAUGUUUUUUUUUUUAAAAAAAUAUCAACUAACAGAUCAACAUUUGCUACUUGUACAAAUAUUUUAUUCUUGUGCUAUAUUUUUAGUAUAUUUUUCAAAUUGGGUCAUUUAUUUACUAUAACUCUCCAUCAGUUUAUUUCAUUAAAAAACAAACAAAUAAAUCUAAUUACAAAAUGAUUCCAUCUAUUAUAAAAACAAACAAAUAAAUCUAAUUACAAAAUGACUCCAUCUACCCAAUCUAACUCGUUUUUUUCCCAACAAAUGAAAAAAUAAUGAACCAGACUUUUAACAGUAAAGAAGAUGAAAUGGAAAAUGCGCAUAUGAAGCUGGAAACAAGAGAGCCUUCCUGAGGUAUAUCUUAUGUGAUAUUCCAUGAGUUUAACUUUAAGUAGAGACCGCAUUCAAUCAAUACUUACAAAUUACAAAAGAACUUUAAACAGAAAUUAGGAUUAAAAGCACCAAACAACCGUAAUCACUAUGUACAAUAAUAUACCCCCUCCCGAAAAAAGAAACGAUGGGUUCGCAUUUCUACAAAAUUUCAGUGGUUACUGAUGACUCCAGAACGGGGAAGUCCUAAGCCUACACUUCAAACCAAAGAAAAGAGCAGAGCCCCCUUCCCUCCACACACAAAGCUUCAGUCAAAUACCAAAACCAAACCCAUUUCCCAGUUCUUGGAACAUUCCUCACUUAUCGUGGUUUCGUGUCCUCACUUGAUUCCCUGUAUUCUGGCUUCAGCUCAUACGUUCCUUGGUGAACACCCUUGUUGUUGUAGACACAAAGGUCUUUAAGUAUUUCCUUCAUAUAUUGCUGCAAACAGAAAAAGAAAAAGAAAGAGUGGAUGUUUCAGGCUUUAAUCAAACCUCGUGGUAGCCUAACAAGAAGCAUAUUCAAGAUAUCAAUUACAACUGCAGUGUUUCAGGUGAGCAGUCCAUUUGCAUUUUUUCCAAAGAUGCAUAUUGCAUAUGUUUGAGAGAUGAGUGACCUUUUUCUAAAUGAAAAAUUGGGAGUGAUUUAUUUUUAUAUUCCAGAAUUAUGUUCAGGUCAGUAACAAACAAUGUAAGACUCUAGUCACAAGUUAAAAGAUUCGGCAUAAAACCACAGUUUCAUUUAUCUAUAUUUGUAUUUAUCGAUAUGGUUUCUAUUUUAUAUAAACGAAAUAAACUACAUGAUAAACUAUACAUGCAAGCUUAGUAUCUGAAAGGUGUACAAUCGAACUCUACCUUAUGAGAUCUGAAAACAAGAAAAAUUUUGUAAUUGUAGCUUAGCCCAAAGUUUAAUCUGAGGGAAGGAGUUUUUCACCCUUCCAACCCUUCGAUUCUAUAGACUGUAUUCCUUUUGGAUAAGUCAAUGCUCUUUCUUUGUUUCAUAAAAAUGAAAAUAGUAAAAUAAUAUAAAAGAACGAAAAAUAAGUCAAAGAUAAAUCUUACUUCAGGUUGGUCAGUCUCUUGAAUCAAUUGUUUUGACGUCCAAUAUGGCUGUCUUUCAAAAAGCUUAAAAAUAAUCUUCUCCAAUUCUCCACGCUCCUUUCUCAACCGUUUUGUCUCCGACCCCUUGCUCACCACUUUCUUCUUCUCCUGUACCAAAAUUAGCAUCUUUAAAAAAAUUCUUGGAAGCAUUUGGGCAAACUUCUGACUGGCUACGAGGGAAUGUAAUACAGCACAGGCGAAAUCAAAAUUUAACUUGAUAAUGAUAUCAAAGAAGAAAUGAAGGUAGUAUAAUUACUGCAGCUCCAAAUGACAAUACGUCCAUCCCUGGCAUAGGCCUCAUAUGUCCUCCUGUGACAUGAUCAAUCACCUAUAUAGAAUAUUUGGAAAUGUUAACCAAGAGAACGUGAGAACAAUAAAGAAAGAGACCAAACACCCAAGUACGCUGCAUAACACAAGUGAAAAAAGAAACCUGAAUCUGUCUGCUUUUGGUCAUAGACUUGUGAGUUCUUUCACGACAGAGUUUCCCAUACCUCUCAAGAUUCUGAUCAUGUGGCUUCAUGUCAAAUUUGUUCAGUAUUUUCCCUUCAAUGGUAAACUUCCCUAAAAUGAAAGAAGAAUUUGAAGCAUUUUCAGUACACCCACAGAGUUUAUCAGUUAUAUAUGUUUAUCCAGUAAAUAAUUAUAAAAAUUCAAGAUGAAAAAUAGAAGCUAUAGCUGCCGUGCUACAGAUUUCUAGCAGUUGACCUCUACUACACAACUUAUUGUUUGCCAUGUAAAGUAGAAAUUUUCAAAAUUGAUCAUGCUGAUAAUUAAAUACGAGUUUUCCAUACUAUAACUCGCUUAAUGAAAAUUUCCUCUACUAACAUUAUAAAACCUCAGCACCAUAUGCUGGAAAGAACUUAUAAAUGUGUCAUGACAACAAAUGAUUAAGAACUCUUGUUAAUACAAAUACGCAAUGUUUCUGCUGAAUUUGAUCAGUAACUGGCGCUAUGUGCAUUGAGAUAAAUUACUACAUCCCUAGCUGCUGAAAGAUGUUUUAGUUUUCAUCAGAUAUAGUAAUACUAUUCAUCCGUAUGAGAUCAGUAGUCCACUUUAAUAGCUUUCAGAUACAAUUAGUUUAUAAAAGACUCCAAAUAUUGUAAGGUACCUGACUGAGUCUCGACACGUCAGAUGUUGGACAGAAAAGGAAUUAAAGAGGAUUAUUGAAGGAAACAACACAGAAAGGGAUGGAACUUGGAAGGCUUAACAAUGAUGGUGUGGGUUCAACUAAACGCAGUCUCUCAUACGAACUCCCACGUAAAGUUUUUUUUUUUUCUUUUUUCUUUUUAAACAAUAAACACACUAUAAAUAUCCAGCAAGAAGUGCAUCAAGAGAUAGGCCCAAACCUCAAUUCAAAAGAGAUAAUAGAAACAAGCUGAGGGCUAUUGAUGAUCAAACUCAUGAUUUUACUAGUAUAAAAUGAUUAACUAAUAUUGAAUCAUACAAAUUGUGAAAUUAAUUCUUAAUUCGCAUAUGGUCUGAUUUUUGAAAUCAAUAAAAAUAGCUAUUCACAUCCAAGAUUGACGAAGAUGUCAAUAUCAGUUGAACACAUACUAUAAAUUCAAUCUCAAAUCACAAUCAGGUAAUAGUUCAUUCAGCUUAUUACAAGCAAACAUUUGAAACAUCAUAUUCAUGGGUCAUUUUCUAACGAGCAGGCCAGAGUGCCAUAAACUAACCUUGUGAUGACUCGGAAAAUACAGACAUUGGAAUGAAGUCUGUAGACAUAUUCAAUGAGUAGGACCUUAAUGCAUUUCCAGAGUCGGUGCUAGCCAAUUCCAUGGUGAACUAAAAUCACAGAGCCAUUGUUAGUUGAAGAAAGCAAAAAAUGGUUGUUGAUAUAAUUAUUCUCAUGUUUCUUCUUUAAUAUAAUAGCCAAUGUAAGAAGCCAUCCUUAAAAAAGGUUUCGGCCCAACUUGGUAACUAAUAACUGGUAGCUUUUUUCAAAUUUGCAAGUGUACCUUAGGCACAUAUAACUAAUAGUAAUAGAAGAAUAUUUUUCUUAAUUAGAAACUGAGCUUUUAUUGAAACAAAUGAAAGAAUGCAAGGAUAUUAAAAAAAAUUAAGUCCAAACAAAAGGAGCCAAUCAAUAAAAGAGGACUCAAAUCAAGCAAGAAAUGGAACUAAGAGAAUAAUUAUUUUUUUUUGAUAAGAGACAAGUAUAUUCAUAUAACAAAACAGAACAGCCUAAGGGCGAGGGAUGAGAGGGCCCUCCCCGGAAGAAGCUAAGGAACUAAGACAUAAUGGCCUUCCAAUUGUUGAAAAUCAUAGAAAGGCUAUAAUUACAAAAGUGUUUGGUGUAAUUCGUACUCCACCAAGAGGCUGUGUGUUGAACCACAGUCCAAAAAGAAUCAAAAGAAUUAAAUCUAUCGUCAAAGAUUCUGCUAUUCCUUUCUUUCCAAAUGCUCCACAAAAGGGAACGCGUCGCGCAUUUCCAUAAGAUGUUUCCUUUAGGGCUGUAACCUCUAAAGUUAAGACCUUCAAUCAUCCAUCUAUCAAUCUUGCUAGGAAGGCAAAGCUCCAAAUCGAAAAUACCAAACAGAGUGUACCAAGCUUUUCUUGUGAAGGGACAAUGUAGAAAUAAAUGAUCCAACGUUUCCUCAUCUUUAGCGCAUAGGCAACACAUCGAGGGGCUAAGCAAAGUGUUCUGAAUUUUUUUUUGUAGUUUCUCAUGGGUGUUGAGGCUUCUGUAAGCAAGCGACCAUAAGAAAAACUUCACCUUCUUCGGGAUUUUAUUCUUCCAAAUCUGACGAAUCAAGGGAACGGCAAUGUUGGGAGAUCUCUUAGUUAAGUUAAGAAAAGUAGAUUUUGUAGUGAAGUUGCCAUUUAUGUUAGGAAUCCAUUUAAGACUAUCAUUCCUUUCAGUGGGGGCCCACGAGUGAAGAAUUUCUAAAGCUGAGGCUGCAUUGGCAAUCUCGUUGUCGAGCAUAUUUCUUCUAAGGCCCAAAUUCCAAGAAUGAGUAGCAGUACACCAGCAAUCAGCCACAUAAGCUUCCUUAUUUAGCGCCAAAGAGAAUAAGUUAGGGAAUUUUUCUGCAAGUGUUUCCGCGACACACCAUUUAUCCUUCCAAAAUUUGAUUUUUGUUCCUUUUCCCAACACAAAAGCAGAAAAAUUGAAGAAUAUCUCCUUAUGCUUUAAAAUACCAGCCCAUAAUCUAUGAGAUUUUCCCCUGUUUGGAUUUUUGGUAGACCACCCAUUCUCAUCUAAACCAUAGAUGGCCACAAUUAAUCGCCUCCAUAAAGAGGUUUCUUCCUUGCUAAACCUCCAAAACCACUUAGUGAGAAGAGCAAUAUUCUUUUGCCUAAAAGAGCCAAUCCCAAGACCACCGUAACAAGUUGGGGCGGAAGUGCAUUCCCAGUUGACGAGAUGAGCAAUUGGAUUCGUAGAUCCACCUGUCCAAACAAACUUCCUGAUCAUCUGUUCCAAUCUAUUAAUAAUGCCAACUGGAGCUUGAGCAAGGGAGAAGAGAUAACAAGGGAGGCUGUUGAGAACUGAUUGCACCAGAGUUAGUCUACCCCCUUUGGAGAGGGAUACAUUCCUCCACCUAUCAAAUUUGUGUCUGAAUCUCUCUUCAAGAUUGUUCCACAUCUCUUUUCUAUUAUGACCCCUUCCAAUAGAGAAGCCCAAAUAUUUAAAGGGAAGAUUAUCAACCGAGCAUCCCGUAGAUUCACUAAAAGGAGCUAAGUCAUCAUUGCUAAGGUUAAUGCCAAUCAGGGAUGUUUUAGCUUUGUUAAGGGAAAGACCGGCUCCCAUAAGGAAGAUAUUAACCACCUUCCACCAGUUCUCUAGAUUUCCAUCCUCCCAGGAAGAGAAAAGAAGCGUGUCGUCUGCGUACUGAAGAUGGGUUAAAUCUUCUGUCAGGUUCUCAAAAUGAAAGCCUCUUAAACUCCUUUUCUCAUUACAGUAGUGGAUAAGGCAACUAAGAGCAUCUCCCACAAUCGUAAAAAGAAAAGGAGCAAGAGGAUCACCUUGACGAAUGCCCCUUUUAGCAAUAAUUUUCCCUCUAGGCCUCCCAUUGACAAUUAUGGAGAAAUUAGUUGUCGACAAGCAUCCCCAAAUCCAUUUCCUCCAUCUCUUACCAAAGCCUUUAAGUUUCAUGAUCAUAUCAAGAAAAGACCAAUCCACCUUAUCAUAAGCUUUCUCCAGGUCGAGCUUCAAAAGCACGCCUUUUCUGCCUCUUAAAGACCAUUCGUCAACAGCCUCGGAAGCAGUUAAGAUAGCAUCAAGGAUUUGCCUUCCCUCCACAAAAGCCAUUUGAGAGUCAUUAAUUAUCGAUGGAAGAACUUUUUUAAGCCUUGAAGCAAGCACCUUGGAGAUAAUUUUAUACAAGGAGGUAAUCAAGCUAAUUGGUCUGAAGUCACUGACACGGCCCGCCUCUUUCUUUUUGGGGAUGAGGCAAAUAUAAGUCUCGUUACAUCUUCUAUUAAUAACUCCGUUUUUAAAAAAAUCUUGGAACACCCUUACGAGGUCGGGCUUCAGAAUGUUCCAUGAUUUUUUAUAAAACUCUCCAGUCAUGCCAUCAGGGCCAGGGGACUUGAGACAACCCAUAUCAAAAACAGCUUCUCUAAUUUCUUUUUCGGUAAAAGGAGCCUCAAGUAAAUUCGAAUCCUGUAAGCUAAGGCCUCUCCAAUUAAGACCGUCGCAAAUAAACGGCGAGGAGACCCUUGUGCCAUAUAACAUUGAAAAGAAGCUAAGGAUCUCAUCCACAAUCUCCUUCUCUGUGACAAGAGUCUUCCCAUCAAUACUAACCAAGGAGGAAAUAAUACUCUUACUUUUGCGAGCCGAAACCCAUCUAUGAAAGAAGCUUGAGUUUUCCUCCCCCUCCCUAAGCCAAUGAAGCUUCGACUUCUGAAUCCACAACUUCUGCUCUUUCGCAAUCAAAUCAAGCAGAGCCCCUCUACAGUUUUCUCUUUCCUUCACAUUUGCCUCGUUGAGACAGCUUGACUCUUCAAGUGAGUCAAAAGAGUUAAUCUUAUCAAUCAGCACCUGUUUUUGGGAGAAAAUAUUACCAAAAGUCUCCUUAUUCCAACUUUUUAGUAUGGCUUUCAGACCUUUUAGCUUUUCCAUGAAAGAGAAUAUAGGCCAGCCAUCAGCCUCCAAACUGCCCCACCAGUUCUCAACAUUUUUAAAGAAAAGAUGAUGAUCCAGCCAAGCAUUUUCAAAUCUAAAAGGUGUGGGACCCCAGGAAUGAGCCCCCAUUUUUAAAAUUAUCGGAAAGUGAUCCGAUGUGGUACGAGGAAGUCUUUCCACACUUACUUCUCUAAAGAACUCCAUCCAAGGCUUGGAAAGAAGGAAUCUGUCGAGCUUUGAAGCAGCGGGCCUGACCCCUGAUCGGGACCAAGAGAACCUUCCGUUUCGGAAGGGAAUAUCCACCAGGUCCAAUUCCUCAAUCAGGUUGUUAAAACGAAGCAUACUUCUAGUCGGGCGAGUGUCGGAGCUCUUCUCAUUCAACCAUCUGACUACAUUGAAGUCACCCCCUACGCACCAGUUAUCGUUGCACAAGCCAUAUAGGCUAGAAAGCUCCAUCCAGAAUUGGUCUCUACGUUUAUAAGAUGAGGGGCCGUAAACACCUGUUAUCCAUCCACAGAAACCAGCAUUGAGUUUACAAUGAAUAGAAACAGAGAACUCCCCUUGAAUUGAGUCAUCUACCGUGAGUGAAUCCUCUUUCCACAAAAUAAGAAUACCACCCGACGACCCAUAAGCCUCUAAGGAAGCCCAUCCAACAAACCGACUACUCCAAACGGACUUCACCAACUGACGAUCGACACUGCUUACUUUAGUUUCUUGUAGAAUUACCACGUCUGGGUUGAAUUUCGUAAGCAACUCUUUCACAAUCGCUCUUUUGGGGCGAGCAUUAAUACCCCUUACAUUCCAAGAGAUAACUAACAUGGAUCACCCUCACAGCCCGGCUUAUUAUGAUCUUUUUCCGCUUGGGCUUCCCUUUCCCAACUACCUAGCAGUGCUUUGACUUCUCUAGUAAGCUUUUUGUUGUUGUUCGAGGAGGCCCCACCCUUCCUAUGUUGUUUCCCUUUUCUGGUUACAGCCCGAAUGCAUAGAUCAUAUUCAAGUAGAGCCGCUAUCACCUCCUUACUCAAUGGAAAAGGAUUCUGUAUAGAAGCUGCUGGUUCUAACUCGGUUAUGCUUUCAAUUUCGAGUAAUUCUUCAUUGGAAAAAGGAGGCUCACUGGUAUCCUCAACAGCUAUUAUCUGGAGACCCUCUUCCCUGCCUCUUUCCGUGGUGCUUACCUCGUGGAAGAGUCUUUGGACGUCGGAGGAAAAAUCCGAGAUGUGCUGCACUUCGUCGGCUUCAAGAGGAGCAAAUUUAUUUUCAGAUAUGAGGCUGCCCGGGCUAGAAAUAGAAACGUCCAAAGUUGGAUCUAUUUCACCAUGAAUGCGGUCUGAUAUGAACGUUGAGGUUGAUGAGUCUCCCCUGCCGUCAGGUUGGUUCGUGGAGCAGAUCACGCUGUUUUUAAAGAAAGGUCGAAUUUCUUCCUUUUCUGCAAAUUUAAUUUUGGUGGGCUUGGGCAGUUUUAGUAACAGGGGAUGAUUGGCACGGGUAGCUUGGGAGUUCUCUCUAAUAAAAAGCCCAGUUUGCUUUUUAGUAUUAGUGGGCUGUUGACUAAGGACUUCAUCCACUGCUAUGCCUUUCCCUUUUAAAUCAGGGAAGCCCACAUCUGAAAUGAGGCCCACUUCAUUGGUCAAGCCCAAUUUAUUAGUCAAAUCCAUUAGGGUUUGCUUGGGCGGCAAAUUUAAAUUUGUACCUCUAAUCUCUCCGUCAGUUUGCAGAGAAGGACAGAAUUUUCCAGCUUCUUCUGUCGCCGUACUCACCAUCUCAGAAUUCUGAAAAGCGAAAACUGUCAGCCUUGAGUUCGACUUCUCCACACGCCAAAUAUCAAUCGGAUUCGGAUCCGGGCCGCCCGGACCUUUGAAGAACUUCUCAGCUUGUUCCGGCGAGAAGGAUCCAUGGAUUCCGGCGACUUUAUCAAUAAGGAGAUUGGGAUCUUGGAAGGAAACCACCUGCACAAGAUAAGAAUCGGGUCCUUCUAUCAGCUCAAAAUCCGCCGGAAUGAAGCCGCAAUAGUUCCCUCUAACUUUGAUAUUCACUUCCAAGCAGUUAAUGAGGCUCGAAUUUUCUUCCGCAAACUCAAUGAAACCUCCUAACUUAUCACCAACCCCUAAGAGAAUAAUUAUGAUAGGAACUAAAACACAAUCAAUCUAUAUUGAAAUGUAAAUAAUGAAAAUUUACAAGAUAGUUGGGUAAUUUGAGGUAUUUGACCCUCCCAUCUAGGAUGGUUUUUUGAACACGGAGACAAGCCUCUUUAUUAAUGAUAAUAAAUGAGACUUAACCUCAAAGUACAGAAGUAUUAUACUAAGAGACAGAGCUCAAAGUACAAGAGGGUUAUACAAUGAUCAAUUAAAGAAUUAGGUAUCAAUAGACGCACCCAGACUUCUCAGUUAGGUUGACACCCCCUUAGCAUCCUCACCAUAUCCGAAAAAUUGAGAAGGGAAAUGACAUAGAGCUAGUAAAUGUGGUCCAUAAAACAUAAGACCUUUACAUCCUUGGCCUUAAAGCUAUCAGCAUAAGACAAUCUAUGACCUGCGAAGGGAGUUGAGAUGGAAGGCGAUGGCUCGAGAACCAUUUCUUAUACUCCAAAUUUGAUAAGAAUCGUUCCAACAGCUGAAGGAAGGACAACCACCCCUUUUUGUCUUCCCUUCAAGAAACCCUAAUUGUUGAAUGCCCACCUGAAGUCGGCCAGAAAUCACAACAUAAAACCCAGCCAAUGUCGGAUCUAAACUUUGAGAGCUUCAUUCUCCCACGGUCAAACUCCCCAAGCUUCAGAAAGAAACGAUCCUUUGAGCCUCUGACUAACUUAGCUAUCGCUGCUAGGAACCCAUUCAGAUGGGCUUCUGAGACGACUACGGAUAGUUGAGCAUCCACACCCUCCACAUGAAACUGGUCGUUUUCUAGCCAAACGCAAAAGUGCGUAUGAAGUAUUUUGCUACUUGCUACUUCCAUGAGCAAGAACUAAGCCGAAGAAACCUCGAAGAUGACUGAAAGUGAAGCCAAGGAUUGAAGAUGCCAAAGAGAUAACUAGGAAGGUGAAGAAAAUCAAAGGAGAAGAUAACAGAGAGAGGAGAGAGAAUAUUGAUCAAAGAAAAGAUUCCCCUCUAGGAUGUUAUUAAAAUACAAAGAGCCUAAACCUCUAAGACUAGAAAAAUCAUGUAACCUAAUGAAAGACCAAACAACAAUUGAAGUCCGACCACACAUUCUAAAGAUUAUAUCAUUCCCCUCACCCUAAAAUCCCACAAAAUCACACGUCCUAAUAUGCAACAAAAAACACUCUUCCUUGAAAGACUAGAUGAAGAAAAAAAAAAAAUCCUCAAUCAUAAAGCUACAACUCCAAGAUUGCACUAAAUGAAAACUAGAUAGCUAAAAAAACUACUCUGAAUCAAAAAGGCAAAAUUCCAACUCCAUAGAAGAUGGUCCACAUCCUCUAACGCAAUUUUACAUAGAAUACAACAUUAUGACCAUAUCUUGGAGGGUAACUUCCUUGCAAAUCAAUAUGAAGUCGUAACUCUUCCAUAAAAGGCCUAUAACAUGAGAACGUUCUUGAAAAUUUUCCGUCUUCCACAACAAGAUAGAGUAUAAAUAGGGAGAGGGAUUCACCAUUGAGAAAAUUGGUACAAGAUCAGUCAAAAGGACUCUAAGACCCCAAAGAUACCCUUCACCCUAGGCUAAUGUAAAAUUCUCCUAUUAUGGAUAAGGGACCUUUAUCCAAAUGAUUUAUCAUGUGAAAGUAAACAAAGGGGUCUAUCCCCAACCUCUUAUACUAAUAAUAAAUUACCAGUGCCUUAAGGAAAUUAGAAGAUUUAGAUGAGAUAAUUGAAAGGCCAAAGUCUUGUGUUAUGAAACAAUCACUGCAACUUUUUCUUAGGAUUAUAUGUCAAGAGACUCAAGCUUAAACUUGUUUGUUGUCAGAUAUAUAUCAUAAAUACAAGUAGACUGUGUUUUUCAUGAAAUUAAAAUUUAUAAUGUUAAUUGUGUGCUCUCAUCAACAUAUGGAUUUGUUGUGACUCCAUGAAUAAAUUUUCCAUCCUCUAUGACAAAGGAAUAAUUUACUAAAGAAGAAAUAACUAUGAACUAUCUUGGAAAUGUGCUUUAAAUGCAGUUGAAAAUGAUUAAGAAGCAAGAAAAUAACCAUCAUGGUUGGCCUAAUCGUAAAAAAGGAGAUAUAAUCUCAAUAACUAACUAAGAGGUCCUCUCUCCUCUCUCGUCCUCUUUCACAUCUCUCUCCCCCUCAGUCUUCCUUCUCCUCUGAUCGGUAGCUUCCAGCAGCCUCCUUUUGUCCAUCCAGAUAGGCCCACAGCCCUCUCAAGUUACUUUUCAGCUCAAAAAACUAAAACAUGGAUGUUCAUAGUUGCAAGAUAAACGAUUCCUAUUUCUGCAUUGGGUUUGAAGAGGGUAAGUUCUUCGUGGAAGAUGUGGAAUACAAAAAAUCCUUGCCAUUAGUCAAGUCUCACUUAGACUGGUUCAUGGAUCGAAUUUCGGAGUUCCUUCAAGGACAGAGCUCUUCUUUCUUUAUACAGAGGGCUUAGGAUGAGGCUGAGGUCGUCAAGAUUUCUAAAUUUUUAGGCACUUCAGGAUGGGUGAUGAAAUGUAUCAUUUGGCCUGAAACCAGAGCCCCUUCUUCAUAUUCCAUUGGGUCUAAAAUUGCCAGGAUGGGUUUUAUUCGUUGAAAUAUUAAAUGUUUUUCCCUCGGAUCAGCAAGCAAAGAAGCUCUAAAGACGAAGAGUUCUAAGAUGACAGAAUUGCUGGCUCUGCAGAUGAAAGUCGUCACAACCAAUUUGAUGGAUUAUCAAAAAGAGGACAACAAUGCUUGUGAGUACUAUUAAAAAAUCAUGGUCUUCAAUCUUAUUGGGUUCAUAAGAAAAGUGGAGUCUUCAAGGAAUAUUUCAGCAGCCUGUGAGUCAUUGACCCAUUUCUUAGCUUUUAAAGCUUAGAAAAAAAUCACAAAAUUUUAGAGGAACAUUCUCAUUCAAAAACUUGCAUCAAUCCAUUAUAUGUGGAUAAAGCUUUAAUAAAAGCUCCUCUAUGCAACUUUGAAGAGUUGGUUGAGAAUCCAGGUAAACGGCAGAGGUUUGGACCAUUUCAUCUCCUUGAAAAAUGGAAUAGCUUCAAGCACAGUCAAUCGGAAGUGGUUAAGGGUUAUGUAGGCUGGAUUUCUAUAAAAAAAACUAACCGUUGGAUUAUUGGAGUACUGAUGUGUUUAAUGUUAUUGGAGCAUAUUUUGGUAGACAUGAAAGUAUUUCUUUAGAUACUUUGAAUAUGAUUGACUGUUUGGAGGCUAAAAUCAAGGUUAGUCAGAGCCUGUGUGCUUUCUUGCCAGCAACGAUCAAGUUAACAGAUGAAAAUCAGACUAAUAUUUUUCUCAAUUUUAGGGACUUUGAAGCACUGGAAGAACCAAAAGUUAUUGUUCUUAAAAAACUUUACUAAUCCAAUUGAUUUAGUGAGACUAAAUCGAGUUCUUUUAGAUGAAGAGGAAGAUUUUAAUAUUUUGAACUUAAAAUGGGGCUUCCUUCUACUUCCCUUUCAAAACCUGGUUUCUCAAGGAAUCCCUUCGAGGCCUUAAAAAAAAGAUGAUCAUGGAGAGUCGGGUGAGUCUUCAUCUUCUUCUUGUCAGGAAAAUCACAUUGCCUGCAAAAAACCGAAGAAGAAGAGCAGCAAACCAGCUGUGAAUUCCGCUGAGGAAGUUAAAAAGUCCCCUUCAAUGAUGACAGAGAAAAGUACAACCAAGUCCUUUAUCUCGCCCAAUGAGAAUUCAAGCCUUAAUAAGGUGGAUCUUCAGGAUUUAAAGUUAAUUUCAGGUGUUUCUCUCAAAAUGAAAGCCCAAAAGGAAAGUGGGCCCAUCCCAUCCAACCAAAUCUCGUCCAGCAGUGAGUCACUGUCCCCGAAUCAAUUAGCACUUCCUUCAGUUGCAUUAUCAGAGACCAACAAGGACUGUGCCAUUAAGGGAACAAGUAAUUCUUUUUCUUCUCAUUCAAAUUCUUCUUCGGCCAUCUCUUCUUCGGCCAGAAUAAAAGGUAGAUCGGAGGUCAAACGAAGUUCCAAAAAACAGAAAGUAGUGCAUCGCAUCCUUUCAUUUCUUUCCCAAAGCAUUUUGUUAGAAGAAGGAGAAGGAUGGAGAUAGCCAAGAAGACUUCUUCCAAGACAAAGAUGUUUUCAGAUUCUAAUCCAAAUGUUUUAGAAGAAAUAUGUUCACAGAUUCAAGCUCCCAGCAAAAGCAACACAUCGGAAGCCCAAAAAUCUCUCCCUCCACAAUUUAAGUACUGUGUUUUAUCAUUCCCCAAUGCAAAGGCGAAUCUUCAAAGAGGAAUUCUAGUUCACACUCCACUAUAUCCAUCUCAGAAGAAAAGAAAAGCUGAUUUUGUCUCCUUAUUCAGUGUAAGCGGUGAGGAAUUUGACCAAUUUGAGAAAUCGGAUGAAAUAGAAAAGCAUAGAUAAAAGGAACCAAUAGAAGUUGAUUUGAAUGCUUUGUUUCAGUAUGAAGAAGACCAGAAGUUGAGCAACAAGCUUUGGAUUGUUUAUCUCAAGUUCACCUUUGUGAAGUUCCAGCCCAUCUGAAGUCAUUGAUAGCCAACUAGAAUCUGAUUUUGGCCUAAUAUCCAGCAGCAUCCUUUGCUAGGGUGAAGAUUAUUUGAGAAUGAAAACCGUGCCGUGGAGCACAAGAGUUUUGAAAGACCCAUCAAAGAGAUUGGCCCUCAAAAGAUUCUUUUAAUCACAUAAUAUGGAUCUAUGUUAAUUCAAGUAUCCAAAAAGAUGAUCUUAAGUUGACCUAAUAUGAUGGCAAUUUUCAGCUUCAUAUUUAAAUAGAAAGUAAAAGAACCCUAACCCUCUGCCCUUCCUCUCUUUCAAGGAAUGUUGCAGCCUUAAUUCUUCACCAAAUUCCUCAUGCCCUUCUUCCCUCCCCAACUUCCUAUUUAUAACCCUCUAACUACCAGCAAAAUAAAUCAUCUGGCGGCAUGGAAAAAGGUUACACCUUAUCAAUUUGAUGAAAACUCAAAAUACAGUUCUCCUUAAUAAAUGGGGCUGGAGAUGUACAAAGGAGGAUAUUGUGCUGUUGAGACAAGUAAUAAGAAGUAUCCAUGGUAGUGAAGCUUUUGAUUGGCACACUUUGAGCAUGUCUGGAAACAACCUAAAAAGCCCUUGGGUCAGCGAACAUGGAAGAAGGUGAAAAUUUUGGCCUCAUUCAAGCUUGGAAAUGGAAGAAGAUUGGCCUUCUGGACAAACUCUUGGGCAGGUGAUAUCCCCCUAAAUCUUCAAUUUUCUAAGCUUUUCAGAAUCACUUUGCUUCCUAACGGUUCAGUCGCUGCCCAUUGGGACGCUGCCACAAAGUCUUAGUCUAUCGUGUUUCGUAGGCUGCUGAAAGAUGAGGAAAUUCCAUAUUUCCAAUCUAUGCUACUCCUACUCCUCUUCUAAAAGAGUAACAAAUUUGGAAGACAGUAAAGUAUGGUCUUUAGACCCAUCGGGCAGAUCCUCAGUACCCUUUCAACUCACCUUGCCCCAUGCUGAACAAAGCUACAUUCAAAGCUCUUUGGAAGACCAGCAGCCCAAGGAGAGUCAACAUAUUAAUUUGGAUUAUGGCUUUCGGUCUCCAAAAUUGUUCCUUGAUCAUGCAAAGAAAACUCCCACAAGUGAUUGCUGCCCCCAAGGUGCCCUCUUUGUAUGAAGAAUAGUGAGGAUUUGUGACAUUUAUUUAUUUUAUGUCCCUAUUUCACUAAAUGUUGGAGAAGUUUCCCUUCUAUUUUUAUUGUAGUUUGGGCUUUUGAAGGAUCUCUAUGCUCAAAUGUUUUCCUGUUAUUGAGGGGUCCUCUGUUGCCAAAGAGACUGAGACUAAUUUGGGCAAACAUGUCAAAAGCACUAUUGGCAGAAAUCUGAUAUGAGUGCAGUCAGCACAUUUUUCACGACAAGGCAGGAGGCUGCACUAUGCAUGGUGUUCUUUGAAUGUGGAAUUCAAGGAUUGCUCAAUUCAGGAUGUUUGUUUAGACUGGGCAGCUUUCAUUUAUCAACCACUCUAAUGGGGGGCUGAUUUUCCUGCACUUCUAAGAAGACCAAGUUUUUGCAUCUUUAUGGCCUUUGAUGUUUUAGAGGACCUCUUAUUCAGUUUUCAUGGAUAUAGGAGAUUAUCUUUGAGGGCAUUCUGUAUUUUCCCUCCAUUGCACCUGUGUUUUUGGUUUCUGUCUUUGUUUCUUCUGUGGCUGUAUGUUCCCGGACUAUUUGAUUUGUAUUUUUUUUUCGGUUUCUUCUAUUUUGGACAUGAUGAUGACGCGAAGGGAGUGUUAACCUAGUUGAGAUGUCUGGAUGCGCCUCUUGAUCCUAUCUUGCUCUCUCUCUUUUAUGGCUUCUCUAUUAUUUUCAUUGUAUAAUUCUCUUGUACCUUGAGAUUCUAUUAUUAUAUAAGAAGCUUGUCUCCUUUAAAAAAAAUGAUGAAUUUGUAAAAAAAAAAUACAAAAACCCUAACAGGCACUGCGCUUAAGCACGCCUCGGCACUUUGUGGAAGGCAUGCAAAGGCGCGUGCCUUCCUCAAUGCGCCUCACCUAUCCAAAACAGCGCACGCACAUUGUGCCUUGCACCUAGACGCGUGCCAUUCAAAACUCCUCUUGUGAUGCAUCUUUCUUCAAGCUCUUCAAAGUUUACUUCUUUCAUGGUGAUGGUUCAUGGGAGCACUUUUGUUUACUUUCCCAACAUUUCAUUUCUACUAAAUGUAUUUUUCAGUUUCUGUUUUGAUUGUUUUUCUGCCUUGUUUGGACUUUGUUAAACUCUUGGUCCCCGUUUUGUUAGUUUGUGUGUUUUAAUUCUGGAUUCUUUGUUCCUUAAAGAUUCAAGUUCUUUGUAUAAUUCUCUCGUACUUUGAGCAUUAGUCUCAUUUCAUUAUAUUAAUUAAGAGGCUCAUUUCAUUUUUAAAAAAGAGCAAGAAAAUCAUCAAUAUGACACGGCUAGUACUACAAAUUGGCAAUGAGUCAUCAGUUAAAUUGUGAUAAACAUAUAUUUUCCUACUAAAAGGCUCCUAAGCCUCCUUCCAUGCAGUCAAACCAAAGGUCUUGUAAGUUUUAGCUAAAACCAUUUACAAGUCACAACUAUUCCACAGGGCAUCUUAUUUAACGUGCUAAUAAACUAGAGGGGAAAUACGAUUGGUUUCCCUUCAGAUGAGAGCAAGAAAUUUUAAACAGUGACUUAGUUUAUAAUAUAGUAUUUCACAAUCUAAAGAUUAGUACUGUUAUUACUUUAAGAUAUUUUUUCUUCAUAGUGUGAGUAUCAAAGCAACCAAGCUAACUUACAAAGAUAACUAAAUUUAUAGGACAAUCACAUGACCCUAUACAAUUUGGUUGUAAGAAAACCUAUAGAACAUAAAUAACAUAAAUAGGUGGAUUCGCACUAUCCACACACUGCAUUAAAUAAAUAAAUAAAACUAACCUUAUACCAGACCAACUAAAAGUGGCUAUCACUAUACUCCAAGAGGGUAUACAGUGUAGAAUUGCUGUCAGCAUGAGGCUGCUAGUGCUAGCACAUAUACAGCCAUACAGAUGCAAAAAAUAUUUUAAUAGUUCCCCAGCUAAAAAUGACAAGUCAUUGUUACAUUCAAUCGCACUGAACUCCAGGUUCAGCAAACUUAUCCUCAAAUACUUUAGAAUCUUAUGAGCUUAUACCCAGCUGAACAGACCUACUCCCAGAUUUUCCAUCCAUUACCCCCCACCUACCCAGGAUAUAAAAUAUAAAACAAACAAUAACCACCAGGCAUAAAAUAAAAUUUAAGGUAAAACGGUAACAUCCAAGGUUCCUAAUUCAUGGUGGAGAAUACGAUGAACCCUUGGUGGGCAGGGCCAUCCUCUAACCAAACUUCAGAGUACCUAGCUCAACGUGCAUGAGGCAGUUAACAGAUGUGCUACCAUUUAAAAAGAAAUGUCAUUCAAUUCAUACACCCAGUGAGUACCAUUUUAAAAGAAAGAAACCAGAUAAUUUACCUUGCGAUGCAGACCCACCAACCUAGUUGUUGAAAUAAGAAUCAAUCUAUUAUACCCUUCAGUUACAUAGAAUUUUACACAAUGGAUCACCAAUUUCUCAAUGAGUGACUCGGGAGCAGAAGGUAGAGGUCAUGAAACAUUUGAAGUUUUAAAUUUGACACGUUGAAACCCUGCCUCGGAGUCCAAGACAUCAUGAACGUAACGAUGUGCAAAUUUUGCCCCAUCCACGGCUCAAACAAAAUAUUUUGAAAAAAUGGUGAGGAAAUAUUCACGACCAAGAGCAUAGACCCGAACCAUUAGGCUAUAGGCUCAAAGCAGGUUUAAGACGAGAAAAUGGGGACUGAUAGUGAUCACUAACAACAGCUUGUAGUUAGGAAAUGCACCUACCCUUUAGUCAGUGAAGAGUAAUAAAAACACUGCCAUUAAAUUACUUUGUUCUUUUUUCUAAUCUCCAAAAAUUCCUGACCCCCCCAUAUUCUGAAAACUGCAAUCCUACCCAAAUACAGUUAGAAGUUAGGAGACCACGCAUGUAAACCGGAAGGGUCAUAUUCAUAGAAAAGCAUCAUAAGAACGCAAUAGUGAAAAAGCAAAUUAGACUAACCACAUGUCAUUGAAACUUUAACAAACAACAAAACUUUCAAUUACAAGUGAAACAAGAAAAGAACAAAAAAAUCAAAAGAAAAAAAAUGCAGUCCGAGUAAUCAACGAAUAGCUCCAAAGGAUUAUAAACAAAAAGAACGGAAAAUGCAUAAACAGAAACGAACACGAAGCCCUAAGAUAAAGAGAAUAUAAAACGAAACAUAAAAGAAAGAAAGAAAAAAAAAAAAAAAAAAAAAAAAAGCAAGCCGACCUAAAAUGGAAAGCAUGCAGAAGCAGGUAAGAAACAUCACAAAAUGCAAUAAGAAGAGAGGCGUCAAUGGAAAACCACAAACACCAAAGCAGGAGGUAGUCAUAUACCUCAGUAGAGGAAGAAUCAUCAUCGUCAUUGGAUUGAAGUGGGUCAACAGAAACGAUGACCUUAGCGACAGGACGGGAAGGGGCAUCAGGUGAAUUAGAAAGGGCGCGAGUAACAAGUUGGGGACAUUUCAAGAGCCACAUUGCUCUGUCCGCCUUGUUAGUCUCUAAGAAGUCGGUUCCAACAACGAUGCUGUUGUUAUUGGUUUGGUGUUUUCUGGAAGUGGAACGGUCGAUGGAUUUGCCGUCGACGUCCAUUGUAGAGAAGAAGAAGAAGAAAUGGUUACAUGAAUGGAAUGGAGGUGGGAAAAUUGAAAAGAAAAGAAAGAAAACGGUUUUUGUUAGAAAGGCUUUUUUCCGUAACCAACAAUAACGUGGAUGUGUUCAACUUCAAAGAUUUGGAUUAUAUAUAUAGACGAAUUGCAAUGCAAGAAUGCGCUCAAAGUGGGGUGCCACCGCCCACCUCAUGCUACACUUGGCUUGCCUUUUUUUCUUUUUUUCUUUUUUUUCUUUUUUUCUUUUUUAUACAUGUUAAAUAGUAAAUUUGGUGAACCUUUUCAAAUUGUUAAAAUUAAUAUGAACGUUGGAGAUUUCUUGUCCUUCACUACAAAUCAUGUGGAUUAUUUAUAAGCUUUUAUUAAUCAAUAUGAACUAAUUUUUUAUUUUUUUUUCUAAAAAAUUCAUAUGGACUAGUUUCAAAUGAUAGGUAUUAAACGAAAAAUGUUUUCAUUAAAGUAUAAGUUUGGUUCUUCUAGUUAGAGAAAGUUAGAAUCUAGUCUUCGUAGUUUUAAAAGUUUGAAUUUAAUUCUUAGUAUUUGAUAAAAUUCGUAAAGUUUCAUUUAACUAUGGAAACUUAACUACAAGAAUAAGUUUGUAAGAGCCCUUUUGGUAACGUUUAUGUUUCAUGUUACUUGUUUUCAGUUUCGUGUUCCUUUCUUUUUUAGAUGAAUGUGUUUGAUAACUGUGUUUUGUUUCUUGUUUCUUGAAAAAAAUAAACAAAAACAAAAAAUGUGCUUAAUAAUUGUUUCUUGUUUUCUUAUUUUCUUCGAGAUUUAUUUUUUAUUAUUUUAUUUACAUCUAAUUCAAUAUAAUAUUACAUCACUUACUAUAUCAAAACCUAAAUAGAAAGGUCUUCUAGUAAUCUUAUGGAAAUCAAGAUGAAGAUUGAGAUAUGAAGAAUAGAGUCAGCGAGGAGGAAGAGGAAAACCCAUGAUAAAGAGGAGGAUUGAAAUUCAGCGAAAAGUAAGACAAAGACUCACGGCGAAAACACAAAUCUGAAAAAAAACCCACAGAUUCGACGAAAACCCACGGCGAAAAUCUAGAUUCGCGAGAAGAAAAAAAGGAAAACUCAGAUCCAACGAAGAAAAAAACGUUGUGUAGAGGAAGACAAUGAGAGGCAAUGAGGAAGAUGGAGAAGGCAAUGUGAGGAAGAGGAAGACGAUGAUUAUUUGAGGAAGAAAAAUGAAACCAAGUGGAGAGUGGUUAUUUGGAGAAGAAAAUGGAAAUAAGACGAAGAAAAAGGAAUCACUUGGAAAAAUGGAAAAGGAAAAGGAAAUAGAAAAAUAAUUAAGAAAAAGAAAAUCAAUCAAAAUAAUUGAAAAAAAAGGAAAGAAAAUCGAUAAAAAUAAUUUUAAAAAAAUGAUAAAAUAAUUGAGAAAAAAAAAAGAAAAUCAAUAGAAAUAUUUGAAAAAAAUGAAAAAUAAACCAAUAAAAAUAAUUAAAAAAAAAAGAAAAAAUGAAACCAAUAAAAAUAAUAGAAAAAAAACUGUAAAAAAUAAUUAAGAAAAAAAGAAAAGGAAACCAUUAGAAGCAAUUAAGAAAAAAGAAAAGAAAACCAAUAAAAAUAAUUGAAAAAAAAACAGUAAAAACUUUUAUUUUCAGUAAUUCAUUAUAAAAUAAAAAAAGGUUUCUAUUUUUUUAAAACGAGAAAUAUUGAACAUUAACAAAUAUGUUUCUUUAAAAAUAAAAACAUAAACUUGAAUUAGGAAACAUAAAUGUUAACCUAUUUUGAAUUAUAAAUUUAAGGCUAACUAAAAUAUCACAUUUAUUUAAGUUUGAAUAAGACACUUACCUUUCUCAAAGAAACAAUUAUAUUAUUAGGUUAGGAAUGUUGAUUAGUAUGGGUUAUAUUCAUCAUCUCAUGAAAAUUGUAACCUAAAAUAGUUAGGAUGUUUUCACGUCAAAUGAUAAUUAUGAUUUAAAAUGGUGGUAGUGAUUUGGAAUAGAAAUAUGGAUCCUCACAUCAUUUUAAAAAUCAGUGUUAUAUUCUUACUGUCUCCGUUUUUUCAAUCAAUGGCCAAAUUCUCCACAAAUAUUUUUUUUGAGGAUAUAUGUUCAUGACAGUGGAAUUUGUGAUCUUAUGCAAAUCCCACCCUAAGUUAAUUCGUAUGAUACUAUUUUCAUUUUGUUUAUAUAUAUAUGGAUGUAUGUAUAUAUAAAUUGGAUUAAUCUCAAGUUGGUGACCAGAAUAAGAUUAUUGUAUAAGUUAUAUAUAUAAGAUUGUGUGAUCCAAAAAGUUCUAUAUAAGACAAUGUAAUCCAAUACUUGUAUUAUAAAAAUAUUUGUUUGGUUUGGUGCAAUUUGUAAAUAAAACGGAUCCGUUUGUUUCUCGAACAAUCCAGAUUUUCAUGAGGUGACAUAUCUAGACUACGAUAUUUGUUUUGAAGUAUUGUAAGAUGUCAUCCGGAUAUUUUCAAACGUCGUAAGAUGCUUAAAUGGAUGGUAUCUAAAGAAUUUUGGAUGUCAUUUCUACAACGUGGAUUUACAUAUUCUCGAUACCUCCAUUUUACAUUUUUUUUCUUUUCUUAUUAUAUACAUAUAUAUAUAUAUACACACACAUAUAUAUAUAUUCUCGUUUGCAUUAUAUCCUUAAAAUAAAUAAUCAACUGUAUAUAUCAUUUUUUUUUGUUAUAUUGCAAUUCUAAUUAUUGUUAACAAGAUAUUUACAUUUAAAUAAUAUUUACUUUAUAGAAAAUCUUAAAUCAUGAUAUAUUAUUUUGUUGAGAAAAAUAACAUAUAAAAUAUUUAUAAUUCUCUUAAAAUUUUCUUUAAAAAUAUCAAAUUGAUAAAAGCAAAUAUGUUAUAUAAGUUCAAAUUAAUAAAUAAUCUAAAGGUAUUCUUGAAACAUUACAUAAAUUUAAGAAAUUUAUAAGUAAAAAUACUACAUAAUCAAAAUAUUUCUAAAUAUCUACAAAAAUAUUUGUAAAAGAUGUCAAACAUCUACCAAUUAUAGUAACUAUAUCUAUAAAUUUCGAUUAUCUACAUUUUUAAAAAACAAACAAGCUCUAGAUUUAUGAAUGAAAUUUUGUCACAUCCUCCAACAGAUAGGUAAAAUGUGUGUACCUUUAAUAAUAUGAUACCAUUACAAUUCAAAAUUUGUAAAUGAAAAUGAAAAUCUUCAAAUGCCCCAAAUGCAUUAUUGUGUUUCAGAAAAAAAAGAAAUUACCUUAAUCAAUUAACCAAAGAAUUGUCUUUUUAUUAUUUUUUCUUUUUUUUUUUUUAAUGUUGAAGAACACUUUUUAUAUGUCAAGUUAGUAGUGUAUUAAGUAAAAGAAACUAUAUUUGCCUUAGUAGUUCUGAUACUGUAUUAAACUAAUGGAAGCAAAAACUUAAUAUCUUUACAUUAACAGUCAAAUUCACAAAUUUCAUUCAACAAUUAACAGCCGAAGUAUUAUGAAGUCCGUACUUAGUCGAAUAAUUUGCUCCAUUUUCAAAUUUAACACUUGGUACAACUAUACUCAAUUCCUAUUUUAAAUAGGAAAAAAAACACUCAAUCACCUCUAAAACUAAAAGAACAAUAAAUUAAGAUCCUUCUAAACUAGAAUUUGAAAAUCUUAUAGUAUAAAGCCAUUAUCAUUGAAAUGAGUUAGUAUGAUAAACACAUUAUUUUCUUGGUAAAGAAAUCAAAAUUUAGUCUCCAAAAGUUCAAAUUUGGACACAGGGAAGAGCUCAAUAUGUCAAGCCUCAAAUAGAAAUUUACAAAAUGUUACUUUCCUCAGCUUCAACUCAAUCCAGGUUCAUUAGAAUCAAGAGACUUUCUUCUGCUUUUUCGUUUUCUUUCUGCAAUACAAUUCAUUUUUAAUCCUAGAAAAGCUGACAGUAAUGGACAUGGUAAUCUUAAAAUAACAAGAUAACUAAUUCCUCAGCUUAAAGACAAUGAAUUAUAGGAGUUAGUGUAUUGAAAUCCUCUCAAGCAAAUCAUAUUUUACAGAAUAGGGUAGACUUCACAAAGAAGCUGAAUCAGAGGUAUUGCUUCCCAUGGAACUUUGCUUCCUUUCCGCCUGAAGUGAUCGACACAAGGAUUCAAGCUUUUCUUUCUGUUUCUUCGUUUUCUCCAGCUGUUUCUUCAAGCCCUCCCGCUGCUCAACCAGAGUUCACUCAAAAUCCAACAAUAUGGUUGAUGUAAAGACUAGUCUAUAUAGUGAUUCAGUGCGCGUAAAUCUGACUAUGUCCGCGGGGCAGUUAGAUGAAGCGUAUUAUUCAAUUAAUGAACCAUGGAAGUCAAAACCACAAAUGACUGAAUUUGUUACCAUUCAAACAAGAAACGAGUUUAGAGGUUUAAAUAUCAAAACAACUAGUUGGAAAGAAGAUCAAACUCACUCAAUACGGUAAUAAUACGAGCAUACAUCUGCACAAAUUCUGCUGAAAACAGAACUAAGCAUGUGAUGAAUCGACUGACUUCCUAGGGUUUGUUUACAAGAUGGCUAUCCAACGAACAUAUUUUUAGAUAGCUAUCUUUUGAACGUUUUUCUGUCACUUUAAAUCGGCUGUUUUGUAAUUUAGAACUAAUGCCAUUUUCUUCCAAAAUCAUGAACUUAUAAUGAAUAGCCAUUUCAAAUGCAAUUGCUUUAAUCUUUUCCAGGUGCCUCAACCAAAAUUCUUUGAUCUAUUAUUUAAAUUAGAAACAAGCAAAUGUUUUCCAAACAAGGCAUUAUUACUGUUUGGUGUUGCCAAACAAGCGUACAAUAAAAUUAUAGUGAAUGUAAACAUACCUCAUCAAGAAGCUCAAUAAGAGUAACAUCUGAUUUCUCACAUUUGCUCUUCAGGAAUGUAUUUUCCUUCUUGAGUUCCUUGAUGGAUUUCGUCAUCUGCAUAUAUUAUUUUUUAGAAGAAUUGAGGGGAGAUGAGCACAUGUAGAAUAGCAGCUUCAGUAAGUGUAUCAUGCAAUAAUAAAACAUUUGGAGAUCUAUGCCCAGAAAGAAAGACGUUGGGUUGGUGGGGGGAGCGUUGAACACCUUCUCAAUUUCUUGUUUGAAGGUUUCAAAUACGUCAUUGCUCUUUACUAAUGCAUCCUGCAACAUUAGUCAAUACAUAAAUUAAGAUUAGGUUAACUUGGUAAAUCAUUCUAUAAAUGUCAUAACAAGAUGUCAUUGUCAUCUAUAUAAUAUAUAUUUCUAAAUUAAUUUUUUUUAAAACACUACUAAAGCCCUACUUGGAACUGUUGAAAUUUUUCUCCAUCAGCUGUUAGUUGUAAACGCAGAUUCUUUUCUGUUGACAAUAAAUGUGAAAUUUGCUCUGCAUAUACUUUCAUUUGAGUUUGUUCCUGAAUCAAUUUCUCCUCACAUUGCUUAGUUUUCAGAUCAGCAAGCUGAAGUUCAAGCGUUUUCUGCUUCAACUGUGUUAAUGUACAAAACAUUAUGAAUCAAUUCAGUCGUACAAAAUAAUAGUUAAACAUCCAAGCCAUAGCCUCAGAGGCAAAACUGUAAACUUUACCUUCUGUGCAAAUUGCUGUUCGGAAAGAGAAAACUGAUCAACAAGCUGCUUCAAUUUAUUCCUUAAGCUGGACAUGGUAUGCAAAAAUUUUGGAAAACAAAGAGAAAGAAAAGCCACAUUUAUAGUUCAAUUCCUUAUUAACUAAAUCGUUAGUGAAAGGGAGAAUCUAAAACAUUGAUAUUGAUUACUUCAGAAACUAUUGUAUACUAAUUGCUCAAAGAUAGCAAAGACAGGUUCAAGGAUAAGGAUGAAAGGAAGCUAAGCAAGGAGAUAUAUUCAUCAAAGGAGAGGACUGUAAAAAUGCCACUCUAAAAAAUAUUGAAAACAAAAAGAACAACCCAAUUUUUCUCCCAGUAUUCACUAGAGCCUAAGACUUUGGCGGUACAAGAUAUUUUUCGUAAGUAUGGGAAUACUUUUUCUUUUGCACGGAAAAGAGCCUCUCCAUUAAUAUAAUGAAAUGAGACAUGCUCAAAGUACAAGAGUGUUAUACAAAGAUUUGGAAUAUCUGAGGGAAAGAAUCCAAAAACCAAAUACACGGACUAACAAAACAAGGGCCAAGAGGUUAUCAGAUUCUAAAACAGGGCAGAAAAACAAUCAAAACAGCAACUGAUAAGAAAACAAUCAAUACAAAUAAAAUGUUGGGAAAGGAAACAAAAGUGCCCUAAUGGACCAUAGGUCCAUGAACAUGAGAGAAGUAAUCUUUGAAGAGCUCGAAGAAGAUGCAGCUCAAGAGGACAAGAAUGAAGAAGCUGAGAUAACUCGAAACCAACCAAAGAACAUCUGAACCAUAAAAAAUUCAUUAACUACACGAGCAGACAAGCUGCUGCCAAAACUUCUGAAAUAUAACUAAAUCAACACCCUUGAGGAGAAUAUAUCCAAGCCCAAGAUGAAAGGGCAGGCCAUUUGACAACACCUUUUGAUGAUAAAACUUCCAUGAAUAGAUUACCAAAUUCUCACUCAAGGAUGACUAGUGAAACGGCUUCCUUUUGUUAAAAAAACCCCUAACGCACGCUCUCUUCUAUCUCUUCAAUGCUUACACUAAUAGAAAGCACAUCCAUUGUGGUUCUUUUUAUAUAUAUAUAUAACUCUCAUUCCAAAAAGAACUUCCUUUCAAAUAAUAAGCUUCUCAAAACAGUUCCCAAUCUUAUUGCUGAAGCUGAAAAUUGAAAAUUGGCAUCUAAUCAGGACAACUCUAACAAAGAAUGCUGCUGGAUAUUAGCCCAUAAUCAGACUGCAAGCUCACCAAUGACUUCAGAUGGGCUGGAACUUCACAAAGCUGAGCUUGAGAUAAACAAUCCAAAUUUUGUUUUUCAACUGCUGGUUCUUCUUCAUACUGAAACAGAGCAUUCAAAUCAACUUCUAUUGGUUCCUUUGAUCUCUGCUUUUCUAUUUCAUCUGAUUUCUCAAACUGGUCAAAUUCCUCACUGCUUACACUGAAAAUUCAGGUUUUCUUUUCUUCUUAGAUGGAUCUGGAUCAAUUGGAGUGUGAACUAGAAUUUCUCUUUGAAGUUUCAACUUUGCAUUGAGGAAUGAUAAAACUGAGUACCUAAAUUGUGGAGGGAGAGAUUUUUGGGCCUCUGAUCUGCUACUUUUACUGGGAGCUUGAAUCUGUGAACAAAUUUCUUCUAAAACGUCUGGAUUUUUUUUAAACAGAGGCAGGCCUCUUAAAUUAUUAUUAAUAAAAGAGCCUUAAGCUCAAAGUACAAGAGUAUUAUAUUAAGAGCAAGAGAAAAGAGAAACAUUCAGUCUACAGCUGCAACAAAAGCUAAAUAACAAACACCAAACAAAAGAGAUCAAGCUAAACACAACCAUAACUGUAGAAAUUUAAAUACAAAGCAUAAUGAAAAAUUCUCUCAUAAAGAACUAAUUUGAAAGUAAAAACUUGCAAGAAGAUGCAACCGGCUGCCUCGAAGCUGCCUUGCCACAUUAUUCCAGAAUCCAGAGGAAGCUCAAAAAAUUCUUCCACUAUUUCAGCAUUGGCAUGAAGGCUUUACUUGCCACACACAUGAAGGGCAAUCCAAGAAAGACUGAAGUUGGUCCAACAUUGAGGAGGAAUACAUUAAAUGGCGGAAGAAUCAAAUUAGAAUAAUUCCACAAUUAGCAACUAUUGAUUUUAAAUGAUCUGGUAUUUCGCAAGACUAGGGACAAGAAUGAGUAGCAGAAGGCAAAUUUGUGGAACCUGGCUCUUUCUCACAAUGAACAGGGCACUGAUAUGUUUCUGGAGGCCCAAAAUGUUUCUGACUUUCAAGCUCAGUUGACCUAUCCAAAUGCUCCAAUUCCUCACUACUAACGUGAAAGGGGAGUCGAAAAAAGGCUCACCUUUCCUGCUGGAUUGAUCGAGAGGAGUUUUGCUCAGAGAGCCUAUCAGAAAUUUUACCUUGGAGUUGGGUAAAGAGAACUCAGAAUACUUAAAUUGAGUAACGUUAGGACGAUGAGAAAUUUCCUUAGAUGAAUUGCAGCUUAAAUUUGGGUGCAACUAACUUCCAAAAAAUUUGGAUUAGCCUCUAAAACAGCUUGGAGCUGCUAGAACAAGCUGAUGAAAGAGAAUGGACACUAUUUUCUAAAACAUAUGGAUUAGAAUCUGAAAACAUCUUUGUCUUGAAAGAAAUCUUCUUGGCUAUCUCCUCCAUCCUUCUCCUUCUAACAAAAUGCUUUGGGAAAGUAAUGAAAGGAUGCACUGCUUUCUGAUUUUUGGAACUUCGUUUGACCCCAUCUACUUCUGAUUCUGGCCGAAGAAGAGACGGGUGAAGAAGAAAUUGAACUAUAAAUGGGAAUUCUAAAAUGGUUGGUAUAAAUAUGGGAGUCUAGUUGCACUCAAAGAAAUCCUAGAAAUUCCAUUUCUCUUUGUUUAACUGAUUUCUAGUGCAUUUUCAAUUUGGAUAGGAACGAGCAUUGUGGGUUUCAAGAAACCCACUGGAUAGGCUGAAGCCUUCUUCAAAUAAAGUCCCCUCGCUCAUAAACAUCUUUUCCCUAAAAAAUGCCUCAGUUGCUUUAUUACUUCCUGAUUCUGUAGAUUUUAUUAUGUCAACUUCCAAUUAAUAAGAGCUAUUGCGUUAUCCCAAUCCUUUCCCAUGGGCAUACAGACCAGGGUAUUCAGUCCUUCGAGUCCUCAAAGAUUCUCUCAUGCAAUUCAACUUUUAUAGUUUACACCAACAAUUAUCAUAUUUUUCUCAUUACUCCGAGAGUGUAGUCUCUCUUAUUUUAAAAAGAAAAAAAGUACUGAGGGAGUUUUACUUUUUCUCAAAACGGUAACACCAUUGUCACUUUUAGAAAAUAGUAAGAUCAAGAUGACAUGCAGUCAUUCCAGGUUAUGGCUGUACACUUUAUUCUAGGUUUGCCUUCACGCAAAUAAGAAGCAAAUAAUAAUAAUAAAACAAGAAGCACAAUACUGGUUUCUUAUAAAAAUAAAAAAAAAGAGAAACAAAAUACGUUUAUGUUAAUUAUUUUAGCAUCAAAUAUAUUCUCAGCAAUGUACUUCGCCUUACGUUUCAUUCUCUUUCAGCUGUGCAAGGCAUUCAUCCUUUUGCUCUUCUAGCUUCUUGCUAACAUCCUGUCGAAGGAAUGCAGAAAUAUAAUCAACGGGAGUAAUAUAAUAACAAACAAUAACAAGCACAAAGAGAGAAACGUCAUUCUCUUAACCCAACUUUAGACUUGCCUGUCAAGUUUCAUCAAUAUCAGUUUACGUGCACACUUAGGACCCAUUCAGUAACAUUUCCACUUUUGUUUCUUAAGUUUAUUUUAACGAAGAAAAAUGAAAUUGUGUUUCAUAACAUUAAGAAGAAGUAUCUAUGGGAACCAUUUAUUCUUUCUUGUAAUUUCUUUUAACUAAGAAUGCAAAAAAUUACAUGAAAAUAAGUUUUUAAAAUUAAAUAUGAAUUUUUUAAUGUUAUAUUUAUUAUGUAUUUUAAACUCUGGCCUCAUUUGAUAAACACGUGGUUUUUAAAAAAUAAACUUUUAGAAACUACUCUCCCCCGUACGUUUCUUUGUUUUGAUAUCUCCUUUCUCAAAAUCCAGAGAAAGAUAUGAAAACUAAGAAAAGUAGUUUAAAAUAUAGGACUAUUUUCAAAUAUAGCAAAAUAAACCAAAAUAUUUAUAAAAGAUCACAAAAUAUCUAGUCUAUUCAAUGGACAACAAUAGACCAAGAUAGAUUGUGAUAUUUUGCUAUAUAUUGUAAACUUUUUCAAAUGUUUUGUCAUUUAAAAUAAUUUUUCAUAUAAUAUUUGGAAUUUGACUAAGAAUUCAAAUGUUUCUUAAAUAAAUGUGAAAUCUAUAGAAAGAAAUUGAAAUGAAAAAAGUAUAAUUUCAAAAACUAAAAACUAAAAAUGAAAUUGUUACCUUUGCAAAAAAAAUGAAAUUGUUAGCAAAUGAAGCCUUAAAUUUGUAAGAUUUAUGAGAAAGAAAAAAGUAACAAUCAUCAUGAGAAAUUACGAUCAGGAAACUAGAAACAAAUUUGUUAUCAAAGAAACCCUAAAUGCUUGCUUAUCAUUAAAAUUCCUUUUUAGAGGAAGCAUUAUCAAUUCUAUGAACACAAAGUGUAAAGAAGAAAGGAAAAACAGAAGGUUGAACCCUAAAUAAAAAAAGAAGAAAGAAGGUAUGGUAUCCCAAACACGCUCAAUACCAUUGUUGAGUUCCUUUCCUUGUAAAUCACUUUCUGGUAAAGUUGCAAGCACUCAACUCAUCCUACUAAUAUUAACUUGUCCUCAGACUUGAAAUCUCAAGAAAUUCAAUAAAUACAUUCCCCUACUUGGCCAAGAAAAAUCUUAAGUUAGAUAAUUAGCGGUAAAAUAUUUGGUGAUUUUAUUUUAUUUUUUUGAAAUGGAGACAAAACUUCUUUUUAUUAUUGAGAACUCUAAGUACAAGAUAACUAUACAAAGAGAGCAAUAAAGAAGAAAUAGAAACGGGACAUCUCAACUAGGUUGACACCCCCAUAGCGUCAAUCAUCAUAUCCCCAAGAAAGUAAAUAUCAAAGCAAAACAAAACCAACAGAGGAGCAACCUAAAAACAAACAGCCUAUUACAAGGGUCCAGAAAAAAAAAACAGAAAAUUCAGAAAAAAAACCCCAAAAUACAAUUACAAUCUCAAAAUAAAAUUAAACAAGGUCAAAACUUCAAAGCUUCAAAACUUCGGACAGAGAGAACUACAAUGCAGAGAAAAUGAACCAGCAACGGUUAGGCUUGAUUAAGAAAGGCAUUCCAGUUGAGGUAAAUAACUUGAAUGGAAAAAUUAACGGACUCCUUUUUUAAAUGAACACCAAGCUGCAGCACUAAGAUCUACCGCACACAUGAUUUCUGCUCUGACUUUGCUUUAUCAUGGAAGAAUGUUGAUUUCGCUCAAACCAUAAUUCUGAAAAUAAAGCUUUUAACAAAUUUACCCAAAUGAUGCGAGAUUUUUGAGAAAAAUCAGACCCGACAGCAGCUGAACCACAUUAGUGCCUAGAGAGCGAUCAAAAGUCCAAACUAAGUUGAACAAGGAGAAAAUCCUUUCCCGGCAAAAAGAAGAGACGAGACAGAACAGAAAAAAUGUGAUAAAGGAUCUCACUAGAAAGAAAAUCUUUUCCCAGCCAAGAAAAUGUGACAAGACUUCCCCCAGAAUGCCACAUUCUAGGUAAGAACCUUGGACCUCCACAGUGAUUUUAUGAAAACCGAAUUUAAACUAUCUUUCUUAGACUCUUGAAUCAUGAACACAUAUGGAUUGCAGAUUAUGGUGAAUUUUUUAAUGCUGCACGUUUAGAGGAAUCAUUUAAGCCCCUAGUGAUCCAUGAGACAAUCUUCAUUAUGGCCGAGAGAAGGAUAGGGAUGGCUGCACUUCGAAAUUAGGCCAGAAUAAUUCCACAAAUCACUAAUAUUGACAUCAACUCUUUAGACAAAUCUAGAGAAAAAUUAUUUGUGAGAAAACCCUCCUCAUUAAACAAAACAUAUAAGUCCGUCCCUUCAAUUUCUGAAUCUAAUUUAGGGUCAAAUUCACUAAGAUCAACUGAUUCUUCACUACUAACACUGAUAGGUGAGAAAUUUCGGGCUGGUCUUUAGGAGUUAAAUCAGCUUUGCAUGGGGAGCCUUGCUGACAAGAUGUCUUUGCAAUGGAGGUGGAGGAAUUUGAAAUGUUGAGACACUUCCAAGGAGAAGUGCUAUUUACUGACCUGGAAAAACUCUCAGGGGCCUGGAUUUUAGAGCUGUAAACUUCCAAAAGAUCCGGGUUAUUGGCAGAAACUGAAUGCUUGAUGGUGUUAUUCCGAAAAAAGUCCAAAGGGGGAAUUUUAAGGUCGCAAACCCCAUUUAAUUCAGAUUUUAGCAAGGCAGUCCACACAUUGUUGAAGGAGGUUUGCUUGCGAAUAUAGUGCUUAAGAAUUUUUGGAAUAUGAGAGGACUUACUGUCUUUGCCACACUUGGAAUAGUUGAAAAUACCCACUUCUGAAGAAAGUUGGUCCCCCUGUUCUAACAAAAAGAGAAGAAUGAGAGUUUGAAACGUUUUGUAACGUUUUUUGCAAUGUCUGAUGGGUUGUCCUCCAAAAUGCUUCGGCAAAAUUCGUUACAACUCAAAGAUUUAUUGAAGUGGGCCCCUAUUCUUUUAUUCUUUUCAUUUAAAGACUCAAAAGAGGACUCUUCGACUACUGGAAUAUUAAAAACAGGAUCACUAGAAGUGGACCCUGCUGCCUUCUUGCAAUAGCUAUCUGACUUGGGUUUAGCAAAAUUCAAAAAGGGGGCUUUCAGUUGCUUGUACAUUCAAUUCGUCUUUAACCUGAUUUCCGGCCACUGUUUUCAUCACCGGUGCCGGUGGGAUGGUCGGAAAAAUUUUCAGAAUUUCAAAUGGAUUUCUGCUUCUAGGUAGAGAUGCAAACACUAAUUUCGGGAUUUUCUGAACUAAUGGAAAGACGGAGGGAGCAAAGUCUUCAUCAAUCAAAACUUCUCUAAUCCUCAAACAAUCAAGAGAGUUAUUAAAAUCAUCUCGUAAGUUAGGGGCUUUGAGGGGAAUAUUAUGGUUUAGAAUUCAUAAUCUCCAAAAUGAAGAUAUAUAUUUCCUCUCUUUAGAUCAGUGAUUCCAAUCAUGGAUGGCAUAAAACCACGAGAAUUCUUCUUAACUUGAAUCCGAGCUUCACUAACAUUAAUUAAAUUUAGAGUUUCGAAGGCUAUAUCUAAGAGACCUCCAAAAUAAUCCCCAAUGACCUCAAAGGUACUUCUACACCAAUAAUCCAAGGGAAGGUUUUUAAUUUUGAGCCAACCACCAUAGCCUUUUUGAACGAGUGGCCGACUGUGUUUCAAGUUAUCCCAUCUUUCGAAUUUGAGAUGAAAAUUCCCCCAGGCUUGCCAUUUUCCUUCCUCAUGGAUGAGAUCUAAAAUUGAUUCUUGGUUAAUGCUAGUGAAGGCAUUCUCAUCAUACAAAGGAUUUAUAACAACUUUUUAUUGGAAAAAAGCUUCCAACCUCUUAUGGAUCAAUUUCGGGUCAUCUGAGGCAAAUAAUUUUGUUAUAAUCCAUAAAUUUUCAAAAUUGAUUUUCCCAACUUCAUGAUUCUUAAUCAGCCAAUGCUUCUGUUUUGAAGAGGGAAGAUGGACUGACUUUUGAACCUUCCUUUUUUUUUACUAGGAAUCUGGUCAGUUACCUUAAAUUUAGGUCUUUGAACAGGGGAACUGGAAAGACUUGAUUUUUCCAUUUCAACAUAACUUAGUUUCCCAUUCAAAUUCAGAGGAGGAAUCUGGAGGGAAUUAUUAGAAAACCUUGUAGCAUAAUCCAAUUUUUCGACAAACUUAUCAAGCACUGAGCAAAACAACUUCCAACCUUGCUUCUCACUACCUAAGCACACUCUGAUAUUGAAGAGAUCCCUGAAUAUGGCCAGUGAUCACAGCUCAGUAUCCAACCCAACUUAGCUUGAAACUUUGAAAUUCUCAAUCUGCCUCUAUCGAUAUCCCCAAAUUUCCUAAAGUGUCUACCUACCGGAAAACUGAUAAGAUCUAUCAGUUAACACUGACCAGAUCCAUCUAAGUUGGCAAACGGAUAGAGAGAUGCUUCUGCCAGCUUCUACAUCUUCAAUAAAGAAACUAUCUCCUUUGGCACAAAUGCAGUUGUGUGACCGGUCAAUUUUACAGCUAACCACCUCCAUGGUGAUCUCUGAGACUUAACGGAGAGGACUGCUGAAAAAACAUGGCUGCCGGAGAAGGGAGAUUGGAAGGAGUGGGGUGGAGAGAGGAGAGAGGGAACAGAGAGAACUUACCUUUUGAAACUCACCAUACAAUAGCUAAAACACAGAAACAAAACCAUCAUUAUCACCUUUGGUGAUUUUAUUUUAUUCCUUCCUUUCAUGUAUUGAGUCUUUUUCCUACAUAAGAGAGCAACAGUUAUGCAUUGGAAUACAAACUAAUUUAUUCCACUAAAUUUAACUUGGUAUCAAAAGCCAGCCAGUGUAGCAUUUUACUCCUUUUUCCUCUCUCUCUCUCUCGAUGGGGGGGGGGAGAGAUUGAAGAAAUCUUUCCAUUAAUAUAAAUAUAAGGGAUGGUCAGUGUAUAAAUACUUAGUAUUUAGUAAAAAAAAUUCAAUAUUUUCUUGCACACAAGUGUUUCAGUAUUUGCAGAAAUAAUCCAAAUUGUUAGACAAAAGAGAAACUGUAACCAACUGCAGCUGGCAAAAAAUUGAAAAUCAGAAUUUAGAAUUGUUGCCUCAAAUCCAUCAGACAAUUCUACUGGAGGAAAAGUGAGUUAAGAACCAUUAGAUUAUCUAAUUAUUUUAUGGAGUUCCUGAUCAAGUUACUCAAACGAAACCAUACCUUGAUUGCAUCUUGAAACUUAACUGAUAAUUCUGUUCUGAGGCUUUGACCCUCAGUUGAGACCCGUUUGCAUUCGUCCUGUGUUCAAUUCACGUAGCCGUUAUUAAUUAUUAGAAACUAAAUGAAAUAGAGGAAAGUAAUAAUCGAGAAUGAUAUAGGAAAAUUGGAGAGAAGACGGUGAUUGAGGCACAGUUUGAGCAUAUAUUUCUUUUGGACAAGAAACCAUUUCAUUGAUGAAUUAAAUAUCUAAAGAUCACUGCAAAAACCCAAGUACAAGAUGAACCAACUUUGAGGGUAUAUUCAAAAUUUAUUUUGUUUUUUCUUUCUUUUUUCUAGUUUUGGUAUUGGAGAUCCAACCGUCAAGGCUUCAACCUUCCAAAAGAUAAUAAAGAACUCAUUCACUAAGCCAUUGUUGAAAUGACCUUCCAAUAUUGUUUUUAAAAACUGCUUGGGAUAAACCAACCUUAUAAAACUUAAGUUUAAAAGUUAUUUGAAAAGAUCAUUUUUGUUGCCGUACUUUUCUUUUAUUUUUUUCUUUAUAUAAGCAACAAACAGAGGACAGCCUAAGGGUGAGGGGUUGAGGAACCUCCCCCCUCCAAAAAAAAUACUAAACAAUAAGAGCCCUCCAAUUGUUAAUAAUCUUGGUUGUAAUUACAAAAUAAUUUUGUGUAGUUUUUUUUUUUUUUUUUUUUUUUUUUUUUUUUUUUUUGCAAUCAGGAUGUCCCUACUUUGAAGUGAUUUUAGUUAUUGAAUAUCAUUGAGUUCUAAUCAUGAAAUCAUCACUCCUGAUUGUUUGGUCAUAGACAAGAAUACAUAUCUAAGCAUGAAAUCAACACUAUAGUUGGGCUCAUACAUUUGUACUGUUUGUAACCAAGUAAUUUGUACUGUUCUUUAUUUCUCCUACACAUUUUUUUUUUUAAUAUCCGUGAGUAUCCAAACCAACGUAUGCACAUCUUGACCAAUUUCAUAAGACACAACCUGCCUAACCUUACAACAUUUGAGUGCCAAGGAAACUCAUAGGAAAUUAAUUUCUAGGUAGAUAGCUGUCAUAGAUUGAACCCAUGACCUUUUAGUUAGUUUCCUACAAAUUUAUUAUUAAAUUUAGGUUAUACAAAUAAUUUAGAUAACAUGACAUCAAAGAGAACAUGUCCAAACAACCAAAUCCUGCUCCUGAUUGCUAUUUUUGUGUUUGCCCACUAAAAGAGGCAUGCAACAAGCUUACUUCCACGUACAUGCCUGGCGAAUACCAUACACUUCAAGUGACAACACUCAACACAAGGGUCACGUUAACUUCCACAGUGACAUUAGUUUUUCGUUACAAAUUAACCAAAUAGUUAACAUGCGGAAACCAAAUUUAUAAAUUUAUCAAAGCAUGAUAACUAAAUAUUAAAAAAUAGAAGUACAAUACGUCAAUACCAAAACAUUCCAAAUCACAAAACUGAGGCUAGAGGUGGAAUUAAACUUUAACCUUUGCAUGGAUUAAAUACGUAGAUCAUACCAUUAGCAUUUUAUUUUGACGUUGUAACUCCCUGCAUAGUGACUCCAACUUGUCCCGGACAACAAUAGCUGUGCAUAGAAAAUGAGGACAUUAUAAAUUCAUAGCAUGGCAUUAAAAAACUAAGCAUCAAUCAGAAUGCAUCCAAUUUGAAUAUGAAAGAACAAAAAAAAAAUUCUGAGAGAGAGAGAUGACAGAUGACAGAAUAUUCUUUUGCUAUCAGGAUAUUCAAAUCUUUCACCUAAAUGAAAUAAUAAUAUAAUAAAGUGUCAAUAAAUCCCACAAAGUUUUCUUGACCUCUAAAUAAUUGAAUACAGGGAUUAUAAUACUAUAAAAAAAAGAAUCUGAAAAGACAAAUUGCAAAAAACUCUUCAGUGACCAAACAUAAGACCGAUAUAAACUGCAGCAUUGUGGAUUAUUUUCAGCUUGAUACUAUAACAAAGUAACAAAAAGGUGACUUUUAAAGAAAAUAUACAAGCAACUUUUCAUUGCGGUCGGCUAAAAUGAAAAUUUUCACUUUCAAUCUGAACUGAAGCUAGAGGUUUUACUCAAGAUAUAGGGGGGAAAAGACUCACUCAGCUUAGAAUUUUAUAAAUGAAAAAUCCUUUUGAUUUUUUGAAACAAUUGUCAAACAUCCAGAAAAUCUAAUAGCAAUCAAAGUUCAUACUAGUCUUGUCUUCUAGAGUGCAGGUAGUAUAGAGCUUAAUUUGUUGUUAUACACCGACCUUUUGCACAAAAUGAAUAGCCCACAUGAAUCAUCAUCUGGAAUAAAUAUAAAAAGAACUUGAAAAACAGACAGUAGAGCUUAAUUUGUUGUUAUGCACCAACCUUUUGCACAAAAUGAAUAGCCCACAUGAAUUAUCAUCUGGAAUAAAUAUAAAAAGAACUUGAAAAACAGACAGUAUUGAAAAAGUGAAAAUUUUCAUUUGUUCACUUCUUUACUUGCCUGAAUCUCUUUCUGCAAGAACUUGCUGAUACUUUAAAGUAAAUUCAAGAAACUCCUUUUCUGACUUAAAUGUACGCUUUGGAUUCUUGCGUUUGAGUUCAGCACUUUCCUGAAAGUUAUUGCAACUUAGUAACCCAAAGAAAUUUAUGGCCUUUAAAUAGAAUGGAAAUAUGGGGAGAAAAGUGACCCACAUUUCAAUCCAAUGAAAAGGCCAUUAUUAACUACAACAAUAAAACUAUCAAAGGUCUUUUCACAUUGAUGCACGAUAAAAUUUAUUGAUGGGUAGGGGGAGGACAGAGAUAUGUAUAAUAAGAAGAAGAUGACGACAAAAGAAGAAGCUACUCCUGAUGUCCAGUUCAAGAGCUAAUUUGAAAAUUAUUUUAGUACAACAAUUGUGGGGAUGGGGGAUCGAACCUCCCACCACCUCAAGGAUGAUAGGUCAUGCCAAUUAUCCUUCAGCUAAGCUCACUUUGGUGAAUACUUAAUUGUACUUUGGGUGGCACAUUGAAUCGGUAUUGUUUAUCAAAGAAGUGACAGGAUGCAUUAAUUUCCUAGAUCUAGCAUUAAGCUAACAAAUACAAAAUUAAGAUCAAAACAAAUAAUGUCCAUGCUAAAAUGCAACUUAACCAAGGAAGCAAUGCAAAUUACUCACAUUUUUCGUAGUUUGAACAACCUUUGUCACAGACAUUUCCUUCUCAUGUGCUGUUGAUGCAUCUAACCCUACACCAGUGGCUGAAAGAAGUAAUAAAUAGAUUUUGGUAAUAGGUAUAGCAAAAAUGUGAGCUCCAUGCUCAUUUACACAUCUCAGACCAUCUUCCAGAAAUCGACUCAUCCAAAAAACUUCCAGAACGUUUCAUAUUCUAGAUGGGUGACUUUCUGAACUUGUGACCUCAAAUACGGCAUUUACACUUUGCUUACCCCUAUGACCAAUGGGUCCACAGUUAUUGCGGAAAACAAGACUAAACAAAUUAAUUAUUAGACGGCCGUGUAUUUUACGGUAGGUGAUAGUGCCUACCCUUCCUGUAUUUGAAACAAAAGACUCCAAGCCACUUUUUGGCAUCCAUGAGAAAGAAGCCAACAACGGGUUGAUGUUACAAUAUAAAUGUUCUACUAUGUCACUGAUAUUAGAGAGUUCAUUUUUUUUUAAUGAAAAUUUUAUUCAGAUAAAAAUAAAGAAUACACAGGCAUACAAAAGACUAACCCACAAAGGAGUCCACCUAAAUGGAGGGACUCCAACUCUACAAAAUAGACAAAGUUUCUUCGUAACCAGUUGUUGUUAUGUUUAGUUUAUAUGUCAGUUAGUUAGUCUCAAUUGUAUUAAUAAACAGUCAAGCAGUUGUUUCUAAGCUCUGUUUAAGAGAGUUCUCUGUAUUCUUCUGAUUAAGUAGAUAUAAUCAUAAACUUCGUCUCUUCUAAGUCUGUUAAUUGGAAAAUCAAAACUAAAUUUUCUAAUAUUUGCUAAUUGAUAACUGCCUCAUAGACAUGAAGGACAAGAUCUCUUUUGGCAUCCUUUUCAAAUUUUAUUUUCCCACAUGCUAGUCUCAGCAUUGCUGCAUUUCUCUACUUCUUCUAGUCUUAUUAACAUGAACAUCCAUUCCCUAAGCACACAAUUUUUAGCACCCUACCACAUUCUUGAAUAAAAUUAUUUCUUAUCCAGCAAAAAGAAGGAUGAAACAAAGGAAGGCCAUGUUUAUAUUAGUUCAUCAGUAUUCUGAUUUAGAUCAAUAAUAAUAACAAAGAGUGUGAGCUGCAAGGUAAAUAAACGCACCCUUGUCUGAACUUUGAGACUCGCCUUGAGCUUCUCCUUUUAAUUUUCUGCCGCCAGACUCGUCAAUUGCAGCCUCAUUAGAAGUUUCUUUUACAUUAAGAAUGUCAGUUUCUGCUAGUUCCAUACAACCCUUACCAGCUGUCUUUUCCAAACUCUCCAAAUUAUUAAAUUUUUCUGUUUCAGAUGAAGCAACAGUUAAAGUUUCCAACUUUUGAGUAUUCUCUGAACUACAUUUCUCAAUUUCAACAUUUUCCAUGAUCUCAUGCCUUUGACCAUCGGAAAAAUCAGAUUCUGGUGAAGUUUUUCGUUGGGAAUCUAAUGGCUUUGCUUCUUCAAAAUUCUGUGUUGAAGGUGUUUGAGUUUCUGCAGAGCUUUCAACAAAACCAUCUGGCAGUGAAUCUACUUCAGGAGGGUGAUUUAGACCUGGGUUCUCCAUACCACCUACAUGUUGAACAUUGAUAGUAAGAAUUUUCAUGUAACUCAAUAUGAGAACAUCACAUAUGGUCGGUUAAAAAAAAUCAAAUCAAAAGAUUCUAUCAGUUUUGAUUUAAGCAACAUCACGUACUCAAUUCUAAGCCUUAUCCACACACCAUGAGCUAGUGCAAAGCUCCCAGCCAAUUCGAGAAGUUUAGUAAGCUCUCCCCUUUUCUCUGAGAAUUCUCUACAGACAAAGUAUAAAAACAUAAUAACCUACUCUCCCAUACAUACCAAUGUAUAGCCCUCACUUGCAAAACAUUUUGAUGGGUGGUUUCUCCCUCCUCCCUGACGCAAAACCAACUCCAGCCCCAAACUAGCUAUCGUACUCCUCCAUCAAUGUUGAAUCGGGAUUGGUGGCCUAACACCUUCACAUGAUUAAAUCCGACUAUCAAAUAGCAUGGAGUUUCAAUUCAAAAUCAAAAAGCAAUAAGAGGAGUUUCACAUAUAUCUUAUAAACAUUGUGAGGUCCCUCCAUUUGUCCAAUAUGGGAUCCUCAACAUGUCCUCAAAACAGUACCUCUUAAUGGGUUCAUCAAUCUAAAAUGGUACCCCUUCAUGGGUUCAUCAAUCUUGGAAUUGGACGAAAACAGAAAGAGCAAAAUGAAAGAGCAAAACUGAAGCAAAGUAGAAUCAAAGCUGGACGAAAACAGGGUCGGAAUUGGACAGAAGUGUUUUGUCGGAUCAAAAUGGAACCGAACGAACUAAACUAGAGCAAGUCAGAAUCAAAUUAAACGGGAAAUCUGGGGAGAACAGAACGGAAGCUGAACUGAAUGGAGCAGAGAGGCUUAGCGGAUCUGAACAAAAACAGAAACGAGGCGUCGUUGGAUCUGGGCUUCGAUCUAAACUUUGAAGGCAGACAUGAAGGAUGGGUCUGAACGAAAUUAGACAGAUCUGGAACAGAUUGGAGGCAGACGCGAGGAUCUGAGGACAUGGGGUUUCAUGGUUUUGUUGGGACAGCGUAAGGAGAUGGAGCAACGACAACGAAACGCAGCGGCGAGCGGAGCUUCUUGGAUGACGGAAAAAACUGAAACUCUUCGGCUGGGCGUUCGGCUUCAACUGACAGAGGUUCAAUCGGUUGCUUGGCUAACGGAAAAACAAGAGGUCGGACGAAGAACUAUGAAGGAGAUGGCCGCCACAGACGCUAGUGAAAAACGAAUGGGGUUUCUAGGGUUUGGAUGGUGGCAGAUUUGAACAGCAAUGAGUGACAAAGGGAAGGUGCAACGACAACGGCAAAUUUGCAGAUCUAAGGGGCGGCUUCAGCUAAUGGGAGAUGAUUCUGCCUCCGUUGAUGAAUUAUCAACGGAGGCAGAGAUCAAACGGGAUGUGAAGGCUAGAAUUCAAUAAGGCGAAAACCCUAGAACUCUGAUACCAUGUUGAUUUUAUGGAAUUAAUCUAUAUUUCAUUCAUUAUUUAAUAGAGAUAUAGAUUAAUUCCAUAAAAUCAACACAAACCAAACUUUCCCUCACCACUAUCCUACCAGAAACCCUAUCCCACUAUCAUCUUGGUGUUGGUAACCUCCAUAUCCAAUCAAAAUCCGAAGUUGGUUAGUCCUCGGCCCAAUUCAAACCAAGAGUGCAGGAUACCACCAAAUAACAAUUGGCUAUAUUUCAACAAGAACUUGCAGCUUUUGGAGUCCUUACACACACACCAAGUCCUAGCAUUCUGACCAACUUGCCAAUGUAUUUCAAGAAUCCGAUAACUUCAUUCCCUAAUUUGUCUUCCACUUACAUAUCUGGUUCUGUGGCACAAAAUAAAGGAGUCUUUGCAAGGGAGAAGUUGAAUGGACAAAACUACUUCUCUUGGUCACAAUCUGUUAAAAUGAUCCUUAAGGGGCACUGCAAAUUUGACUUUCUGACAGAAGAGGUACCUCGACCUCCACCAAGUGAUUCUCAGGAAGUUUCUAGAAAGGGGAGGAUUGCCUCAUUUGGUCCAUGCUAAUCAACAAUAUGGAUCAACAGAUUGGCAAGCCCUUGUUAUGUGCUGCAACUGCUAAUGAUAUAUGGACAUAACUCAGAAACUUUAUUCGAAGCGUCGGAAUGCCUCUCGCCUCUACACACUGAGAAAACAAGUCCACGAAUGCAAAUAGGGGACUAUGGAUGUAACAUCCUAUUUUAACGAACUUUCCCUCAUUCAGUAGGAAAUGGAUCUUUGUAGAGAGAUUGUCUAGAACAGUCCCAGUGAUGGCAUACAACACUCUAGACUUAAAGAGGUUGACAAAAUAUAUGACUUUCUUGCUGAUCUCAACUCCAAGUUCGAUGUAGUUUGUGGUCGUAUACUGGGCCAGAGACCUAUUUCCUCCUUGAUGGAGGUCUAUUCUGAAGGCUGCCUUGAGGAGGACUGUACGAGUGCUAUGAAUAUCCUAACCACUCCCGUUAUUGAUUCCUCUGCCUUUGUGCGAGGUCCUCCACUCAUGACAAUGAGAAGAAGAACGGAAAACUUGUCCCUAUCUGUGAGCAUUGCAAGAAACAAUGACACACCAAAGAAACAGUGUUAGAAAUUACAUGGUCGUCUCCAAUGAGGUAAGAAACGUCCUCCAAACAACAAACAGAAUUCAAGGCGAGCAUGUGAGUGAAUCUGCUAGAACCUUCCAACCAUUUGGACUCCCUGAAAACCAAAAUGAUCGUAAUCAAUCCAUACUAGGAUCUAUUACUCCGUCAGGUAUGCCUCAGUCUUAGUUUAUAUGCUACUCAACCCACUCUUUUGGUCUUUCCCCGCAGAAGCAACGUAGUAAUGUCUCCACUCCUCUAUUAACGACUUUCGUUUGACCAUCUGAUUGGGGAUGAUAUGUUGUGCUUCGAUUUAGCUUUGUUCCUGCCAUCCUGACCAACUCCUUCCAAAAGUUACUUAAGAAAAUUUUGUAACGAUCGGAUACUAUAGAGUUGGGGUAUCCAUGUAAUCGAACUAUUUCUUUCACAAAUAAUUUUGUGACUGUCUCGGUUGUAUAUGAGUGUUUUAUUGGUAAAAAAUGCCCAUGCUUGCUCAAACAAUCUACUACAACAAGGAGGACUUCAAACCCCUUUGAUUUAGGCAAUCCUUCAAUAAAAUCCAUGGAGAUAUCACUCCAUAUCUUGCUCGGGAUCUCUAGGGGUACUAACAAUCAGGCAGGUGAUAGUGCUAAUGUCCUGUUCCUUUGGCACACGAGACAUUCUUCACAGUAUUUCUUUAUCACUUGCUUCAUGCCCUCCCAAUGUAAUUCUCCUGCUAUCUCUUAUAGGUUCAUAAGAAACCUGAAUGUCCUCCGAAUACAGAGCCGUGAUACGUAUGGAGGAUUGUAGGAAUUAAAGUUGAGGUAUUCGAAAUGACUAGUCAACUCUUAUACCUCAGCAUCCCUUGUUGAAUGGAAUACUUUUGCCAUUGGCCUUCCUCUCAUUUUUCUACUUCUGUCAUGACUUCCUUCAGGUGCUCACCUUUCUCCAUUUCUUCUUUAAUCACUUGUAAGUCAAUCAGGGUUGGUGCCAUCAGACUACUUAGAUGAAUAGUAGAUGGCAUCUUUGACAAUGCAUCAGCUGCCUUGUUCUCUAAUCCCAGUUUAUACAAUCCUUCAAAUGAAUAGCCUAGAAGCUUAGUUAUCCACUUUUGAUAUUGGGGUUGGGUCACCCUCUGUUCUAGUAAGAAUUUCAAGGAACGUUGGCCAGUUUUCACUAGGAAUUUCCUUCCUAACAGGUAUGGCCUCCAUCUCUGCACAGUCAAUACCACAGCCAUCAGCUCACUUUCGUACACUGGCUUAGCCCGAUCUCUUGCUGCAAGUGUGUGCUAAAGUAUGCAAUUGGUCGUUUGGACUGAAUCAGCACAGCUCCAAUUCCAAAUCCUUAUGUGUCUGUCUCUAUUUCAAAAGGGACAUUAAAGUCAAGUAAUGCCAGUACAGAGAGAGUAAUCAUAGCUUGCUAUAACUUUAGGAAGGCUUCACGAGCUUCUUCAUUCCACUUAAAUCCUCCUAGCUUCAACAAUUGUGUCAAUGGUGCUGCUAAAGAACCACAAUGUUGCACGAAUUUUUUGUAGUAGCCAAUCAACCUAAAAAGCCUCUUACUUCUCGAACAUUGGUAGAGACUGACCACUCCUUGAUGGCUCGUAUCUUUUCAGGAUCCACUUCAACACCUUGUCCUGAUAUGAUGUGCCCUAGAUAAUCCACCCUUUCUUUGGCAAAGCUACAUUUCUUCGAUUGGCGUACAAUUCGUUCUUUCUCAGUGCUUGCAAGGCUAGCCCCAACUGUUGAGUGUGUUUCCAAAUCCUUGCUAUAGAUGAGAAUAUCAUAAAAAAAACUAACACGAACCUCCUCAAGUAUGGCUUGAAUAUUGAAUUCAUCAAGGACUGAAAUGUUGAUGGCGUGUUGGUUAGUCUAAACGGCAUGACCAUGAACUCAUAUGACCUUCGUGAGUACGGAAUGCUGUUUUUUCAAUAUCUUCUCCACACAUACGGAUUUAGUGGUAUCCUGCCUUCAAGUCGAUCUUUGAAAACCACGAAUGCUCCAUUCAAGUCAUCGAACAAUUCUUCAAUGACCGGGAUAGGAAAGUUUUCUGGUAUUGUCACGUUGUUCAACACUCUAUAAUCAACGCAGAACCGCCAGCUUAUCUUUCUUCCUUACCAAUAGCACUGGGCUGGAAUACAGGUUGUUGUUGGGCCGGAUUAUCCCUGAAGUCAGCAUUUCUUCUACAAGUUUCUCCAUUUCAAUUUUUGGUUGGUAUGCAUAGUGAUAUGGCCUUACGUUUACUGGGUCAAUGUCUUUCUUCAGAUGGAUGUGGUGCUCAAUUUCUCUUCUUGGUAGUAGUUUCUCAGGCCAAGUGAACACAUCCUCGUAUUUCUUUGAAACUACAGCUACUGAUUCUUCCACUUUCAAUACUUCUUCUUCUUCUCUUAUUACUAGUCUUCCUUCAACGACGCAGCAUUCAACUAAGAAUCCUUGGUCAGAAUUAUCCCAAGUUUUCAUCAUUUUCUUCAAGCUGACCCUGGAUUUGGUUAAGCUAGGAUCUCCUUUGAUGACUACUAUUUUGCCUUUAUGGAUGAAUGUCAUAGUCAAGUUCUUCCAAUCUACUUCAGUGAUGCCCAAGGAAUACAACCACUGCAUACCCAAUACUACCUCUACCCCUCUUAACUCCAAUGGUAGGAAGUUGGCUACUACUUUCCAUCCACUCAAUACUACUUCUACUGCUUUGCAAAUCCCCUUGCCUUUCACUGUUGUGCCGGACCCCAUAGUGUGAGGUAUCUUUAGUUGCAAGUUGUAACUCUUCUACUACGUGAUUAGAGAUGAAGUUAUGGGUAGCCCCACAAUCAAUCAGAAUCACUACUAAUCUACUUCCCUUUCUUUGAUCUUUCCUUUGACCUUCGUAGUGCCUAGGUUAGAUAAUCCCACAACUGAGUUAAUGGAUAGUAUUAAACCACCAAUUCAUCCAAAAGCUUAAGUUGGUGGUUGAAGGCAAAUUUAAUUAUAUAUCACCAACACUCCCCCUCACUUGUGGGCUUGAAAUAUUUGAAAGGCCCAACAAGUGGAAAUUGAUUUUAAUUGGGGAGGAAAUGACAAUGCAGGGGCUUGAACACAGGACCUCCCUGGACCACCUGCUCUGAUACUAUAUUAAAUUUGAUAGUAUGGGGUUCCAUCUCAAAACCAAUUGGCAAUGAGAGGAGUAGCUCAUCUAUAUUAUAUGGAAUAUGAGUCCUCUUGGUUUUUCCAAUGUAAGACUUAAUAUCUCCAAUAUGCCCCCUCAAGAUGGUGUCUCUUUGGGUUCACCUAUCUUGGACCAAAUACCUGUUUGGGCUUACUAGGCUCUGAUACCAUGUUGAAAGGAGAGACAAAGAGCACACACCAAUUUACGUGGAAACCCAAGUACCGGGAGAAAAACCACGAUUGUUUGUUGUUAUUAUUCUUUAAUGAAUAAUACAAUAGGUACAAGGGAGAAUAAAUAGAGAAUACAAGAGAAUAAAAAAGGAAAAGAUUUGGAAAAUAUGGAAAAUAUUUCCAUAAACAUUCUUGGAUUCUAACAAGAAAAAUAUUUAGAAAAUAAGAAACAGAUUCCAACAAAUAGUUCUAUAACAGUCUGGUCAUCCCCUGCCACUUCUACCAUGUUCAGUUUCUUUUUUGUGUCCUCCAAGUCUUCUAAGAUCUCCCAUUCUUCAUUGUCGGUCUUGACUACAAACAUCAUGAGUUCCCUCUGCUCUUUCACCUUGCAUUUAUGGCCAUGAGAAAAUUUAUCAUUGCAACGAAAACAUAGGCCUUUCUCCUUCCUAGCCUGAAAUUCCGCAACACUCAGCCUCUUUGAUGGUCCUUCCUAAUUUUGCUUCUCCUGGCCCUACUUCUCUCAAAGUGAUGGUCCUCAUAGGUAACGUGGUGUUACCUUUGUUCUCACUGUUACUCCCACCCUAGGUUUAGAUUUCAAAAAUUUGGAAUAGUAAGAAUUACCUCAUGCGCAUCCUUGGAUAUUAGCCUCAUUACAAAUGAUCUCUCAGUUCUCCACGAGUUGUGCUAACUGCAUCAUUUGGACUAGACCGACCGUUCGGCCGAAUUUGACUUCUGCCUUGAUCCACGGUAACAACCCAUUCAAAAAGGUUUGUUCAACCACUUAAUCUUGCAGGUUGGAUAAUGGCACCAUUAACUUGUCAAACAGAUUUUGGCAUUCUUCUACCGUGGUUUCUUGUCUGAUUCUCAGGAAUUGGCCACAUAUCAAUCCUUCCCUCGCUGAUUGAAAUCGUACCAACAACCUCUGGUAUAGAUUCGACCAUCCCAUGAAUUUUUUCCGUUUUUCUUGAGCCUUGUACCAAUUCAAUGCUGGUCCAUCGAAGCUGAUAGUUGCAACCGUCAUUUUUUUAGAAUCCGUCAGCUUGUGAAUUUGGAAGUACCUAUCGGCACGAAAUAGCCAAGAGUCUGGAUCUUCACCAUUGAACACAGGCAUUUCUACCUUCUUGAAUUUAUUUCGGUCACUACUCUUAUCACCCUCCUCCUUCUCGUUUGAAUUCGGUUCUUCAUUUGAUUCCAACAUUUUCGCUUCCAUUUUGCUGGAUGCCUUUUCUAAUUCUGGUGUUGAUGAAGAUGAAUUUUUCAUCAUACUCUCAAUAUAUUUCAAAAUCUUUUGCUGCUGCGUGUUCAGUUCGUUUUGUACAUCGAUCUUCUCCAUGUGUUUCGUCAUUUUGGUUUCGAGCUCUGGCAAUUGCUGUAGGUCCAUUUUCAUGUUUGCGAUUUCUUGCUCCAUGUUUUCAAACAUUUCCUCCAUCUGUUUCAUCAUCUUUUGUCGCUUGCCCAGGAUGAUCACGCUCUAAUACCAAUAUAAUGGAACCCACACUUGAUAUCAAGGUAAACUUUAUUGAUAGUAUUCGACAACCGCUCUUAGUGAACUCAACUACCGAAUUGAGAAUGCCUCAAUUCGGAACUCUAGCUCCUUUGUUACCUUGUCUUUCAAAGGUGCACACAAGCCUAACUCACUUUCUCACUAAAAUCUUCUCUCCUUAUCUCUCUUCCUUAGCAUUUAUUUAUACUAACUCUCAACUACCCGACUUAACUGACUCUUAACUACUCGACUAACAGACUAACUAACUUUUCUUCAUCCUUCUACUAUAUUGGUGUAUGAUAGGGGGUCUAUCAGCCUCCUUUCCUUCACAACCAUAUAAACCAACCCAACCUUUCACCCUUAUCCACAGGUUUGGGGGCGCUCCAAGGUUACUACCUCUUCCACAAAACGGUGGUUUGUAACCUUAAUUAAUGAUCAUACCCACCUUGCUUGGGUUUUCCUCGUCUUUGACAAAUCUAAGGUCACUUCCACAUUCCAAAACUUCUAUCACACCGUAGAAAUGCAGUUCAACAUCAAAAUUGCAAUUUACGAAGUGACAGUGGUCGUGAGUUUCAAAACCAUACCCUUAAUGAGUUUAUGUCCUCCAAAGAGAUUGUCCACCAGAGUUUCUGUGCGUACACUCCCCAGCAAAAUGGAGUUGACGAGCGAAAAAACCACCUUAUGGUAGUAGCCAGCUCCCUAUGUUGUCUACUUCUGUUCCAUCCUAUCUGUGGGACGAUGUUGUCCUCACUGCAACUCAUCUUAUUAAUCGGACGGCAUAUCGUGUUCUCCACCUCCAGACCCCAUUAGAAUACUCAAGGAGUCUUAUCCUUCUACCUGUUUCAUUCUUGAGGUUCCCCUUCGAGUGUUCAGGUGCACGACCCACAUUCAUAGCCAUGGCCCUAACCAGACCAAGUUCACCCCUCUGGCUCAGGCUUGUGUGUUCGUUGGGUAUCCUCUUCAUCAACAGGGCUAUAAAUGUUUCCAUGGAUGUCACUUUCCUUAAGGAUCGUCCUUUCUUUCCCGUUAGUUCGCUUCAGGGGGAGAGUGUAAAUAAAUAGCCUAACUGUGUGAUUCCCUUAGAUCUACUAGUCCUACUCUCGUAACCUUACCCAACCCCAAUCCUUACAACACGGUCUUACCAACAAACCAAGUUCCCUAGAUAACCUACUAUAGGAGAAUCUCAAAAAGGGAGUUGGGUCCCCUACCAUUCAGCUGGCUAAAAUCCAAGAUUUUGAACCAUCACAAGAUCAAGGUAUGACUGAAUCUAUUGACUCAUAUGUUGACAAUAAAAUGGGUGAGAAUGACAAGUCCAAUAUAGUUGUUCCUGAAGAUACAAGUGAAAGGGGCAGUGUUGAUGAGAUUUAGGUCAUGGCAGAAACUGCAGGAGAUGAGAUUAAACAAGAUCAUUCAAGUAAUUUUGAUGAGUAUGAUCCGUCUCUUGACAUACCUAUUGUGCUGAGGAAAGGUAUCAGGUCCUGCACGAAGCACUCCAUCUGUAACUAUGUAUCUUACAAGAACCUAUCACCCUAGUUGAGAGUCUUAACAGCCAGUCUUGACUCCACCACGAUACCUAAGAAUAUCCACAUUUCCUCAGAGUGUCCUGAGUGGAAAGCUAUAGCCAUGGGAGAGAUGAGAGCCCUUGAAAAGAACAAGACUUGGAAGCUCUGUGCUCUUCCUAAGGGGCAUAAAACCGUGGGAUGUAAGUGAGUGUUUACCCUCAAGUACAAAACAGAUGGAACUCUUGAUAGAUACAAGGCCAAGUUAGUUGCAAAAGGAUUUACUCAGACUUAUGGGGUCGACUACUCUGAGACUCUUUCUCCUGUUGCAAAGUUAAAUACCGUUAGGAUCCUUCUGUCUGUUGCUAUAAAUAAAAAUUGGCCCUUAUAUCAGCUAGAUGUUAAGAAAACUUUCAUAAAUGGAGAUUUAGAAGAGGAAGUCUAUGUGAGUCCCCCUCCAGGCUUUGAAGCCCAAUUUGACCAUCGGGUUUGCAAGCUUCAUAAAUCCUUGUAUGGGUUGAAACAAUCACUGACAGCAUGGUUUGACAAGUUCACCACCUUUGUCAAGUCCAAAGGGUACAAUCUAGGACACUCUGAUUACACUCUGUUUACAGAAGUCUCCAAGUCCGGGAAGAUUGCUAUGUUGAUCGUCUACGUUGAUGAUAUUGUGCUAUCUAUAGAUGACACCGUUGAAAUUGUCCAACUAAAAAAGAAUAUGAGGGAUGAAUUUGAAAUUAAAGAUUUAGGGAAUCUAAAGUACUUCCUUGGGGUGGAGGUAGCCAGAUCUAAAGAAGGUAUCUCUAUAUCUCAAAGAAAGUACCCUCUUGAUUUGUUAAUAGAAACAGGUAUGAUGGGAUGCAGAACUGCUGAUACACCUAUAAAAUUCAAUGCUAAAUUGGGAAAUUCUAUUGAUAAAGUUCCAGUUGAUAAAGAAAAAUAUCAACACCUGCUGGGGAAGUUGAUCUACUUAUCUCACACUUGACUAGAUAUCUCCUAUACUAUAAGUACCAUUAGUCAGUUCAUGUAGACUCCUUACAAGGAACACCUGGAGGCAAGGAACAGAAUUCUGAGGUAUUUGAAAACGACUCUUAGUAAAAGGUUGAUGUUUAGGAAGACUGACAGAAGGUUUAUUGAGGCUUAUACUGAUUCUGACUGGGCAGAGUCUGUUGUUGACAAAAAAUCCACCUCUAGGUACUAUAUUUUUGUGUGGGGCAAUCUCGUAACUUCGAGGAGUAAAAGCAAAGGGUUGUGACAAGAAACGAUGUUGAAGUUGAGUACAAAGGUAUUAGUUUGGGGGUAUGUGAGGAGAUUUGGCUACAAAAGGUUUUAUCUUCUUGGUCAAGAUUAUGAGGUGCCUAUGAAAAUAUUUUGCGAUACCAAGGCAACUAUUAGCAUUGUAACAACCCAGUUAAACAUGAUAGAACAAAACAUGUGGAGAUUGAUAGACACUUUAUUAAAGAAAGAUCGGACAAUGGUAGCAUAUACAUUCCUUACAUUCCCUCAAAUCAACAAGUUGUUGAUAUUUUCACCAAUGGGCUUUUCAGACAAAGUUUGGACUCUUGUGUUAGCAAGGUGGGUUUUAUUGACAUUUACGUUCCAACUUGAGGUGAAGUGUUAGAAUUUGUGGGCUUGAUGUGUGUUGGAAUGCCAAGAGUAGUUAUGUAAAUUAUGAUUACCCUAAUUAUUUUUUUCCCUUUUUAUUAAAAUUCUUGUAUCCUAUUAGUCUUCCCCCUCUUAUAUCUUUGGUUAUUUCUCUUCAAUAGUUUGCUUGAUGAAACUUUAUAUGUAACCUCAAGAAACCAACUAAAAUAACAGACAGGAUCAACCAAAACAUUGCACUCAAGAUGCAAACAAGAAAACUUCAGCAAAAAUUUUAAAAUUUGACAGAGAAAUGGUAUACUCACGAAAACUUGCAGGAUUGCACGACGUUUACAUCCUAAAAACCCUCACAAAAUAUAAAAAUUAACGAGAAGCACCCAUUUCCUCCCUAAAACGGUCCGCGACAUGCAGUUCGCUACAUUUUCCGAGUAACAGAACAACAAAACAGAAGGCAAAGGAAAUCCUACUAUAGCAAACUGAGAAAUCAGUGCAAUUUCUGUAGAAAUUUGAAGAUCAUAGGUAGAAAAAGGGAAGAAGAAAAGGAGAGAAUUACCAGGUUGUUUAAGGGUGGUGAAGUUGAGACCGGCAGAGCGAUCUACGGUGAUCUUUCCGUGAGUUAGUCUAGUCAGUGAAGGUCCCUCGAACCGAUUUCAACAGUGUGCCUUACAACCUGAUUUUCUUGUUUUUCUUCAAAACUGUAUUUGUCCACUUUCUUUAUUUACUGAACUUUUCAAAAUAAUAAUAUAAUAAUUUUUUAUUAAAUUUUUUUUUCAACCUUUUAAUUUUGGUUAAUUUUGCAGAGAAGAAAAUUUGAUAAAUGAAGAAAGUUUGUAAAGAAAAAAAAUUUGAUAGAAGGAGUGUGUAGGAAGAAAAUUUCAUUAUUUAUCUUAUUAUCUUUACAUUUUUUUCUCUUUUAUCUUAAACAAAUCAAAUAUCAUGUUCAAAUAAAUUUAGUUGGAGGUUGUGUGUGAUAGAGAUUUAUUUUCAAUGAUUCGCACUACCUCGUUGAUAAGUAAUUUUCUUAUUUUUUUUCUCUAAUUUUAUUAUUUUCUUGAUACUUUGUUUCUCUUUUAUUAUCGUUAUUUUUUUUAAAAAAAAAUCCUUUUAACAUUUUUUCUCUCUAAAAUAUAGAAAAAAACAUAAGGAAAAUGUUUAGUUUCUUUAUCCACAGUUAUUUCUUUAUUUACAGUUAUUUCAUUAUUGUUUUUCAGUAUUACUAUUUUCUUUUCUUAUUAUUAUUUUCUUACUUUUAUUUUAUUACUAUUAAGUUUUUUCCUUUUUACUUAUUCUUAUCCUUAUUAUUGUUAUUAUUAUUAUUUAUUAUAAUAAUAAUAAUUAUUAUUAUUAUUAUUAUUAAUUGAUAAUUAUUAUUAUAUAAUAAUUUAUGGUGCCGCCAUUUCUCUCUUUUUUUUUCUUUCUUUCUUUAUAAAUUAUUUUCCUUUUUUUCUUUUUUCUUUCCUUAUUUUAUUUAUUGCCAUUAUGUCUUUUUCAUUUUUACUUAUUUACAUUACAAUUAUAAUAAUUAUUAUAAUUAUUAUAUGUGCUUAAAUUUAUGUAUGCAUAUUUUUCUUUACAUUUUACAUUGAAUUUAUCUAGACAAUAUUACCCUAUUAUUUUAUAUUAAUUAAUUAGUUUUUUUUUCUUUCAUAUUUGUCUUUACAUUUUAUCGUUCUUACACAACUCAGAUGGAAUUAGAAAUAUAUUGAAAUCUGAAUUUCUAAAUUCUUGAAGUGAGAAAAUCAGUUGUUUGAGAGUCCAAGAUCAAUCUUCAAUAUAUGUUUAAAAAGUAAUAAAAAUGGUAUCUUAUUUGUUUAAUUUACUGUGUGAUAUAUUUGAUUCUAUAUUGUGUAUUAUUUUCUAUUUGACUUAAUUUUGAAAUCUUUCUUAAACUUUUUUAACAAUUUAGAAAUAUUUUCCUUAAAACUAUUUUUUAAAUACUUUUAAAUUUUAAAUAUAAAUUUAUAUUUCAUAAGGUUUCCUAAUCAACCGUUUUUUUAAUAAUUCACAUCUAUUUUCUAAAAUAAAUCCUACGAUUGAAUCUAAAACUUGUUGGGAGUCCGAUUGAAUCUAAAACUUAUUGGGAGUCCGUUAUUUCUAGAUUCUUGAGGUGGAGGAACAAUAUUUUUUGAAGUUCGAGAUUUGAUUUCAAGAAAAAAUGAAUUUAAUCAAUGUUUUAAAAAAUCUUUAUUUGAAAACUAGCCUAUGAUAAAUUUUAAGAAAUUGUAAUAAUUUUUUCAUUUUCUUAAGGUGAGAAAUUUUCUUCAAUAUAUAGUUUAAUUAAUGAAAUAUUAUUCAACUUAUUUUAUAAGAUGAUUGCUUCAAAUAUUGGAGUAAUGAAGGGUAAAAUAAGACAUUAUUUUUAAAAUAAAUUAAAAAAUAUUUUCAAUUCUAUAUUUGAAAUUUGGCUACCGUUUUUUCUAAAUGGGUGUUGUGGGUACUAAUACAUUCCUCAUACAAAAUGACUCUCAAACUCAACUCUAUUUUACGCAGACCAUUUUUAAAAAAAAUUGUUUACUUUAUUUCGGUGUCCAAUCACUCCAUAAAAAAGAUCAAUGGUGACUCCUAUUUUCUUUUAAAUCUAACUCUUUUAAAGACGUCGAUCGCUCCGCGUUGUCUCAGGCACGUGGUGACAGCUUGGUGACUCUAUUGGGGACAUGAGACUCUACCUCGAGAGUUUGAUCAUGUUCUUCUUUAUCUUGAAUUGGUCAAAAAUCGUACAUGACAAUGACUAAAUUAAACAAACCAUCGAUCUAUACAAUGAGAUUAGCCUCAUUGUUGUCCACGCACAUUGUUCGUUGACCCUCCCUAUAACAUAUCUGUAAUGCCUCAAGUCCAGGACCUCCCUAUAACAUAUUUGUAAUGCCUUAGGUCCAGGAUUUGUCCUAGGAUUUUGAAUUCAAAUUCCUGACAUUCCCCUGCAACCUGACAUCAUUAUCCUUAUUAUUCUUUAAUGCUUAUUAGAGUGAAAGUUCUUUCCACAAACCAAUACGAAUUCUUUCAACAUGUUUUGUCCUCACUCACAUGCAUCCUAGAAAUAUUCUCAAGAUGUCACCCAACAUAGAAUUGCUUCAAAGUAAGCACGCUUAACUUAGAAGUUUCUAUAAUCAAGCCAUCGAAAAGGAAGGUACGCCUUAUUGGUAUAAGUAUUAACUAUUAAUUCUUUUUAAGUUUUUUUUUAACAUUACUUUCAUGUUCUCAGGAUCCUUCUCAUUCAGAUGUGAUAAUGGUUCAUUCAUGUCUCCCUCCUAAUCUCGAGCGUUACAAUAUUGGAGAUUGAAGUAGACAAGUCUUUGGUGCAUUCCAAACCAACCGAGUUGUCGAUGUAUUCCAAGAACCUGAUAACUUUGUUCCCUAAUUUGCCUUUGAAUUAUAUAAGUGGCUCUUUGGGGUGAUCUACAUGGAAUUUUCAAGGUGAGAAAUUAAAUGAGCAAAAUUAUUUUCAUGGUCUCAAUCAAUAAAGAUGUUCCUUGAAGGACGCCACUAGACCAGGUUCUUGACCGAAGAGACUUUUUGUCCUCCACCAAGUGACAUCUUGGAAUGAUUCUGGAAAAGAAACGACUCACUCAUUCGGUCCAUGUUGAUUAAUAGUAUGGAACCUCAAAUCGACAAGCCUCUCUUGUACACAACCACCAUAAAAGAUUUGUGGGAUACAACUCAGACCUUUUACUGUAAGCGUCAGAAUGUCUCUCAAUUGUACACAAUGAGAAUAUAGGUCCAUAAUUGCAAGCAAUGAACCCUAGGCGUGACUUCUUAUUUCAAUAAGCUCCCCCUUCUUUGGUAAGUUUGUGUAAGGAGACAGUUUAGGACAUGUCAAAUGACAGUAUACAAUAUGCUAAACUUGGGGAGACUGAUCUAAUCCCAAAUUUGAUAUUGUUUGUGGUCGUCUACUCGAACAAAAGAUCUCUUCUCUCCCUAAUGGAACUGUGUUUUGAAGUUCGUCUUGAAGAAGAUCGUACUAAUAUCAUGGGUGUACUGACUACCCCCAUGACUAACUCUGCUGUCUUUAGUGUCCAGUCCCCGACUCAUGAUAAUGACAAAAAUAAUGGAAAAAAAUCUCUAUUUGUGAGUACUGCAAGAAACAGUGGCACAUCAAGGAUACUCACAGAUAUAAAAAAAAUGCAUGGACUCCAAACAUCACUAUGAAUAAGGGUGAAAGGUUGAGUGGGUUUAUAUGGUUGCAAGGAAAAGGAAACUAAAUAUACUUACAUUUCUCUAAAUGUUUGUUUCAUUUGUCAAACAGUACAUUCAAUAGAGUUAUGUUCAUUAUCUUGUUGUAGUCUAUGAUGUCAGGUGGAGAGAGAUUCACAAACUUAAGUAACUAAUGAAAGAUACAGAGGAGUUAGCAUAGCAAUGUAUAUUUCCAUUAUAUAUUUUGAAAGACUUCCAAGCAAUCAGUACACUCCAAAUUAUUACAAAGAACAAGUACACAAACAGCUAAUAGAUGGUACAAAAUCCUUUUUCAUACAAACUUGAUUUUAAUAAAUCAAUCCCAUCAAUAAGAAAAAAAAAAUCCUUUUCACUUUUCUUUAAAAAAAAUCAAAAUCCCACCAACAAGUUGGAGGGUUUUACCAUUCAAAUUUACAUUCAAGCUCCGUCUUCCCGGGAAAAAAAUCUAAAAUAAAAGAAAAAAAGAAUAGAGAUGGAUUCUAAAUCUUACUUGUCCCUUGGGAACUUUGAUGAUGAACGACAAGAGCUUCAACAAAGAACAAAUGGCGAGAAUUUCAUUUUUUCUAAAGAAGAAGAGACUUUUGAUAGAGGAAGAGAGACGUCAGACAACAAUGAAGGAGUUAAAGGCAUUCAAUAGUCUAAUGAUGGAUAAACUGAAAACCAAACUGAACUUCAAUACUAUUACAUUUAUUAACCAGUCAAAACCAAACCGAAUCGAAUCGGUCCGAUUUGGUCCAAAGAUUCGGUUCAGUUUUUUACAUCCCCCAUGCAGAUUUACUUGCUUGAAACCUUUUACGACUUUGAAAAUAUAUAAAAAAACCACCCUCACUCUAAACUUGAACUGAUUUAACUUUCACUCUAAACCUAACAAAAAUCAAUUUGAAUCCAAAAUGAAUAACAAUAUCGUUCAAACUUUUUUGAAGUUUAGAAAGCAAAAACAGCAAAAUUGUCCCUAUCUCACUUCAUAAUUAAGUUAAGUUAUUUUGAUUUUUAGCUAAAAGUUCUAGUAGUAAUUUUAGAACCAUAAAAGAGUUUGAAUGUGAUUAAGGACCAAAACUUUAGUCCAGUAAAACAAGAUGUUUCCAAACUAUUGCAAGUUUUUUCACAGAUGCAUCUAUUUCCUCCUGUUUAUGGUACCAAAAAUACACACAUCUAAUGGAAACAUAAAGGCACUACAGACACUACACUGAAAUGAUUUGUUUCUGGUCCUACAUCAUCAGUUUGAUCUCCAUAAAUUCCUACCGAAGAAAAAUUGCUCAACGAUUUUGGAAGUCAACAGCGAGUUUUCCCUUUCAACAUACUGUAAAAGUAUAAUUACAUGAGAAAGAACAUAACAAUUAAGGGUUAGCUUGUUACCAUUGGUCAACACGAGAGCUUCACAUAUACACCUAUCACUUCAAAAAUACCAUUUUAGCUGCAUGUUACAGAAACAAACGAACUAGAAGCGACUAAGAUUCGAUAUCUAAGUAUGUGCAGGCAUAAAAUAAACAGGAGUGCAUCUGCUUCAGAGGUGAAAAAUUGGUAUCAUCAAUUGCAUCUCAAGUAGAGGCUUUUUUAGAUUUUUUCUUAGCUGUUCUGGCUAUAGCAUCACAAAUCUCUUUUUUCCUUUUGUUGUUACUGUUGAUGUUAUUGCUGUUUGUAUGGUUUUGGUUGUUGCCACCACCUGUGCUUGCCGAGCUCUUGGCAUGAACUUCAAGGGCAUCUUUAACAAAAAACUUCAACCGCCAUAAUGUAGAUUCACUCUACAUGAUACAACCAUAAACUCGAUUAAUCAUUGUCAUAGACAAAUAUAAGGCACACGAGGAGUGAAGGAAGGUACCUGUGCAUCGAUAUCAAGAUCCACCUCCUCAGCAGUAGCCUGGAAACUUGGGUUAUUUUCAGCUACAAUCUCCAACGCUUUGCUGAUAUCUUCUGGAGACAAUUUGGUGAGGGCUGCUCCAAGCUUCCUCUUUUCUUCAGUUGAUAUUUUUCUGAACCACACAAUGAUAGUAUCAGUAUACUCCAUCUAUGGGGUGCAAGUCAUCUUCUAAUGUCACAAAGCACAUCAAUCCCAUAAAUUGCCAAUCCUCAACCACAAAAUAGUAAGGAUAUUUAGAGGAGGUGGAGAAGAAUCCUACGGAAAUUUGGUUACUCAUAUUUCUUUGUGGCCUUUGAUUUCAAAGACUAUUUGUAACUAUUCUAUAGGCACUAUUUCAUAUAGUUGGAGUCCUAUUAGAUACCCUAGAUUAUAGGGCAGGUGUAUAAGGGUAAUUAGAUUUGUUGGUAGUUAGAUGGUUAUAAAUAGGAAGUUGGGGAGGGAAGAAGGGCAUGAAGAUUUUGGUGAAGAUAAUAGGCUGCAACAUUCCUUGAAAGAAAGGAAGGGCAGAGGGUUAGGGUUCCUUUUAAGUGUUGUUGAAUUUACUUUUACUUGUUUGUUCUUUUAUAUUGUAAUUUCUGUUUGAGAUAUCAAUAAAAUUGAAACACUCUAUCAGUGUUCUAACAAGUCCCUUCUUGUGGAGGUAGCAACCUCUAUUGUGAUUUCUUUUUUACUAUGCCCGGGUAUUUUUUCAUUGUUUGCUCAAUGAAAGUUGUGGUUUUUAUAUAUAAAAAGGGAGAAAAUGGAAUUACAUAUGAUUGGUAAAAGUUUUUUAUUUGGGGCACACAACACAUGCCACUCAAAUGCCAAAUUCUGAAUAUGCUAUAGGCGAAUGUGAUGCAUUUAUAUUGAUGCAUGGUACCUGAAUGCAAGUUCAAAAGCUGAAAUUUGGAACGAGAAAAGUGAGAACAAACCUGCAGUUCUGCACAACCAGUUCUCGAAGCUCUUCUAGUUGCAUAUCUACCUCGUAAAUCUGAAAACAGUUCAUAUCCCACGUUUAAACAGUCAAUUGUGUUUCCCAUUUAAGGUAAUAGAAAGAACAAGAGGAUGCAGGUCAUCUCUAAACAAACUCUCUCUAAGUAGCUAGAUCCAUGGAAUAAGAUGGACACCCGACCUCAUUACUUAUAUCCCUAGCCAUUUUUGCUUGAGCAGCCUCCUGAGCAAGCUGCAUGUCCAACAGAGCUUCUGCUUCCUCGUCCUCUCGUCUCUUUUCCUGGAAGGUGAGGUCUUUAGAACUUCAAGUAUAUUUUUUAACAUAUCCUUUGAACAAAUGAAACCAUGUUGGCACCAUGAAUUGAUUAAGGAACAUUGAUCCAUUUAAGAACCAUUCUCAAAACUAACUUACCUCUUCAGUGACUUUAGGUAGAAGUUGAAGCCAUUUUUCUUCAAACUUUGCGAGCAAAGUCUUGGCCAUCACGUGAACAUCACUUCUCUCAUCAUUAUAUUUCAUUGCAUUCUUGAAGACUAAUCUCACGUCAGAACAUAUUUCUCUCACAUUCUUAUAUCCAGUACCAUCCUUAGCCUCCAUUUGAUUUUUUAUUGUACUGAAGUCCAUAGGCUUGUCAAUAACCUAAUAAAUACAGUACAGUACAUAUGUUAGCUGAAGGAUUACAGAACCAGAGUACAUACCAAAGAUGCUAAAAUAUGCACAUGCCCAUCACACCUAAUUGCAGAAGAAGCUACAUUUGUAAAUACACUCAUAUCAUUUAAACAUUUUUGAGGUAAAUGUAUGCAUAUUGAAUGUUCAUCUUAGACAGAAUAGAAAACACAACCUAUAAGACAUGCAUGAAAUUAGUGCAGUCUAGACAAACCACAGGAAAAAUACACACAAAAAAGGUGAUGCAAGCAUGAAAGAUGAGCCUCUUCUAGGCUUUUAGGACAAACAAGAGACGCAACAUCAUGCCUAAACAUUAUAAACACAGCCAACCUCCUCUAACCAAAUUCUCUCGAAAUCUUCAUUUGAAGAAAUAUAUAUAGCACUGCUUAAACUCAGUGGGUAGUCCAGCCUAACUUGGAAAAAAGACUUAUGAUAGUGAUGUGAAAUCCAUGCAUUAUUUUUUUAUAUCCGUGAGUAUUCGGGCCAACUUAUGUGCACCUCAACUAAUCUCACGAAACAACCGCCAGACCGUACAACAUUUGGAUGUCAAGGGAACUCGUAGGAAAUUAAUUCCUAAGUAGGUGGCCACUAAUGAUUGAACCCAUGACCUCUUAGUUAGAUAUUGAGACUGUCUCCCUUUUUACCACUAGGGCAACCUAUAAUGGUUGAAAUCCAUACAUCUUAUUAGAUAGGGAUAUAGACCUCACCUCAUAAUAAUCAUGUAAUCCAAGACCUUCCACAUCCACUGGCUGCAUAAAAGGCCAGGCCCACUUAUGCUGUGAUAUCUGAAAGUCAAUGCAGAAAUAUAAAAACCAUGUCCAACUAUAGCUCUUGUUCCAAAUAAUUAUCGACAGAAAUUGAAAUAAAUGUAAGAACACAAACAAUUAUCGACAGAAAUUGAAAUAAAUGGCAGUGAGUCUGUAACCUGACGCAAUAUUGUCCCAAACUGCCGCAUGAGUUCUUGCAUUCUCUUUGUAGCUGCAGCUUCUCUGCGAGCUGCUUCUUGCUGCUGCUUUUUAAUACUUGGAACAUGUCUUUCCUUAUCUUUAUCCUUUACAAUAGAGCUGCCUUUAUUACCAUUUGGUUGCUUCUUUUUCAGCGUCAAAUAGAAUUGUUCUAUCUCAUUCACAUUUUGCUCAAGCUGCAAGCAUAGAAGAAAGCUCAAGAUUUGAAACUAACAAUUUGACGAGCAAAAGGAUAGCUAAUUUGGAAGGAUACAUCUGAACAAAAAAACUUAUGAUCCAGCUGAACUACUAUCAAAUUUUACAUAACAUUGCUAUCCUAAAAUUUGAAACUGGUCUCUCGAGUCAUUUCAUUGUCCAAAUUUUGAUCAAGAUGUGAGUCUGUGAGGUGAUGAAUUAAAUGAUGGUAUCUGUCAUUGUGGGAUAAAUACACACAUGAUGAAUAGGAGUCUUUCCUCCACUUAAUUAUAUUCCUCUCGUUUCACUUGUCAUGUUUGUGAAUUAAGUAGCCUGUCAUACCAUCUCCUUUCAUAUAUUUAUAUAAGCUAAUCUCAAUGUGAAAAAAAUGAAAAAAAAAAAAAUGCAAGGACGUACCAAAAAAUAAGCUAGGGAGCACCCUAUAAAAAGGGAUCCAGUCAAGAAAACUAAGAUGUGGUGAAUGACUACAAAGGAGAUUCGUCACCAACACCCAAAGAGAACUUUUGUUAUAUAUAAGAAGAUUUUCAUGAUAAAAUGAAAUAAAGGGAUAAACCCAAACACCAGAAGGUGAUUACAGAAAAUAAUGCCAAUUAAAGACUAAAUAGGAGAGACCACAGAGAGAUAUUAAAUCUCACAAGGAACCAAACAUUAGAAGACUCCCUCUUAAUCCCCCUAAAAGUUCUAUCCCCGAAUACCCCACAUCACAGCAUACAUCCCAACUUGGUUGUCAUACCAUCUGAUCUUAAAUUGUGACUUCUUUUUUUUAACGAGAAACAAAUUUGAUAAGGAAGGAAAUGACUUUCAAAUAGUAACUAAAUGUUUUCAUCUCAAUCAUUAUAAAUAAAUAAAAAAACUUGAGAGACUAUUUCAACCCAUAUUCAAAACUUCAAGGAUUAAAAAGCUUCGUACACUAAGGACUACCAAAAUUAUUUUUCCCAUACCUCAUCUAUUUUAUGUAGAUAAGGGAUAUCAAACAGCCACACCCUUCACCCAGCCAGAAAAUACUAGAUCUGCCGGACAGCUGUAUGCCCCAACCCAACUAUCAAAUGUGCAAUAAACCGAGCAAAAAAAAAAAAAAUACAUGUUCAGAACAAUGAGGUUACAAUAUAUCAGUGCUUUACCCUGUCAACCUUCAGGAAAAUCUCAUCGACUUGAUGCCUAAAGCCAUCCACUUCUGUAUGAACAGUAUCCCCCACAACAAAGUUUCUGCCAUCUGCUACAUCCAUGGGAUCAAUCUAAUUCUGUACAACAACAUUUGGUGAAUACAAAGAACGCUACCUUGGGAAUUGCCAAAAAAAAAAAAAGAUAGAUAAUGCUCUUUAAGGUGUAAAAUGCCUUGAAAAUAAUAGUUUCCUUAAGACUUAAACCUAAAAAUUAAAAUAAAAUGAGGCAAACCUUUUCUGUGAAUUUUUUUAAAAGUAAAUAUGAAAAUAUAUGAUAUUAUGAGUAAUAAGAUCAACAAAUUAGGACUUUUACCAUGGAAAUAAAAAACAGCAAUAUAGUUUCACAAGGAGCCCUCACCGCACAAAGAACCCUAGAAUAGACAAUAGAUGGAUAAUACAACCGAAUAAGAAGCAUCAUAAACUAUAGAUGCAAAAAAAAAGGUAGGAAACAAUUGAUUUAUGAAACAAAAUGAUGCACCUGGCUACAAAUAUAAGAACAAACUGAAUUUUCCAGUUAUCCUUCUGUAGCAAUAAACUUACUCCAACAAACAACAAUGCAAAGAACCCCCAAAUUAAAUGGUAUAACUACAAAUAUUGACCUAAUUGAACCCAAAGAAAAUUUUACAAACUAAUCCAAAAAACAAAAUCUUCUCUACCACUAACUCAUUCCUGAAAACAUUUCCAUGACCUUUUAGCCAUGUGUAUUGACAUUAUUAACCUUCUCUAUUCAAAUCCUCAACCGUUCGAUUUUCUCUCUCCUCAACCAACAUCUUCAAUGCUAAUCACCAAUAUUCCACCAAAACAUUUAUACUCAACAACAUUUUGUCAUUAGCAUUGAAUGAUCUUGGAUUAUAUCACCGAUGGGACAAAAAAGUCGCUCUAAAACAUUGAAUUUCCUUCCCAUUCUCAUUCCCUGCUCUUCACAUUCUUCUACAAUCAUUCUCCAUCAAAGUUUCAGGUGAAAAUCCUUCUUGUCCUUCGUAUUUGCUCCAAUCGGUCUUCAGAACCAAGUAACUGGACUAUAAGUACUCGUGUGUGAAUUUUAUCUUAUUUUUUAAUAUUACUCAUCGUCUAACAAAAUCGUCAUGACCGUUGAGAUUUUACACACGAUCAUGGUACAUUUUAAUGUAAGAAUUAUAACUAAUUGUUGAUUAUCAAUUAGUUAGUAGUUAGUUUAAUCAUCUGACUAAAUUCUUGAUUUCCAACCAACCUCUAGUUAGUUGUUAGUUUUAUUUUCUGUUAAAAGUUUGUUAUAACCGUCCAACUUUAUCCUUUUUUUUUUUAAAUGGAGACAAGCCUCUUUAUUAAUAAUAAUAAAUGAGACUAAUGCUCAAAGUACAAGAGUAAUAUACUAAGAGCAAAAUAAGAAAAAGACAAAGUCUUUCAAACAAACUAAACAAAGAUGAACCCAUACAAAGUAUAUGGGAAACGACCAAUAAACGAUCACAAAGUUGAAACAACGAAAGAACCAAAGCAACAAAGAGUUGAAACACCAGUAAAGAUCUUAAUACAAAGAAAAUAUAAACACUUUGAUGAAAAGCGCCCACUUCAAACUGAAAUUUUGAAUACCACAUGCUUCGAUUUGAAAGGUGAAGUAGUAAAAUCAAGUUUUUCUUCGCAAGAGGGCAAGGAAACCUACAAAUAAGUAUACGGGAUCAAAAUGUCUCUUCAACCAUAGAAGCCAUGCAGCCCCUGUUAGGUUGUUGCGCUUAUAUGAGAUUAAUGCUCCUUUGUUUAUUUCCAUAUUCUAUUUACAUUGUGCCGUUCUUGAUCUUUUAUCCCGCUUUACAAGGCUUUCUAGCAUUUUAUUUCGGUAGUAUAUUGCUAUCAUGCUUCUGCACAAUUGCCAAGGAACUGAAUGAAGAUCUGAACCAAUCAUCAUGACCCAAGAUUUGUGUGCUUCUUCCGCUCGAUGGUCCAUGUCUAAAGCCCAUAUUAACUGCCCAUAGACAUUCAUUGUGGCUCCCUGGCCCUUGCUUAGCAUCUAUUUGAUUACCUGUACAAUUCUAUGCCACUGUUGUUCCUUCUCAAGGGCAGCCAAUACAUGCUUAAGGGAUGCUAUUGGAAAGACUUGCUCCCAUGCAACUCAGGCAUCAAGAGCACCAUAAACAGCCUCCUUACCUAUCUCUCAGAUGAAGCAGCUCUAAAUCCGUGAUUGAGCUGCUGUCCCACAUAGACAAAAUCCCCCUGAAGAACCCACAGAUUCCACAAAAUCCCAACCAACAUCUUUGGAGCUCCAUAGAGAUUUUAUAAAAGCAAAAUUGAUAGCUUCCAUUUUUUACUCUUGAGUCAAAAUUAUGUUCGGAUUACAGUUUUUUUAACUUUUUGAGAGCCGCUCUCUUGGAGACAUCUUUUAGACCCCUUGUAUUCCAUAAGAUAAUCUUCAUAGGGCUGAGUGAGAGCAAAUAGUGGGCUGACCCCUUAGACCAGAACUAUACCACAGUGGGUUUAGGGUUUAGGGUUAUUAACUAAAGAUAACAAAUCUUUACGUAAUUCUAAAGAGCUUUAGAAGGGGAAUGGCAGAUUCCUCAAAUAAUGUAGUAAGAUCAGUCCCAUCUAUUUCUGAGGUGACAUUUUGAUCAGAAACUCUUAGAAAACCCACUGAUUCUUCACUACUUACAUUAAAAGGAGAGUCUAUGGUCACAGCACGAGUCUUCUCUGGUGAGUUUAAAAAAUAUAAAAUAUGGCAGGGGGAUCCUUGCAUUAAAGAUACAUUAGUGUUGGGGUUGGGGAGUUUGAAGUAAAGAAAAGAAAUGGGAGGAAAACCUGCUGAAGCUGACCUUAUGAGACCAUCAGAAGACUGUAUUUUGGUGCUGCACACCUCCAGAAGAUCAGGAUUUUCUUCUGAUAUUGAAGGCCCUGUACGGGUGAUCUGUGGAGGAGCUGAAGCUGAAGCUUUGAGUGAACAGAAUCCAUUCAGUUCUGAUUGUAGCAAGGUUGUCCAGAUAUUAUUAAAAGAAUUUUGCUUUCUGAUGUAGUGUUUAACUAUUUUCGGAACUUUAGAAGAUUUACCACCUAUGAAGAGGGAUUUGCUGUGGCAGUGGGCAGCUCAGGAGUUGGCUGCAGAGUUGGAUUGGCCAAGAGCUUAAUUAAAGAGGAUGGAGGCUCAUUAUUACCCGUGAACGUAAUUAGGGGGCACAAUGUUACUCUCACCUGGUGGGUCAUUAGCAGCUGUAAAAAGAGGGUUUAAUUUAAUUUCAGUGGGCCCUAUAACUUUUUGGAGACAGCUGUGCUGCAAGGGAUUGGUGAUUGGCAAAAACUGUUCAGAUGCCCGCUCGUUUGAGAAAACAGCCAGCUGUGCACCGAUUUCUGUCUUUUUCUCCAGCAAUGGCACCGGUAAGCUGGCCAGAAAGGGCUUCAAAAGACUGAACGGAUUCCUAGCCCUGGGAAGAACAAACACUGACUUUGGUACAUUGAUGACUGGAGGGAAGGAGGAAAUGUCAAGACCUUCAUGAUUCAAAACUUCCCUAAUACGCAACCCCGGUCGAUUGAGUUACUAAAAUUCCUUGCAAACUGGGGGCUAUGCUUGUAUUAGGUGGAUUUAAAAAACUCAAAAUCACCAUAGUGCAGAAAGAUGCUACCCCUCUUAUGAUCAGAGAUUUCAAUUGUUGAAGGAACAAAGCUACAAAUGUUCUUUUUGACCAAGAUCCGGGCUUCACUACAAUUUGUAAGAUUUAAGGUUUUUGUGGCUAUCAAUUAGUCUUCCAAAGUGGUCUCCUAUAGCUUCAAAGGUGCUUCAUUUCCAGAAAUCUAAAGGAAGAUUCUUUAUUUUAGUCCAGCCCCCAAAACAUUGAAUCACGAGGGGCCUACUACGUCCAGCUUUAUCCUUUGUAUAAAUAGGUCAUUUGACUUCUCUUUCAAAUCAAUAAAAAGAUAAAGAAAUUUUAGUAUUCUUGAGUUUUGUUUACACCAAUUGGUAUGAGAGCGAAGAUCCAUUACGCAUUCUUUCUUGGAUCACUUUUUUUUCAUGGAUGCAGAAACCUCCUCUUUAACAAAGCUAUGGAAACCAGACUGACUAAUGUAGAGAAAUCUGUAGGUGAAAUUCAAGGCGAGUUAGAUGAAAUCUGUUCUAUGCCGUGGGAAAUUUUACAGAACUUAAAUAUCAAUUCUGAAACCAACAGAGAGCAUGCUGAAUUAGCUCCAAACAAAAAAAUUCAGAUCCAAGAACGACAAGAUUUGGGCGACGACAGAGCUGUCAACUUUAAUUCUUCACUAAAUGAAGCCAAGAACCUUGCAAGAAACCCAGCCAAACAAAAGAUUGUCAAAUAUCCUUAUAAAAAAUUAAAGAUGAAAACAGUCCAAUGAAACUGCAGGACACGAUUACACUUUUGAAUUAAAGAUGAAAACAUGCCAAGGUUUUGUAGUUGGCAAAGAAAAGGUUCACAUACUAAUCCUCCAAUUCGCAAACGACACCCUUCUGUUUUGUAAGUAUGAUGAAAGCAUGCUAAUGAAACUGCAGGACACGAUUACACUCUUUGAAUGGUGCUCCAAGCAGAGACACAGAAGGUUAAUUGGGAGAAAUCAGCCUUAUAUGGAGUUAAUGUGGAAGAGGAUGAGCUGAAAAAUAUGCCUGGGAAAAUGGGAUGUUCUGCAAAAAUGAUGCCCUUCUUAUACUUAGGGCUUCCAUUGGGAGGGUAUUCAAGACAGUGUACUUUUUGGCAGCCCAUGAUUGAGAAAAUGCAGAGAAAAAUACACAGAUGGAGAAGAUUCAACUUGUCACAAGAAGGUAGAGCUACUUUAUGUCAAUCCGUAUUUGCUAAUCUUCCUACAUAUUACAUGUCUCUGUUUGCAAUUCCGAUUAAUAUAGCAUCUUCUUUGGAGAGAUUAAUGAGGAAUUUUUUCUGGGAGCAGCACACAAGAAGUAAAAUUAACCAUUUGGUUAAAUGGGCCAAAGUUAUCCGAAACCAUUUGGUUAAAUGGGCCGCCCCAACUUGUGGAGGUUUGGGCUUGGGAGCAUUGCAAAAUAAGAACAUGGCUCUACUUCCAAGCGGGGCUGGAGGUUUAUGAAUGAAGACGACUCUCUAUGGAGACAAGUCAUCCAAAGCAUCUAUGGAAAAGAACCCUUCAACUGGCACACGGUGGGAAAUUCUAGCCACAGUCUAAAAGGCCCAUGGAUUAGUAUCUCACAGGUAUGAAGGAAGGUGGAGCCUUUAGCUUCUUCUAAACUUGGAGAUGGUUCAAGGACUGCCUUUUGAACAGAUGAUAGGAUUGCCUUCCUCUCUGCACUCAAUACCCCCUGCCUCUUCAGAAUUACACUUCUACCAAAACGCUCCAUAGCAGUGCACUGGGAUUAUUCAACUUCUUCUUGGUCCAUAGUCUUUAGAAGGCUUCUUAAAGACAUUGAAAUUUUGGAAUUACAAAACUUGAUGACUCAACUAGCUUCAAAAAAGGUCUCAAACAAUCCCAACAGAAGGAUUUGGUCUUUGGAAGAGCAUAGGAAGUUUACAGUCAAGUCUCUUACAAGACACCUACUGGCUUUUUCCCCAUUGGCCAAGGAUCUUCAUAAAGCUUUGUGUAAACCCAAAUGUCCACCAAAGAGAGUAAGUAUUCUCGUUUGGAUUAUGAUUUUUGGCCUCUUGAAUUGCGCUUCAGUCAUGCAACUAAAGACACCAAACAGCUGCCUAUCACCUUCCAUGUGUCCACUGUGCAAGCAAGAAGGUGAAGAUUUACAGCACCUAUUCUUCAAAUGCUCUCUCUCCAAACUGUUAGUGGAAGCUUUUUUUAUUUUCGAUGUGGUUUGUGUCUUUGGAAUUCUUUUAACCAAAAUGUUCAGCAAGUGGGUCCGAUAUUUAAGAAGAAACUGAGGCUGAUUUGGGCUAAUUUUUCAAAAGCUAUGUUUUCUGAAAUUUGGUUUGAAAGGAACCAAAGAACCUUCCAUGACAAUAAAACUUCUUGGUUGGAUCACUUUAAGACAGCAAGUAGGAACGCAGUAACUUGGUGUACCCUCCAUAAAGAAUUCGAAGCUUUCUCCAUUUAAGCUAUCAAUCACAACUGGCAGUCCUUCAUUUAUUCAGUUCUUUAACAGUCAGUCCUUCAUGAAGACCCACUGUUUUGACCUUCUAUAUGGUUGCUGUCCUUUUGAUGUAUUUGUUAUGUUUGUUAUGUUUUUAUUUCCAUUCCAUUUUGGAUCUGCAGCUCAUCAUGGUUUGUACUCCUGAAUACUUUAUUUUGUAUUUUUUGACCCUAUGUGUACUGGAUAUAACAAGGACGCUAAGGGAGUGUCCGGGUGCGCCUACUAAUCCCAUAGUCUCUUAAUGUUUUCUACUCUUUGUAUAAACCUUUUGUACUUUGAGCUAUUAUUAUAAAUAAAGAGGCUGGUUUCCUUUAAAGAAAAAAUAAAUAAAUAAGAAACUGUCAUCUAUAUCCUUAUAAAGUUUCUAUAAAAAUUUGGACAAAGUCUCCUCUGAAAAACGAACUAGUCACACCUAGAAAAUAAGAGAAAAAAAUUGAAAACGUAAGUUAAAACUCAAUGAGUGGCAAGUUUUUAAAAGUAAAACUUAUAAAACAUACUUCUAAUAAGAAACAUUUAGGCAUACUUUUGAUAACAAAACCAUAACUCAGAUUCCAAGAUCGUUAUUUAUAAAAUCGUUACAAAUUUAUUAAAAACAUGUCAACUUAUCCAUGUCCAAUUCAACACAAAAGGUUAAAGUAAAUACCAACAAUGAAGCAUAAGGCCAUACCCAGCUCACACAUAUUUACCAUUAACCCUCUACAAUCCCAAUCUACGACACUAGAACACACUGAAUAAACGGCUGGAGAAUAGCUCACGCAUGAUUCAAAGGACAUGCGGCUAAACUGAGUUCACGCAUAUUCACAAUCAAACAUGUACAUAUCUCGGUGUACCAUGGAAAAAUGUAUCCAAGAAUAGCUCAACAUGUUCCAUAUCCACAAGGAAACAUACGGCCAAACUGAGCUCACGCACAUUUAGUAACUGCAAUAAUGACGAUCUAAUCUCAAUAUCCACAUCCUCGGUAACUAUGCUCCUAUGUGCACAUAGAGAUAUCCUCCAAGGGUUUUUCUAGGCUCGAAGCCAAUACUACAGCCUACAUCCAUUUCCUCACCUAGGUUUAGGUUCCUAGAUCUCUGGGUUACAACUUCCCUCAACCCCAGAAUCCCUUGGAAACCGUAGGGGGUGCUAUGGACACACAUUCAUGUAGCCUAUGGGUAAAAUCACCUCAGUACACUGAUUCUGUGGUUUGAAAACCAACCUUCACAUUCCACCAUAAACCAUCAUCUAUAAAUACAUCUCAUACCCAACAUUUCAUGCAGUCCAAAGCUAAAACAAAUUUUCUAAAUAAGAGAGACAGAAGCAUUCGCAUCGAUAAAUCCAAACUAAGCAUAUUUUAACACAAAUUUCCGAAAGAACUCAAAAUACUAGAGAAGUUGUAGCUAUUUAUCACAAUUUCUAAUAUUUCAUAAAAUCCACUAUAAAAUCACAUUUGCAUAUAACUCAUGUAAAUUGUAAUUAAAUCAUAUCCUAUUCAAAAACACAUAUUACAAAUUCGCAUUAUAGAGAACUCAUGAUAAAUCAUAAACUUUAGUUAAGGUCAUUAUUGAUAAUACAGUUAUAUCAAAACAAGCUAUGCCGAACACUUAUUCACAAACCAAAUUCAACUAUAUGUCUAAAAUAAAUUUUCAUAUAAAAUAUUUGAAAAUAACCACUUACGGUCAAUAGCUUGAUCCUCUAAGAUUAGAAGCUCUCCCUGGCUUGACUUAAAGCGACGUGAAAACCGCAAUGACUUCUUAACAAUACCUCUCAGUCCUGAAAAGAUCCAACCAAUAUCAAAACCAACCUUGUUGGAAAUCUAUUCAAUUUAAUCCAAAACAGUAUGGGCAUCAAUAAACUCAUGCCUAAACCAAAUGGGUGCUUCAAGAACUUAAAGAAAACGCACUAUAGUACCCAAAAUCUUACCUAAGGCUUGUUUAAAUAGCCUUAGCUUCGAUGGACAGCACUCAGCGGUUUUCUAAAUUCACAUCCUAACAUCCAAAAAUCAUGGGUACCUCAAAAUUACCACCAAACCUUAAUGGAUAUUCAAGACCAACUCCAAAAAGUUUAGAUUCUUACCCAUUUGAUGCCAAAAACGCCUAGUAUUCACUUCUCGCCAGCUGGACUGCAGUUAACUCCUUCCAAAAGCUCGAUUAUAAUACUUAAACCUGAUGUGCAUUAAUAAAUUUAAGUCAAAAUUUAAUGGGUGUUCCAAAUCUUUACAAGAAACUCAACUAAAACAAUGAAAUUUUACCCCAAAACUCAAGAAUCAAACUUUCAGCGACAACGCAACGAUAAGCAACAGAGAUUCGAUGCUCACCAGAACACCGGAGGCUCAAUCAACGCAUAGAAAGGAUGGACAACUAGCUCGACAGAGGACUCGUGGGUCCGAGUGGCAAGAUCUGGCACUACGACUUUGGAUUAAAUAGCAGCGCGAAACGAACCUCGGGGGUAGCGUGACUGUGGGCCAAGUGGCAGCGUGCACGACAAACAAAAUCCAACGGCCAGGAGUUGGUGGACGAUUUCCAAUCGGCAGACAGUGGCUAAUCGGAGACGACGAGAGGAAGGGAGGGCCGUGGGCUUUCACGAAGAGGAAGAAAAAUCCAGCUUCUUCUUUAUUAUAAUUUCAUUUUAUAAAAAUAUAAAAUAAAAAGAUAAGAAAUGACCAAAAUGCCUCUCACUUUUAUUUUUAUAUUUCCUUAAUGCCCUUAGUGGUGUACUUCGAAUCUACCCUUUUGAGAAAAAUACAACUACUCUUUCUAAUAAUUGCUUCUUAUAAAUAAUAUCAUCUCCUCCAAACAGAAGAGAAACAUUCAUCAACCAAAACCCUUCUAGUGGUUUGCACCAUUUGGUAUCAUAGCACCCAAGGAUUUCUAGGACCAAUGGCCCUUCCUCAACCAAUCAAUUAGGUGGACGACGUCGAAACGAUCAAGAGCAAGAGGCAAAAUCAACUUCCAUCCUCUCUCCCAACGACUUCUUCAAGACACGCUUAGUUGAGAGAAUUAAGAAAAUUCUUAGAGAACGUUUGGUGAAGGAAAAAGUUAUGAUAUAAUCUUAUGAUUAUAAUAAAACUAAUUUUAUGAUAAGAUGUGUUUGGAAACGGUUUGUUAUUGAUAGUGUUAUGAUAGUAUGUGUUUGGGAAAUGAUUAUGAUAAGUAGUAUUAUGAUAAUAUUUGUCAUAAACUUGGCCAUUAUUCCUCGGAAUGCAUAAAUAGAGUUGAAUAAAAUGCAAAUUAUGCUGAGAAAGACGAAGAAAGUGGUAAUUCAUCAUUGCUUCUAGCAUGUAAAGGUGUGGAAACAUGUGAAAACAAUGCAUGGUAUCUCGAUAGAGGUGCAAGCAAUCAUAUGUAUGGAAGUAAAUCAAUGUUCGUGGAGCUUGAUGAAUCUGUUGGUGGCGAUAUUGUAUUUGGUGAUGCCACAAAAAUUCCAGUUAGAGGAAAAGGUAAAAUGUUGAUCAAUUUGAAGAAUGGAAAGCAUGAGUUUAUCUCUAAUGUUUAUUAUGUGCUUGAUAUGAAGAACAACAUUUUGAGUUUGAGACAACUCUUAGAGAAAGGCUAUAAUAUUUUGAUGAAGGAUUAUAGUCUUUUGAUAAGAGAUAAUCAUGACGAUAUGAUUGCUAAAGUGCAAAAGACAAAAAAUAGAAUGUUUUUAUUGAACAUUCAAACUGAUGUAUCGAAAUAUUUAAAGUCAUGUUUGAAAGAUCCAAACUGGAUUUGGCGCUUGAGAUUUUGGCAUUUAAAUUUUGAUGGCUUGAGACUAUUAGCCAGGAAGGACAAACAUCCAAACCAAUUUGGUGAAGGUUGUCUUUAUGGCAAGCAAUCAAGGAAGAGUUUUCCACAACAAUCAUCCAAGUGUGAGUAGAAUACACAUAAAAAAUUAGAAUCUUCCAAUAAAGUUUGUUUUUCCUCUUAAAUAUUCUAUUUGGUAAUUAUCUAUUUGGGGUGUUCAUCGUACGCUUCCAACAGUAUAAACGUCAUGAAAAGCAAAAAAAAAUCUUAUAUUAUAAGAUUAUGCGGUUGUAAUGUGAGUUGACAAAAUGGAAUAGGGAAGCAAAUGAAAUGAAAUGCUACACACACUCACCGAUUGUCUUGCUCCUCCAAUCCCUGACAUCAGUGAGAGUUUAUGUAUAGCAUGAAAACCGUCUAUCAACCAUAUAGACUCCUUGGGUUCUCAUAAUAACAUUUGCACUUUUAAAUCUUUUCGAUACAAAUUUUGAUGUUGUGUUGGGAAACAAGACUUUGAUGUGGUGUCGAUCAUUGGCGUGCAAGUAUCUUAAUUUUGUUGGAGAAGUUCUUAGUAACAACAUAUGUUCUGAUUUUGAGGACCAACAACAUCCCACAGUAGAAGCCAUUAUUAUUUCACCGUCGAUUGACACUUCAAAAUGAAUAAAACCCUCCGCUUCGUCACAUGAAUCUCCAUCUGCUUUGAAAAUUACACACAGAACCAAAGCUGGUAUGUUCUUAUCUAAAUUGUGACGAAACCUAACACUCAUUGAACUUCUCGUAGUUUGUUUGUUGCAGUAUUUUGGAAUCUCAUUGUUUGUUAUGAAGAGCACUUUUGUUGAGUCACUAAAUUCAGCGUCCUAAGGGAUUAAGAGUUAAUUGGCAUUAAAUAAGAGAACAUAUAUAACAUUAGAUAUUAUGAUAUGAACAAAUAGAAAUUAGAUGAAAGGAGAGGAACCUGUUUUCCGAACAUCAUAUCAGCAAUGCAAUCAGGACGUAUAGCCAACAAUUCGCUACCACUGGCAUUCACCCGAGCUAAAUGAUGGGGAAGCUUUAUUAUAUUUUGAAGAAACUUGCAAUUCCUUAAUUCAAGAAACCUUAAUGACUUAAAAUUUUGGAGAGAGGGUAGACAAGAGAAUGUGUUUCCUGACAAAUUUAGCUUCUCCAAGGAAGUGCAGACAUUAGAUAAUGUUUCGAGGAAAUCAGAAUUUGAUAUAUUACAAUUUUUGAGAUCCAAUACCGUCAGCUUGAAAUAUGAGCUUUCUUGGGAAAAAUUUAAGCUUGAUCUCGGGGGAAACAUGUCGAGUUUAGAACACCCGCGAAGAUGAAGUUCCUCGAGACUUUUUAGCCAAUGAAUUUCAUUUGGAAGGGCAGUCAGGUUUGCACAAUCAUUAAGGUUUAAAUUCUCGAGCCCAAUAAGAUAUCCAAUUGAUGAAGGUAACACCCUUAUGGCUGUACCGUUCAAAUUCAUCACCCUUAAAGAUUUCAUGUUUUCAUCAAAUUCUGGAAGUUGUUCAAGCUUGUAACAAUUAGUGAAACUCAAAGAAUCAAGAGACUUCAACUUCAGGCUGCUAGGAAGCUUUUCUAGGUUAUGGCAUAAAUCGAGUUGUAAGGUGAUAAGUUUAUCAAGAGACCCAAUAGACUCGUGAAUUAUUCUUAAAGAGAAGCAAGUAUUGAGAUCUAAUAUCUCAAGGUUUGAUGCCAUUGAAAAGUCAGUAAUUUCUUCAAGAUUUAGACAAUCCCGUAGAUUCAGAACUUUAAGAGAUUUGAACUUCAGGUGGCUUGGAAACUUUCUAAAAGAGCUGUCAAAAAAAGUUUCAAGCUUUAGACAUGAAGCGAGAUUCAAAAGUUCAAGAGACUCUAACUUGUUGGUGUAAAUUGGUAGCCUUUCAAGGUUUUUACAGCCUUCCAGAUCCAAGAUAAUAAGCUUAUCAAGAGAACGACCAAUAGAGUCGUGAAUUAUUCUCAAACGGUCGCAUUCCCUGAGAUAUAGUUCCUUAAGGUUUGAAGAUGCAGACAAGUCAGGAAUUUCUUCAAUUUUUCUGCACCUACUAAGAUUCAAAACUUCAAGAGAUUUUAACAUGAGAUAGCUGCUUGGAAACUUUUCUAGGUUGUCACAACCUUCAAGGUCCAAUGUAACAAGCUUACUAAGAGAAGCCACAGACUCGUGAAUCACUUUCAAACUCGUGCAUCCCCUAAGAUAUAAUUUCUCAAGGUUUAAUGUGGCAGAGAAGUUGGGAGUUUCCUUUAACGUGCCACAAUAACUCAGAUCAACAUGCUUCAUUGUUUUACAAUUCUAAAACAAAUGGGAAAAAAAAUCAUUAAAUAAACUUCCAAAAAAUCACACACAAGUAGAAGCAGUACUAAAAUUUACCUCAAAUGCAAUCCUUGGCUGUUUGUUGACUACACCUUUCAUAACUAGUCCGACAAGCCGACCUUUCACAGAAAAACUUAUGGACGAAGACUGGUUAACAUAAAAUGUAGACCACUCAAUCCACUUCAACGAAUUAGGUAAAUACUCAAAUAUAUUUUUAGGGAAGUAUGCUACUCUUUGAAGGAUAAGCAAUCUAAGAUUUUUCAUGUUUCUAAAUGCUUCUGCUUCAACAAUUUUCAGCCAAGGUUUGUAGUGCAAGUCUAACUUUAUGGCUUUAACUGCUUUAGUUCCCUACAAGGUUAUAAAUCAAGUAAUUUUACAUUAUUAACAAAUAAUUACCGACCGAUUUGACUUGCAUUAUGUUUUAAUUUCAUCACAGUAUAUAUCUUUGGCAAUAAGUAAAUAAAAACAUUGUCUAAAGUCACUCACAGAUUUCUCUUUCAAUAUCUUGAUAGCUCCUUCUGCCUCCCACAACCUACUCCUUUUUGCAGGCUCAAAAGAUUCAUGGCGAACAAUUGUUUGACCCAUUUGUUGUAUUAAAUCAUGCAUUUGUAUCUUUCCAUCUUCAACAGUAACAAGGGAAAGAUCCAUAAGAAUUAUAAUUCCAUAGUCUGGAUUGAGAUCACAUGCCUUUAACACAUCCUUACUGUAGUUAAUAUCCUCUCCCACGAAAAAGCAAGAAAUAUCAAGAAAAAUCUCCUUCACUCUUUCGUGAAGCUCCUUAAAACCUAUUUGAAAAACAGCUUCAACACUUGGUUCGAGGGAAUUUUCAAGUUCAUGUAAUUUACUUUUCCAUAUUUUUCGCUCUCUCUUAUGGAGAAGAGAACCCAAAAUAACAAGAGCCAAUGGAAGACCUUUGCAAUAACUUACAGCAAAUUUUGAAAGGUCUACAUAAUUACUUGAGGGAUGAUUUUGCUUAAAAGCAUGCAGGCUAAAAAGCUCAAGGGAUUUCUUAGGAUCCAACAACUGAAUAGGAUAUACUAUAUCAAAUGAAUGGUUUUCUAGUAAAUGUCGAUCUCUUGUUGUUGCUAUGAUUUUACUUCCUCGACCGAACCAAUCACGUUCACCAACUAGUGCGUCUAAUUGUUCAUCCUUAUCCACAUCAUCAAGAAUGAUAAGAACUUUCUUUGAGCAUAACCGAUCCCUAAUGAUAUUCUUUCCUUUAUGAACGUUGCCCACCUUCCAAGCAUUAUCUUUUAAGAUCUCACUGAGUAGUUUUUCUUGUAGUUGAACCAGGUCUUUGAAUUGCUCUAAGGUUUCUCUAACAUUCGAAAGAAAGCAACAAGCUUCAAAUUGAUAAGCGAUUUUGUUGUAUAAAGCUUUGGCCAGAGUGGUCUUACCAAUGCCUCCCAUCCCAUGUAUCCCCACCAUGUUAACACCAUCGGGCACAUCAUGGGAGGCCAAUUCCUCAACAGCUCUAAGUUGAGAAUCAAUUCCAACUGGAUGCUUGGCUACAUGUAGUAGUUGUGUUUGAUUUAAUAUAGACAACACCUCCUUAACAAGGUCAUGAAUAAGAUCAGCCUCAUUCUUCCUGUAAUGAUUGAGCACAUCAUACACAAAUACAAGUAGACGAAGUUAAGAAACACAGUAGGGAACAAUAAUAAGAAUUAAGAAACAUAGUAGAUGAAGUUAAAUUCAUUAUAACAUUAAAUUUUUCAAUAACAAAAUUAGAUUGGUCAACAUGGCACUCACACAUUUCUCUUUCAAUAUCCAUUUUGUGUUUUUUGUUUGAGGUUUUCAUUGGGUGUUUUUUGUUUUAGGUUUUGAAAAUUAAGCCUAUCUUCUUCCAAUAUCUUAUUAUUAUUGCAUCUCUUAUCGCAAUGGUUGAAUAUUAUUAUCGAAGUUUUAAAAACAAAAAUAAGUUUUUAAAAUCUACUUUAUUUAGUUUUCAAAAUUUGGCUUGAUUUUUAAACGAUUGGAAAAAGUUGAUAACAAAGCAAGAAGUUUGGAGGUAAAAUUGUUAUACAGGCUUAUUUAUGAUAGAAAACUAACCACUUCUCUUUUUUUUUAACUGUUUGAGGAAUCAACUUGCAUAAAACGAAUUGUUUACCUUGAACAAGGUAAUUUUAAUUCAUCUCAUCGUUAACCUUGAAAACUGUUAAAACUAACUUAAAAACUAAAAAAAACUAAAAACAAUGAUACCAAUCAAUCUGUUUUCUUAAAAGUCGUUUUUUUUCUUAAUGUAUUUGAUAUUUUUUUGUAAUCUAAAGGGUAAAAUAUAAUUUCACUCCUAAAAUAAAUUCACUACCUUUUAGAAUAAUGCAUGUAAAAAAUACCUAGUUGCUAAAUCCCAACCAGACAAAGAAGCAGCAGUGGUCAAAGCUUCCUUCCAUGGUUGAACCUUGUUGGUCAUUAACUCAUUAGCUUCAUGUUUGGCCAAUGCUUCACCAAACCCACCAGUUUGUUUUCGAACCUCAGAUGGAUCCACCUUGUUAAGAAAUUAAUCAACAAAUUAAUAAAGAUAAACCCGUAAAGCAAUGGAGACUAUGAUACAGAUUUAUAUGAUUUAUUAUCAGUGGUGGCUAACUCCACAGGUAGAGGGAGGGAGCAAUUUUAUUAGAAAGAAAAUUCAUAUUACACAUCAAAUGUGCUUCUAUGGUUGGAGUGUUAGUGGGCUUCUCUAAAACGUUAGGGUCAAAAUCAUAGAUAACAUAACUAUAUAAAAAAUACGAAUUCAGAUAGUCCAACAAAUUAAACCUUGUAGAAGACAGGAAAAACUAUAUGUCCCAUGGAUUUCAUGCACUGAACUAUUUUCACCAGUUCAUCCAAACACCAGGUGGAAGAUGCAUAAUUUUUGGAGAAAAUAAUGAUGGAAAUUUUAGAACCAUCAAUAGAUUUGAGAAGGGAUUCAGAAAUUUGACCACCCCUCUCUAGCUUGUCAUCUAUGAAGAAAUUGACACCCUUUUCACGCAAGGCCCUGUCAAGAUGACUAGUGAAGUUGUUUCGAGUAUCCUCACCUCUGAAACUCAAAAACACAUCAUAACUCCAUUUCAAAUUUGAAGAACAAGACGAUGAUGAUUGUGCUAAACCAACCAAAGAAGAACCCAUCCGAAUUUUGAAAAUCCUGAAGUAAGAAUCCAGCCAAGGGAUGAGAAUGAAGAACAAAAUGGUUGUUUCUUUUCCCAGUGAACAAAUAAAUUACAAUAAUUUAUGCAAGUUAAAUUAUUAAAUUUUAAGCAAUUUGCAUCUAUUGCAGCACAAGGUUUAACCAACUAGUAUACAUAUAUGUUCAAGUCCACCUUUUCCAUGUUAAAAAAAAAAAAACGGUCAACUAUUUGUAUCUAUACUUUCUAUUUUUAACAUUUAAAAACUCAGAAGCAUCAACGUCAAGUUCGCUUAGAAGUUAGAACAUUUCCACUUUAUGUUCAAAUACUUCCUUCUUCUACAAGAUAUAUAUAUACAAAUAUAAUGAUAAUAAAAAGUUCUAUCUACAAAUAACAUAAAAUAAUAUUUUGUCUAACUAGACCACCAUAAAAUUAAUAAAUAAGAAGUGACAAAUUCAUUAGUUUUUCAACUAACAGAAAUAUCUAUGGAAAUUGUUUUGGGUCUUCAAGUUUAUCAUAACCUAAUUAUUUCUCUGACAUGUUCCCUUCAGGAUACAACAAGAAAAGUUGUGUAACUCAAACCAAUUUUCACUUAAAGAUCGUAUUUACCUUGGCCAAUUUGCUUUUAAAGAGAGAUAAUGAGAGAAAAAAAGAGGAAGAUGUAUUUAUAUAAUACUAAUCUUUGUUAGUGUAAAAUUGCGAGAAUAUGGUAUGUGAUGUAUUGAUAGUACUCAUCUUUGGAUAUUGAAUAUUUAAUUCAAAGCUAGGUAAUAAAUGUAUACUUGUUUAACAUUUCUUGAAAUUGCAUUUUUUUUCAACUUUUUAACGAAGAAACACGUACUAGAUUACAUAUGGAAGAGAAGUUUGCGAAAAAUAAGUCACGAUUAAUUAAUUGACGGCUUAAGUUAAAGCUCAUAGUCAAUAAUUGGAGUAACAGCAUGAGAAAAGACAAAAUAGAACACUAGCACGUUGGUAACCUAGUUGGAUGACACAUCAUCUACAUUUAAUUAGGAGAUUUUUAGCCUGAUUUAAAAUAUCAUUUUAUAAAUAUUAAAGAGGAUCAUAAGUACAUAACUUAUCCAAGAACCAACUAUCUUGAAUCAUAUAUGACUUUUACAAGAUAAACGUUUAUGUUUGCCCUAAACCACUUGAUGUGUGAACAAGGAAUUCGAUCUAGACUCCUCUAGAUCAUAUGUUGCAUGCAUCAUCCUUGCAUCUCAAUGUGCAGGCUCCCCUGUGAAAUGCCACAAACAAAGUGUUCAACAUCACACACCACAGAAACGGGGUACUUAGUGAAAAACUUUCUCAACACAUAAUUUUGCUGCACAUUUGUUACACCUCUAUCUUCAACCACAUGCAGCAAACAUCACACGGCCACAAUCUUAUAUUUUUUAGGUAACACGUCAUAACAAAACAAAUGCCCAACUCUAUUAAUUUAUUAAUAAAUAUUAACCAACUUAAAAAAGUAUAUAGUAACAACCACAACCAACGGAAUAUCUUUAUUAAUAAUAUAAUAUUAGUCAUAUAUUUAUUAAAAAAUAUUAGCAAACAUAACAAUCAAAUCUUCAAAGUCAACGAGAUAUCUUUAUUAAUAAAUAUUAUCCGUAUAUUUAUUAAUAAAUAUUAACCAUAUAUAUUAAGAAAUUAAGCUCCAAUUUUUCCUACCUCAGUUACAAAGUUAAAGCUGAAAUGGGUGAUUCCUAAACAUUGUAAAUAUGAAAAUCACAACCUAAAUCUUUAACAAAUCUAACUCCUUUACUCCUCAAUUCAAUUAGAAUCAUUGUUGUCAUUAUUAUCACUAGGAGUAGAGGAACCAAACUUAGAAGUUCGUUCGUGAAGGACGACUGGGCACGAAGGGCAGCACGAAGACACACACAAUUUGCUCGGCAGUGGUGGUUCGAUGAUGGAAGAGAGUGAUUAAGAAGAGAGGGUUUGGGUGAGAAGUUUAGAGUGAGAUGAGAUGAGAGGGAAGAAGAGUGAGUAAAGUGAUUAGAAGAGAAUUAAUUUUUUUAAAAAAAGAUUAAGGAUAGUUUUAAUGUCAGUUUUAAACCGACAUUAAUUCUUCCUUUUUGAUGUUGGUUUAAAAUCGACAUUAAACAUUUGCAUUUUUAAAAUCUGAUAUUAAACAUCUGUUUUCAUUUUUUUCAACUGACAUCAUAGGGCAAAUUUCUUCUAGUGAUACCAAUUUUAAUUCUAACUUCCCUAAGCAGGUGUUUGCGGCGAGGAGUGACUUGUAAUAGUUCUGAGAAUUAUAAUAAUUUGAGUAUUAUAGUAGUCUGCAUUUAGGAUACAGACUAUUAUAGUCUGCGUUUCAGGUGCAACCUAUUAUAGUUUGUGUUUGUGGUGAAGAUUAUUAUAAUUAUUUGUAUAAUUAUAAGCUGUGUUUAGGGUGGAGACUAUUAUAACUUGGGUUUUUUGCUACUUUUUUUUUCUUCCUUAAAUUGAUUUUAUUAAAUCUUUUUAAUUAUGAUAUUCAUUUAAUAAAUUUAGCCUCAAUCUUGAUUUUUCAUUACUUUUGUUUUCUACAUGUAUACUCUACAUGAAAUACACAUUUUUCUUAAAUUAACUUUAUUAAAUCUUUUUAACGUGUGAUAUUCAUUUCAUAAGUUUAGCCUCAAUCUUGAUUUUUCAUUACUCUUUUUUUUCUACAUACAUAUUGUACAUGAAAUACAUGCACGAAGGAGUGAGAGGGGAAGUGAGAAGAAUUAGGGGAGGGAAAUACGAGGAUUAUGGAAACCCUAAUACUAGAAUUUCCAUAAUUCGGGUCUCAAACAAGGAGUGAGUUAUUUUAGCCAACUCUACUCCAUGCAAAUAUGUGGCCCUAAUAAUUUCCUCAUAUCUUUACAUUAUGGGUAAUUAUAAUUUGUGACAAUUUUAGGAAUAAUAAUUAAAUAUCUAGCAACAUUUUUUUAAAAAAUUGCAUAUAUGGCAAAAUCUAUUAAUGAUAGACCAAUAUUUGCUACAUGAUCUAACAGAUGUUGCUAUAUUUACAAAUACCAACUCAAAACGCUCAUCCCUACUCUACCUCACUCUAAUACCCACCCUAAAUGUCUCAUAAGAAUUUAGAAAGUGUUCAUAUGAGUUAAUAACAAGAUGUAUAUAGAAAAUGUUCAUAGUAAGUGAGAGAAGGAUGUGUGUCAAUGUGUCAUACAAUCUUCUCUAUCUAGAGAUGUUUAAAAAAACCCAUGGGGUUGGGGUCCCGCCAGGUGCCAGCUCGAAAGAGGUGGGGAUUUCCUAUUUACAUAGGAAAUAGGGGAGGGAGUAGGGAAUGUUUUCCCCAUUUUCAAUUCGAGACCAAGGAUAGAGAUUAUAUUCCCCAUCUAUAAGACCCAAACUUAAAUUAAAAGUUAAAAGACAAAAUUUUGACUAAGUAUGUAACUUGACCUUUUGGAUAAGAAGGCGUUUUAGUUUGAGAAAAGCACUCACAAAACUUUACAAAAGAAGUUCUUCUUCUUCUCACAAGCCCCUUCUCGUGUAGCUAAACUAGCAAUACUUCAACAUUUCAACAAAACUUCCAUCUUCCCCUCCUUAGUUGCCCAAAUCCUCUUAUUUAUAGAACCCUUAAACUAACUUAGUCAUUUAUAAACUCUUCUCAGUUCAUUAACUCCUGCUUAAAAAUUUACAUGUAUAAAUUUAGUAUUCAACCUAGCCAUGCUUAAAUUCUUAAUCUUACAUAAUCCCUGUCAAAUCAAAUUUUACAUUUUCUACGCCAGACCUUGCUUCUCGCCAAACUCGAACCGCGAAUAACUUCAACCACUUAACAUUUCUCGUGAAUAACCUUAUCGCAUGGUUAUAUUUUUACUAUAAGAAACCUUCUUGCAAACUAACCAACUUUUACUCGCAUGGAACUCUUAUCGCGAACUUAAACUCUAAGGCUUUCUUGCAAACUUCUUCUCCACGAAACACUUGGUUCUUCUCGUGAAGACCACCCAAAAUGCCUAGUCUAACACUUUGUCAAAACUUUUACUUCUUAACUUACGCGAAUAUUUUUUCUCUUCUUAUCACACAACUUCUUUCGCGAACUACGCACUUAAUCGCAAAAACGUAUACUUAUCCAUAAAAGAUUCUAUCGCUUAAUCCUUUUCGCAAAUUUAUUCAAACGCCAACUUCUUAAUAGUACUUUAGCCGAAUUUUACUUUCUUACUCAAAUUAGAAAUGGGUCUCACAAGUGGAAUGAUUUGAAGUUAACGAAUGUUCAUUAGCUCGGUUUAAAGAGUUUAGCUAGUUAAUCUUGGAUCGUUGGAGUCCAUGAUCUAUAAGUCCAUUAGGAUCCCCUACUAGCUCAUAUGGAAUAUACUUAUAAUAGUAUAUAAGAUUAAUUCAAAUUAUUUGAAUUAAGAAAGGAGAGUAAAAUCGAGUAUAUAUGGUAUAGUUGUUGGUUCGUUUAAGUGAAUAUUUAACUAAUUAGUGGAUUUGAGUGUUGGUCGAAUUCGGUAUUUUGGUUUUAGACACCUUAUUUAAAGUUAUGUCUCAUUUGUUUAUCUUUAUUUCUUUAAAGAAUUGUCAGAACCCGCGAGUCACAUUUUCAAAUUAUUUUUAUUGAUUUUGUCAAUUUUAUGUUUUCAAAUAUUUAUUAAUAUUAAUUUUAGAAAAAAUUUAGUUUUUCCCUUUUCAAGAAAGUGUAUUUUGAUAUUUAUUGUUUGAGUAAUAACCUUAGCUUAGUUUAAAAAUUUGGAUUGUUACACCUAGCUCACUAACAUAUAAUGUUUAAUGAGGUGUUGGAGUUUGGUGAAUAAUUACAUACAAUUGUUAUAUGUAAUUUCUUUUUUUAAGGUGGGCAUUUUCAAAUGUUUAAAAAAGUUUUUGAUAAUUUUGUCUAUUUCCCCCUUAAUAUUCAUCAAAAGAAAAAAAAAAAACACCAAAUCUCUUAGAAGCUUAUAUUAUCCUCCUCUUUUCAUCUCUCUCUCAUUUUAAUCCUUCACUCAUCGGGUCCCAUAGCCCGAUUCUAAGUCUAGAAGAUAGUCGGUAUACUCUAGUGGCAGGUUGGUGUCGAUUUCGUACAAAAUCCACAAAUAAUAAAAAACAACAAAGGUAUAAUUUUUAUUAACCCUAGUUAAGUAAAUUAGGGUUCUUGGACAUUGAUUCUUAUUAAUUUAGAUGCAAUUAUAGUGUAAUUAUAUCUAUUUUCCGCUGAGUAUGUCUAGACUUCUAUUAUUUUGUGGCGAGUGGUUGAACUUGAACGCCUAGUCCCUCAAAUGGGCUCUUAGUAAAGUUUUUUUCACCUCAAAGUUAUUCUUUCCUCAAGUCCUAAGUUGGCUAACUCUUCACACACACUUCCUUAGUUCUUUUACCUAGUACAAAGCACACGUAAUGACCCAACUCUUUAUACUGAGCUAAAGUCAUUACCAAUAAAACAAAUAAAACUUUUUUAUUUAAAAUAAAAGAAAAUACUAAGUUUUAAAAGAAACACUUCAAAUAUUAAAUCAUAAAAUAUAAGUAAAGUAUGUAAAGAAAAUAAUAAAUGAAACAUUAGUUCGGGCCCUAUUUAAUUUUUUUUAAAAAAAAAUCUCUAAAAGUAAACAUGAGUUCUGAAAAAUAAAUACUGAAAACAAUAAAUGCAGAACAAAACUUAUAAUGUCCUCUAUGGCAAACCACAGUCACUUCUUGUCAUUCUUCAUCUUGUCUUUACCUUUAUCUUUGCAUGAAAAAUUUAACCAUAGAAAAGAAUUAAUAUAAAUUUAUACUCAGUAAGGAACCCACUAUUAGUCUCGCUACGUGUCUAUUAACUUUUCGUUAGAGUCCUGUAAGAAAGUACCGCAUAACUAUUGUGCAUGCUAUCUAGUGAUCCCGUAGGAAAACAUCUGGGCUCUCAGUGAAUCACGAAUGAAUCACCCUAAAGGAGAGUUGGAUUGUAAGUGAUCCCGUCGAAUCACACAUAAAAGUUGGCCACACAUGCAUAAAUAUGUGGUGAUCUCGAGGGACACCCAUAUGAUACGACUCUAACAGACAAAGCUAACAGAACACCAUAGCCUCAUGUAUAUUAUAACAUAAAUAUUACAGCUCAGUCAACAUAUUUCAAUCAUAGCAUGUCUCAUUCAUAAUGUAUCUUGGUCAAAUCAUAUCUCAGUCAUACAUAACAGUCAUCUAUGUAGCCACUCAUAACAAUCAUCUCUAAUACCCAUAUUAUGCAUCUUAGCUACAUUAAUGCAUAAUAAGAAAUAUACAUGCAAGCAGGUGAAUGUAUAAUAGAAUAAUCUCUUACCUAGAGAUUAGCUAAAAAAAAUAUUGUCCCUUCCUAAACACAACAAAAUUAAAUUUAUUAAUUUUGUCAAUAUCACCCAACUACUUAUACUUAAUCAUUCAAACUUAUCCAACUUACCAAAGCUAAGGUUGAAACCGACACAACUUUGAGUGUAAAUUUCGUCGCCUUAAAUCCUCAAAUUAACACUUGAACCUUCACGUAAAAAUAACUCAACUCAUUCCCAACGAAAACUUACCAAACCCAACAAAACUUACCUAAAAGACUCAAGUAGGAUGAAAUGGUUGACUUAAAGAGGGCAGCUCGCGAUUGGAAGAGAGUGGAAGCUGGAGGAUGGUUCACGCGGCUAAAAGACGGCUCGAAAUGGAAGGUGGUCAACUUAGACGACUACGACUUGUGAAGGAGGAACGCACGACUCGGACUUGAAGAGGCUUUGGCCGGAGAGGUAACACAGACGAGAAGACGACACGACUGGAGAAGAUCAGCUCGAACAGAAAAGCUUUGGCUCGCGUACAAAGGGUGUUCCAAUCAACGAUGAGCGCAUACAUUUCAGCUUCUCCGUCCGAUGUGCAUAAAAAUAUUUAUGCGUCAGGGCAAAUAUGUCGGGAGAGGAACUCCCAACUCACAACUUGUUGUGCGUCGGAAAUUCCUAAACCCAACAUUGUAUGAACGUCAAAGAUGUUGUCAAUAUAGUGUAGGAAGUUCCUACGAACUCCCGACGCAAAUGUGUAGGAACUCCCAACACAAAUGUGUGGAAACUCCCGACGUAAAUGUGUAGGAUCUUCAUUUGCGUCAGGAGUUCUCUAUUUUUCUUUUUUUAAAAAAAUAUCUUCCAUCUCAAGUUCAACACUUGAAUCUCAAAUUCACCACUUCAAUCUUAACUUCAACACUUCAAUCUCAAAUUCACCACUUCAAUCUCAACUUCAACACUUCAAUCUCAAAUUCAACACUUCAAUCUCAACUUCAACACUUCAAAUUCAAAUUCCUAAAACCUACAAACUAAUCCAAAAAUUCUAACAACACUUCAAAUUCAGAUACAAUACUAAAACGUAUAACUAAUUCAAAAUCUAAAUACUAAAACUAAUUUGAAAUCUAAAACCUAAAACUUAAAACUAAUUUGAAAUCUAAAUACUAAAACUAAUUAACUAAAACAAAAGAAUAACUAAACUAAACCACUUACCGGAAUGAAGAGUGACGACGAGACGACGACGAAUGGUUGGACAAGGACAACGGCGACAAAUGCCCUCUUCUUCUCGAUCUCCCUCUCUCUCUCUCUCUCAGUUUUCUUUCUCUUUUCUGUUUCUAUUUUGUAAAGAAUUGAGUUAAAAAAGACGGUUAACUCCCGACACACAACGAAAACGUCAGGAAAUGGGCCCUUAUUCUCUACGCGAUUAGUGACACAUCGGGAAUCCCUAAACCUUAUUCUCGACGUUGUUGACACCACGUUGGAGGAAGACAUAACGUACAAUUAAUGAUAUGUCCUUCCUCCGACGCAACACUAUAGACGUCGGGAAUAGGUGCACAUUUCCCGAUGCACCUGGCACCACGUCAGAGGAAGGUCAAAUGGUACAAUUAAUUGUCCACCCUCUUUCGACGCUACACUUUCCAUGUUGGGAAUAGGGGUCCAUUUUUCGACGUACCUCAUACCACGUCGGAGGAACCUUAAACCAUUACGAUAGUUUCGAUGCUAAUAUGUCUGCGUCAAGGGAAAUACCCUUCCUCGACGUGCACUAAGAUGCACCGAAAAACACCUACUUCUACUGACGUCAUGUUUCUCGAUGAUUUUUUCUGCGUCGGAAAACAUCUAAUUUCUUGUAGUGAUAUCAUUCAUUUGAAACCAAAAGCAUGAAGUUUACAUUAGGGAAUUUAAAGAAUUCUUAUGCUAAAUUAGCCUAUUCAUAGGCUUCUUUGAAAUUUGUUUGUCACCACCUACUUAAUUAAGUUGAUGCUUAACCUUAGUUGGCUAUGUGUCCCCACUAAACCGACUUAAGAGGUUUAGCUCAACAUCUAGCCUACCAACUUACUUUGGUCGCCUUGUCCACGUCUUACACCAUUGGCCGCAUAGUCUCGUUUAAGUCAGCUAACCCUCAUGUGGCAUGACCCUUCCUCCUUCCAAAUUGGCCACCUAGUAAGCAUAUCCUCCUAACUUUAAUCUCUUUGAAGAUACUUAGCCUUGUGCCAUAGUCCUCACUUUGGUCUCCUAACUCACAUACUUAGGCCGCCUAAGAGAUACUUAGUCCCAGCACAACCUUCAUAGUAUGAUCACCUAACACUCCAAGGACCUAGCAUCUUCUUGGUCGUUCAACUUUGUUUUGGUUGCCCUUUGGCUAUUCACUUUGAAUGUCAUUAGCCAACAUCUUGACUACAUACUUAGCCAACUCUAUACUCUUGAUCACUCUUUGUUAACAAUACAUGUCAUCAACCUAUAUAUAUAUAUAUAUAUAUAUAUAUAUAUAUAUAUAUAUAUAUAUAUUUAUUUAUUUAUUUAUUUAUAUUUAUAUUUAUUAUUUUACCUUGCUAUGGAUGUUAACACAAUUUGUCUGUUCUAUUUUAUUUUAUUUGACACUUCUGAUUUGUUUCAAGAUUUUAAUUUUUUUUAAAAAAAUAAAAAUAGUAAAGGGUAGAAAAACCCGAAGGGAUGCGGGAGAUUUGUGUUUUGGAGGAAAAAGAGAAUAAACUUAGUUUUUAGUAAGGGUGUAAGAAUAUGAGUUGAACCCAAAUAACCCAGACUAUCCAACCCAUAUUAUAAGAGUUGGGUUAGGUUAGGUUAAAAAAUUUUGAUUUUUUUUUGGUCUGGUUGGGUCUCGGGUUGGAGGUUUGAAAAAUUCGGUUUAACCCAACCCAACCUGGUCUUUCUCCCAUCGCACGCGCCGCUCACCUUUCUUCACUAUCUUCAAUUCUUCUCUUCUAUCUCACCCCAGUCUUCGAUCUUCUCCCUCACAAUCGCGUCGUCCACCUCUGUUUCCGACGGUUGAUCAUCUCCCUCUUCGGUUUCCUCUCUCCCUCUUCGAUCUUCUCCCUUACAAUCGUGUCAUCCACCUCCAUUUCCCUAAACCCUAAAAAAAAAAGACAUAUAUCAAAUCCAACUCAUAUUUUACGGGUUAGGUUGAAAACUAAAUUCGGGUUGUCAACCCAUAUAACUCAAAAAUAUGGAUUGGGUUGAGAAUGUCUCCCAACCCAACCUAACCCGAUUACAUCCCUAGUUUUUAGAUUUAUAUGAUAAAUGUGAUGAUAAUGUUCCUAUAUUUGCAUAAAAAGUUUAUAAAAUAAAUUAAUAAGAAUUCAUGAUUAUUUAUCAAUCUUAGUAAUACAAUGGAUCUAGAUCCAAAUCAUUCAAAUAUAGAAAUACAUCUUAACCAAUUAAGAGGAUUCUAACAACAUGGAUAGAAGUAAAGUAAGACUUUUUUUUUUUUUUUUUAAAUUUAAAAAAAUUUAGAAAGCAACGUAAAGCCAAAAUACGAUUUUAAUUUCUACUUUUUUAUAAUUGACUGACCGGUUGUUUUGGUGUCCAGAUAGAGAAAUUCGACUAAACUCAACCUGGUUUAAUAUAUAUACUUCUUAGGGUUUUGACAUUUCCCUCCAUUUCGUCCUCUGUUCACUCCCAACCCAAAACGCCGUUCUCCGCCAAUUGCCGCCGACCACGCCGUGCUCCUUUCAAUUCAUUGUCCGUCGUCUUGAGCGUGGGCGUCCGUCGAACUGCACCCCAGUCAUCCACCGUUUGCCCUUCGUUGCACCUCCGCUCGCUGGCGCGUACUUUCCAAUUUCUUUUAGUUUUGAGUACAUUAUUCGUCAGUCACCAUAAAGAAUCAAAACUGCUGAUGGACCCGACCCCUCCACUCCGUAGCACUGCAGCCCCCUCCGCGAAUUGCGUUCCAUCUGUAGCAACUGAACGCGAUGCCCUAUUUCCUAAUUCCACUCUCUAGGUAUUUAUUUCUUUCAAUGUUCGACCACGCUAGCAAAUUCUGCAGUCUUUUGCUUUGAAAUUGAAUUAGUUUUUUAAUUUUACUUAUCUGUAUAUAUCAACUGAUUAGAUCCAUUGGUUGUUAUGACCUUACUCUUGUUGUUUCCGAACUUAACCCUGAAUGUCAAUCCUCAAGCAGGUUGAAUAAUUUGAAUUUUUAAUCUUAAGGACAUUCUCCUUUGAAAUUCAGGCAAACAAUCCGUAGAAUGAUCCUGUUUUGCCUUGGCCGAUGACUGUGUGAGGUUUUCUUUUAUGGCUGAAGCUUAAAUUCGGUGUCUAGCCUGUUUCUUUGAGUUGUUUUACAUUCUUUAACCAAGAAAAUGGAAUCCAGUGCAACUCCUGGACCAGAUGAUCCUUUAAUUCUCAAAGAGCAAGAUAAUCACAUUUCAUCAGACAUUUGGGAUGGAAAGGUAAUAGACUUUUAGAUUUUUUGGAGCUUUGAUCAAUGAUAUUGUAUCCAUUUUAUAACCCAGUAUAUAUAUGUGUGUUUUUGUGUAUACAUAGGUUGAGAUAUAUUUUUACUGUUAUGCAUUUAAAAAAUUGCAGGAAAGAGGUGUGCUUAGGUGUCUAGAGCAUACUUCCAUUCUUGAGAGAUGGAAACUUACAGGAAAACAGAUUGAGCUAGUUGAAAAGGCUGGAUUCGGGUAUUUGAGAUUGAUGCCAGCUGUAACCCUUGACUGUGCGCUUAUCUCAGCAUUAGUGGAGAGAUGGAGAAAGGAAACAAAUACCUUUCAUUUUUCAGUUGGAGAAAUGACAAUAACACUUGAAGAUGUUGCUCUUCUACUCGGAUUGUCAAUUGAUGGAAAACCUGUUACAGAUGUGGAUGUUGACCCCAAGUCACUUUGUGAAAAUUUACUCGGGAAAGCUCCAACAGAUUUCAAGGGUGCUGUGAAAUUAACUUGGUUGAAGGAGGUUUUCUCUGAAUGCCCCGAAGAUGCAGGGAUCGAACAAAUAGAGUAUUCUACUCGUGCAUAUCUCUUAUACUUGUUAGGCAGUACUAUAUUUGCCUCAACAAGUGGGAACAAAGUUAGUGUCAUGUACCUUUCACUAUUCAAGGAUUUUGAUGAAGCUGGGAAGUAUGCUUGGGGUGCUGCUGCUUUGGCUUUCUUGUAUAGAGCACUAGGCAAUGCUUCUCUUAAAUCUCAGCGCACUAUUAGCGGUUCUUUAACACUUCUGCAGGCAUGUAAGCUUGUUGCUCUUUUCUUUUAGUGUUCACGAAUGUUGGUAACUUAGGGUCAAUGCGACUAUCAUUAUCUUGCAUCUCUGAAAUGUCGUGUUCUCAUUAAAAUGCUGACACCCUAUCUGGAUUUUUUUUCCUCACCUACAUAACAGUGUUGGAGUUAUUAUCACUUGAAUAUUGGCCGGCCCAAAUUAAAAAAGGAUCCAGAGAAUUGUUUUCCGUUUCUACUUAAAUGGACGGAAAAUAGAAGUGGUUCCCGAAUGGGAAUAAAUUUGCCCACAUACCGUAAGGCCUUGGAUUCUCUUCAGCCCUCUGAUGUAAGUUUCCUAUAAUACUUCAGUAUUUCCCCCUUCUGUAUAAUAGAAGAUUGUAUGACUUUUUUGUUUAUUCAAUAUAUAGGUACAAUGGCUUCCCUACAAGGAUAUGGACUUUUCUGUUGUACCAGAAGAUAUCAAGAACAGUUUGGUCUUGCGCACGUCAAGAACAAUGCUAAUUUGUUUUGAUAAGGCUGAGAAACAUCUUCCAGACCGAUGUUUGAGACAGUUUGGCCUGCCUCAACCUAUUCCGAAGGACAUUGAGGAUUGGAAGCGGAAAAUUUCUUCAAUGGAUAGCAAGGAGGAACUGCCACCAGAGCUCAAAGAAUGGUCAGAGAGGUAUGAAUUUAUCAAUAAUGGUGUUGAUAGUGUAGACGAAAGUGAGUAUCUGCAAUGGUAUGAAAAGAUCACCCGCAAAUUUGUUGGACGAGCCGAAUCGUGGGAGUCAAGAUUUAGACAAACAAUUAAGGCUAUGCAUGAAGUUGUGAAGAUAGUAAAUUCAAUCUCCACGAAUGGGAUGGAUCGAGAGGAUCGCAAGUUAUUCAGUAAUGUGAGAACUAUGGUACAGAAAUGUUGGACUGAAAAAUACGCUGAUUCACCCAGUGAAGGGGAUAGGGAUAGUGCAAAACGUACUGGGAAACGUAAGAGAGAAGGUUAAUCAAAUAUUGAUGAUGGUUAGUCUCCAUUCCCCUCUAAAAGCCAGGGUUCUAUUGCACUUUCAAAUAUUGUUAUUCAGUAAAGACCCAGAAAAUGCCAGUGUGGAAACAUUUUGACACUUGAUAAAUGUAUGAGGCAGUUCUUGGGAUGGCUCAGUUUAUAAAAUCUUAAUUUGCCUAUGCUCUCCGGACGAACAAUGGAGCUGGGGCAAUUGGGAUAUUCCUACAAGAGUUUUCGGGCAAUUGGGAAUCAGUAGACUUCAGUAGACGUUUGAUGCAAAGUUUUGGAAACUCUCCUCUGCAAUGCAAUUGAUCCGGUACUCUUCCUUGUUUUUCCUUUGGAAGAGCGAAUAUUCCAAGGUACACCGAGGUAUUGGAAGUUAUUCAUUGGGUGACCUUUUCCAAUAAAUGGUUAAUUGAUGAUCACUAGAAAGCACUUCUUUUGUUCAAUUUAUAACUUGGGAGCAGAUUCCUUCUUUUUGUUGCUAAGAAAUAUCCAACUUGAAUAUAAAGGGGUUAAGACUUGUGUCCUGGACCAAGAUGUUAAGACUUAAGUUUGAAUCUCCUCUUACAUGGAUGAGCUUUUUAAAACUUGUUUUUAGCUUUCAGCAUGUGUAGCCUAAGAAUUCAAAUAUGAACAAUUCAAAUAUGAACGCGUCAUUGGCUUAUGGCCUGUUAAGUGAAGGACUUUCAAAGGACUCAUUUUUAUUUAAAUUCUUUUUAAAAUAAUCUUUGUAAGUGUUUAGAAGUUAUUUGAAAUAACUUAUUAUUCAUCACUCAAAGUUAAAUUAAACACCCUCUUAGUUUCAGCUCUGGAAGUUGAACUUUGAAAACAUUUGUAAGAAGAUUAUGAUACAUAAAAAAAUCUACUUCAACUUUGGUAGAUUGAACUAUGGUUCAAAUAUUAUAUGAUUGAAUCUUCACAUUUUUUGUAUUCCAAGUAUAAUCACAUUUAUGAAAUGCUAAUGUUAGAUAUGAAACACCGGUGAAUUCUUGUAAUUCUAAUUAUAUUUUAAAUAGUGAUUUUAAACCUAUAAUAAAUAAAUAUUGUAUAUGUAACUAUAACUUCUAGUGCAAUCUUGUAGUUUUAAUUAUUUUGGUAAUUUUUAAUCUAUAAUAAAUUGAUAUUAUACAACUAAGAAAAGUCACACAAAAUAAUUGUGAAAUCACACGAAAUAAUGGAUUGUUUCACCAUAUUAAUUAUUACUUUUACGUAUUUUGUUUUGCUUUUAACCUAGCAUGUUAUAAUUUUAUUGGAAGAAUCAAUUUACCAAUUCGUGCGUAGAAACCUCAACCUUCAAUAGAUGUCAAUAGUUGCACUUAAUAAAAUUGAAAAAGGAACCUUUAUUGUCUCUGAAAGAUCAUUUUUAUUGUUGACACUUCAAAAGCAAAUAUGAGAGAUGGAUAAUUCUCACAUAAAAAGAAGUGUUAUGAUAAAUGCUUGUCGAAUUACUGUCUUGAAAGCAAUUACGGUAUGAUCAUGAUGUAACGUGCGCUCGCGAUGAUGUGGAUAUAAUCAAUUGAAGUGUAAACAUCCAAACUUAGCUACUAUAUGUAACUUUUGUAAUACCAGUAAAAAUCUGUUAUAAUAAGUCGUGAUAUUUAUAAUUAGUUGUGAUUAUUUAAACGUUUAUGAAAUUCCUAAGUGUUAAAGGGUAAAGUGUGUUGGAUUGAAGUGAAGUUGGUACGGAAAAAAGGGUGACAGGGACGCAUUCAAGAGACACAGGAGAAUAAUUAAUUGAAAACAUGUGAUGGAAUUUACAAGGAUGGAUUGAACAUUUAACUCAGAAAACAAAAGCAAGAGAUAAACAAAAAUCAAAGUAAAUGGUAAUAAGUUAAAUAAAAUAAUUUAAUUAAGCAAAAAGGGAUAUUUACACCAUUAAGUAAUUUAAUUGAGCUAGAAGUUAACGAGGAAGAAAACGAAGGUUAACUAUGCACAAAACAAUCAAAUUUUGAAGUAGGAGGUGUCAACUUCAUAUGCAACAUCAGCCUGCAGAAGAAGUUUAUUUAAGGAUAACCUUAGCCAAUUGUUCUGAUUUCAUUGGCAAGUUAAACUUGAGAGAGUGUAGUUUAUGUGAGUGUAAUCUCUCUUUUUUUUUUUAACAAAUGACAAAUACGUUUAUAGAGUUUCAAUUAUAUUUACUAGGUCAUGGCAUAUUCAACAUCUUUUAAAGCGAAUGAAUCAAUUAUAUGUACAUAAAUGUGAAUACGUAUAUUACAUCCUUAAACUUUGAUUAAGUAGAAAAAUAAAUAAAUAAAAAGUUUAGAGGCUUGUUAAUAGAUUUAAAAAUUUAUUAGACACAAAAUUAGAAGUUGAAUCGCGGUUAGAAAUUCUCACAUUAUUAUACAAAAAAAAAAGGAUUGUAAUAUAUAUCAAUUUAAAAUUUUUAAACAAUUACAUUUGUAUCAACAUAUUUUAUAAUCUAUUAUAUUUCGUUCAAAAAAUACUAUCACUCACAAUCAUACUAAUCAAACACGUGAGAGAAUUAAUGCAAGAACAAUAUUGAAAUAUAAACAUAAAUAAUGGAUCCAAUUGAUAGUACUUACAAAAAUUCAAGAGUUUAAUGAAACAGGAUUGUGGGUUGUAAGUUCUUUAAAAGUAAUUUACAUAAAUGGUUAAGUAAUUUACAUAAAUGUAACAAACCAAAAUUAUCAUGGCUCGUAUGAUAAUAAGUCUAUGAUACAAUAUUUUUUUUUUUUUUUGUAAAUUAUAUAUAUGACCUUUCGAUUUAUAUCUUCUUUACAAUUUAUUAAUCUUGAGUCAUCUCGGUGCAAUUAAGGUUCCAAGAUUGAAUAACUAAAGACAUGCAAAAGUCUUUCAUUUCGAGACAUCUCGAGGCAAUGUAUGUCCGAGAUCGAAUAAAAUAAAGACAAUUCUUUCAUCUUCGAGCCAUUUUGGUGCCACUAAGGUCUGAGAUCCAAUAUAACUAAAGGAAGAAUGCUUUCAUCUCGGGGCAUUGUAUACCCAAAAUCGAAUGUAUUAAAGGCAGAAUUCUGUCAUCUCGAUGCAUCUCUAUACAACUAAGGUCUAAUGUCAUGUAUUGUAAUCUACAUGAUCGUUUAAAUUUGAAAGUCAUCGUUUAAAAUGGAAGUAUAGGAUUGUGUAGAUCUACAUUUAUGUCUUUCAUCUCGAGUCAUCUUAGUGUAUUGUAUGCCUCAGAUCGAAUGAAUUAAAAGCAAUGUUCUUUCAUCCCGAGGCAUCUUGGGGCAUGGUAUGUCCAAGAUCGUAUAUCAAAAUCUACAUGAUCGAGCGUAUGUGGUUGAUUUAUCACGAGUUGACAUGGGUAAUUAUGGUACUUUACAUUGUGGGCCUAUGGAAUUUUUUCAAUUUUCAAAAUUGUUUUAUAUAAUAUAAAUAUUUUGCCAGUUUGUUAUAUUUUUUAAAAACUCUAAGUUUUACAUAGUGAAGUUUAAAUUGAUACAAUUAUUAGUCUAUGGUUUAAAUUGAUAUGACCUCAAAGUUUAAAGUUUAAAGGUUAAUUUUCUUAAAUAUAACAAAACACCAAAAUAUUUAUGGUCAAUAUAACAAAAACGAAAAGCCCAUGAAGUCAGUAAAAUAUUUUGUAAAUUCUAGAUUUGCUCUUGAUAUUUUGAACGAUUCAUCACUUCUGUUUUUUCUUCUUCUUUGCAAUUUAUUCAUCUUCUCUUUCAAAUUUCUUCAGCUCAUCUUUUCAUAUUUUCUUUCUUCUAUUUUUAUUCAUCAUCUUUUUUUCUUUCUUUCUUCAAGCUCAUCUUCCAGAAUAUCAAGAUCGUUUAAAUAUCACUAUGAUAUUUGAUAUGAUCUAAACGAUCGCCUACCUAGUCAACAUGAUCGUUUAGAUUUGAAGUCCUUUUCACAUCGUUUAAAAAGGACUACAUAUUUGUGUAAAUAUGAUCUAAGCAAUCGCUUACCAUAGUCAACACGAUCAUUUACCAUGAUCAACAUGAUUGUUUAGAUUUGAAGUCCUUUUUCCAUCAUUUAAAAUGAACUACGCGAUCGUGUGGAUAUGUUCCAAACGACCGCUUACCAUAUUCAAUAUGAUCAUUUAACAUGCAUGGUCAACACGAUUGUUUAGAUUUGAAGCAAUUUUUCCAUCGUUUAAAAAGAAUUAAUUACACGAUCGUGUGGAUAUGAUCUAAAAGAUCGUUUAGCGUGAUUAACACGAUCGUUUAGAUUUGAAUCAUUUUUCUCCUCAUUAAAGAAAACUACAUGAUCGUUUUGAUACUACCUAUAUGAUCGUGUAUCAAUUCCUAGACAAUCGUGUAUCAUGAUCGUUUAGUAGACGAAUUACAUACAAGCAUAUGAUCAAUUAAUCGCGUGUUGACUGGGAAUGGCGGAUCCAAAAAUUUUAUAUAGUGGGUCAUCAUGCACUAUAUAAUAUCACACUAAAAAUGUUUAAAAAAAAGAUUUCGACAUUUCGUUGAUGCUCCAAUAACGACAUUCACUACAUUUAUAGUAAUAAAGAAAAAACUAGCAAUUUCCACGUCAUAUUUUGUAAUGUAAACGUGAAUUUAAAAAUUGCAUAAAAAAAGAUAAAGAAAAGAAUAAUACUUUUUUCAUAUAAAUAUUGUUGAGAGAGUGGAAAUUUAGAUCAUCAUCUUUGUUGCAUUUUUUUUCUAAAUACUUAUUAGAUAGCGAACGACCACUAGAAAAAAGUUAGAAUUUUAUCUUAGUUAGGUUUUGUUCAUUUUUUAAAAAAACUAUUUUAUAACAUUAUUGAAACUUAUCAAUAAAAUUGAAAUUUGGAGUCUUGAAUAAAUAAAAUUAUUGAAAUGUUACUGAAUUAACUUGUAGUCUUUAAUUUUGAAAUUAAAUUAAAUUAAUAUAUAAUGUGAAUUAAAAAAUUACACAAAAUGUUUUUUUCUAAAUAUUUGUUAGGUUAGAUAAGUUUUUUUUUUCUUUUUAAUUAUUGAUUGUUUGAAAUAAAAUUUAUUUUGUUACAAUUUAGAAAAAAAUUUAGAGAUUUAAAAAAAUAAUUGUAAUAACCGUUGAAGAGUGAGCCAACAACCAUUGUACUGUAACUAAAAUUUAGCUUAGCUAAAUUAAAGCAUUAUUUAACCUAUGUUUACGAUGAUAUUUCAAAAUUAAUAUUAAAAUAUAAAAACUCAUAAUAUGACAUCUUAAAAUUAAUAUUAAAAUAUAAAAAACUGAUAAUACAACCGCAGCAGUUGUGUUGUGGAAUAAAUCUGCCCAAGUAGUAUUAUUUUUUAAAAACCCAAGUUUAAAUUGAUAUUUUGCGGUAUUUUUAUUUGGUGAAGUUUACUAUUAUGUAAUGAAAUAUUCCACUUGCUCUUAUGUACAUAUCAAACUCAUAAAUGUGAGAAAGGUGGGAAGCUAAAGUUUAUACAAAAACCGAAAAUUAAAGAAUUAAAAAAAUGUGAAGAAUAAUGGUUACAAUGAAGCAAAUGUAGAAAGCGAAACAAUAACGUCAUCAAGCCAUCCCUCACUCACACAAGACUCAUACAAGUCGAAGCUGCCUUAGCCAAUACUCUAACCACAACAGAUCUAUACCUGAGAGGCUUAAUCAACCUCCACGGGCUGAUUCCGCUCUCGUACCCAUCCGCGGUGACAACACUUACCGUCGUCUCCUUCGGAACCACGUGGAACAUCGGGGUCGGUGCUAACCGAGCCUGUCUCUUCCGAAUCUCACUCAACUCUAUUCUCGACGGAGUUUUUGUUAAUCCUAUCAACGCCAUCGGCCUCCUCGAAUUACUCCGUUGAAUUUCAAAUAAUCCGCCCACUGCAGACGAAGAAAACGGUCUCGAUCCAUUUCCGUACCGAAAGCUCUGGUUUCGAAUCAACGAUGAUUCCGAUCUAUUUCUAGAACUUGCAGAGUCUUCAUCUCGGAAUAUGUCCAAAGUCCUCCCGCAGAAAACGAUUUCACUUGGAGGCAACAAUGAACUUGUUUUCCGCUUCAAAUCGGUGCGAAAUUCGAAGAAAUCUUGGCGAUCGUCGUGAUCACUGCAGGAAUCCCCGGCUUCCGAUUGUGGUUCGAGAAUUGGAAAAUCACGGAAAGAGAGAGUGUCUUCGUCGUCUUGAACGUCAAGGACGUCCAACAAAUCUGGAUUAUACUUCACUGACUCCAUCGAAGCAGAAAGAAUGGUUUUAGAAAAAGAAAAUUGCGGUGAAAUGAAGAUGAAGAUGGAAUUGGUGGAUUAAAUAAAGGGAGAAAGAGGAAAGAAGGAGGAUGCUUCCUUUGGAGAACUUCUGGAAGGGUGGAGAUUGGAUUUGAUCCACCAUGAAUUAUAAUAUGGUGUUUUUUUAGCUUAAGCGUGUAUGCCAAGAUUUUCAAUACGGAGACUUUCUAGAAACACACUUAAGACAAGAGACUCUCUAAUAAAACUUUUGUUGUAGUUAUUAUUAUUAUUUCUAUACAAUAUUUUAUUUUAUUUUUUAAAACUUUAUAGGUUUGAUUGAUUAAUAAAUUUACAUUUGCACUAUAAGUUAUAAAUAUUUGGUAACAAAGUUGUAAAUAUUUUAUAUAGGGCUUAGUUGUAAAUAAUUUGUCUAUUUUACUGCAUUCUACAAUUCCUGCUUAUAUAUAAUUGGAAGUCAUCUAUUAAAAAUACUUUUAGGAGAAUAGACUAACUAAUAAAUAUGUGAAGAGUUAGCAGUUGGAUGAUGUGUAUCCAUUGUAUUUAAUAGAAGUGGGGUUGACAAAAAAAUAAUUUUUAAUAAUAUAUAUAUAUAUAUAUAUGUAUGCAUGCAUGCAUGCAAAUACACAUACAUCUAUCAUCUAUAUAUAAUAUAUAUGAAAAGCUAAUAAAAAAAACAUUUUAAGACAAAUUUGUCCCUAUGCAUUUUAAUUAAUCAUAUAUAUUUUUUAAAAUUUGAAAUAAAUAAACGUUCUAGAAUUAGAUGUAUUAAAUUAAAAAAUUAUUAGGUAAAUAGAUUUUUAAAAAACCCGUAACUUAUAAUUGAAUGAUUAGAGUAAUAAUUAACUAGAAUUUAAUUUACUUUUAUAGAUUGAGCUUUAGGGGCCGUUUGGAUGAAGGGUUGAGUUAUGGAAGGGUUAGGGUUAUGAUAAAACUAGUUUUAUGAUAAAAGUUGUUUGGAUGAAGGGUUAUGUGAGUAGUGUUAUGAUAGUGUUAUAAUAAUAUGUGUUUGGGAGAAGGGUUAUGUGAUUUGUGUUAUGAUAGUUUUAUGAUAAUAUGUGUUUGAGGGAAGGGUUAUGUAUGUAGUGUUAUAAAAUUUAUUUUUUAUACAUUUUUUUUAAAAAUUCAUAUUCUAAAUCCAACCAAAAUUUUGUAUAUUUAGUUUACUAAAUUAUUAUAUUUUCGUCAAACAAUUUUCAAUAAUUUCUUUAAAUUUGACGUCUUUUUCCAACAUUUUUUAGGUUGUCGUUAUGUGCAAAUAAUUUAUUAACUUUUUAAAGAAAUUUUGUAUUCUAAAUCUAAUACACAGAUUUAUUUGACGUAAUUGUUACGUUCAAAUAAAUUAUUUAUCUAAUCGUUCUAGUUUUCGUAACACAAUUUUCCUUAAUUUAUUUAAAUACAAUAUGAACUUUUUUUAAGUAAUCGUUUCGGUUGAAUAAAUUACUAUUUUUCUUUUAAGGAUAAAACAUUCUUAGUUUUUUCUUAUCUCAAUAUUAUGUUUUUUUUUUUCUCAUCUUUUUAAAUUAAAGGAUUGUUGUUCUGGAAGCAACAAAAAUGAUAAAAAAAAUUAUAAUAAAUCAAUGAAAGAUAUAAAAAUAAGGAAGAAGAAAGAGAAAAAAAAAAGUACAUUUUGGAAAAAUAUAGCAUAAUUUGGUAAAAAAUUAGAUUUAAAAUUUAAUUCAAAUAAAUCUUAAAUCAAAUCACCAUUGAAUUCAUUUUUUUAAAAGGAAAAUUCUUAUACAUUUCAAGUUUAAAUACUUCCAAAAAAGAUAUUUGUUAUCUUAGUUAAUUUAACGUUAAAUCCUCUUAUUUGAUUUUAUUUUGAUUUUUCUAUAAGUUUAAUAAAAUUCAUUUUUUUAAAUUUAUUUAACUUAAAUUUAUCCGAAAUAGUUUAGAUACAUAUAGAUUAGUUUUAAAAUAAAAUAUUUGAAAAGGUAAAAAACAAAUAAAAGACAUAAAAUAAUAAAAAAAAAUUAAAGUAAAUACAAGUACUAAAUGCAUAAACUAAUCACAAUUUAUAUUUAUUUAAAUUUUAUUUUGUAAAUAAAAUAAAUUAAAAACAAAAUUAUUUUAAGAUUAUUAAAUUAAUUGAAAAAACAAAUGGCAUUUGAUAAAUAAAAGAGUAUUUUUUUUUAAGAAAAAAUGAAAUGGUAAAUUUAUGGAGAAUUGAAAAAGUAGGAUUAGAGAGGGCUGAAGAGAUUGAGAAGGAAGAGAGAGGGGAAGAUGAGUUAUGAUAAACCUAAAACAAGGGUUAUGAUAACCCUUCCCCAAACAAGGGUUGGGUUACCAUAAACUUAACCCAAAAGUGAUAAUCCUUCCUCCAAAUUUAAUAAGAAAAAUGCUUGGCUAAUAAUUAAUUGAAUCCAAACCUACCAUAUAAACACAAAAUUAUUUUAAUGCUUCUCACAUUAUAUGUCAAUUUUUACUUUUUGAAGAUUGAAGAUUGCUCAACAUGAAGAUAGACGAAUGAAAUUGUUCAUAAUAAAAAAAUAUUUGUUAAUUUAUAUUUUGGGUGUGUUUAUUAUAGUUUCUACUCUUUUUUUUUAAUAAUUCAACCGUUCAUAGUAUUUUUUUUUUUUUUUUUUUUGUCUAUAGAAGGUACAUAACUUCAUUUUCUUAAACUUUUAGUUUAUCGAAAAAGAAUGGAUUGAUGAAAAAAGUUGUGAUUAAUAAAGUUUGAAGUUUUUCUAAAAACGUAUUCAACCAAAGUAAUUACAAUUGUUUACAAAUUUAUAUCACACCAAAUCAAAAAUAAAAAUAAAAAACCUCUUUGCAUUUAAAAUUUUAUAGUUGUUACAUUUAUUACACUAUGUUUGAAGGGACACAACCACUAUACGAGAGACAAAAUUUAGUAACACUAGAGCAUUAUUUAAUAUAUAUUGUAAUUUCAAAAUUAAUAUUAAAAUACAAAUAAAAAAUGUAAGAGGGAGACGAGCCCCUACCUCUUAAUAAAUCCGUCCUUGUGUGGAAGACAUAGUCAAACUUAUUAAAUGUGUACGUCAAGCUUCCUAUCUUCCUCCAUAGGGGUUAUUUAAGACCAUUAUAAGUGCAUUUAUGUGUUUAUAUAGCUAGGUUUGUAUUUUUUACUUAUUAAUUAGUAUGCCCCUUAAAAUUUGUGUCAUAUUUUCUAACCGUAUUCAUUCUAGCCAUCUUUAUCGAACCAUAAUUAAAAUUAGUUUAUUCGUAAAAGAAUUUCAUUAGAUAGAUCAAUUAUAGUAAACUUAAAUCGUAAAUAUAAUUGAAUUACUUUUGAUCACAUUUAUUUAGAGUUAUGAAUCCUUCACGUCUACUAUUAUUGUUACCAUUUGACUCUAAGUAGGAUCAAAAUUGUGACUGUAACAAUUAAAUGUAAAGAUAAAAUAACAAAUGUCAGUUCAUAAUUAUCAUAUGAUUACAAUAACAAUAUCUUAAUAACGAUAACAAUGAAGGGUAGUUAGUUCAACAUAAUUUUUAAGCAUAAUUGGAUAAUUAAGCACGUUCCUUAAUCAGAUUAUUUGAUUUGAUUACAAAUUUGGAGGUAGGACCUACGAUUGUUCAUUAAAAUUACAAAACACAAGUAAACAACAACAAAGAUUAUUAACUCGGGCCAACUUUUUAUAUUUUCAUUUAUGAAUUUCGAUUGAGGUAAAUGUGGCCUUACUUGUGUUUAAAUGGUGUUUGAAUUGGAUCUUUGCACAACUCUUGACCUUUUAAAUGGCUUAGAUUAAUGAUAUUAAAACUGUGUGUUUUCAAGAAUUGUCACUUUGUUGUUGUUUUUUCUUUUUUCAAAUAUUGCUUUAGAAUUGAUAUUUAUUGAAUUAGUCUUAGUCUUAUAGUUCUCAAAUGAAUUGUCUUAGAUCUAACAAUGAUUUAUCCUUCUAACUUUGUUUUAGAUUUGUAAGUGUUUGCAAAAAUCUAAAUUAGUAAAUGGUUCAGCAAUAGAGCAAUUUAAUGAAUGAAUUUUAUUUGGAUUAAAUUUUUAAAUGUUUAAUGUAAAAAAUAAGUUAUUCGGUAAAAAGUUGGGAGUAUUUGAAAGCUACUUAAAAUAGUUUUUUAAAUGUAUUUUAAACCAUUUUCACAAAAAUGAGUUUAAAGAAAAAUGAGUCGUUUCUUGAAAAAAAAAAAAUCUUCAGUCAAUCCAAACGGACCCUAUAUCGUUAUUGUGAAUGUCAGUUUGAUGAAAAAGACUAUAAAAAGCAUGAAUAUAAGAGAAAAGUAUCUCUAUUGAUGAGCUAUAGGAAGGAUGAUUCGAACCUAUAUAAUUGUAUUCCAGAAACAUAUACGAGCAUCGUAUGAUUGUAAAACAUUAAUAAAGAUUCACUAGGUGUAAAGAAAGCCUCCAAUAAACAAAGAGAAAUUGCAUUAGAUGACAAUACUUUUAUAUAAAAAAAGUAUAUAUAUAUAUAUAGCUAGUUUUCUUAAAAGAAAAUAAACGUACGUUAGUUAGUUCAGAUAUUUGUAUAUAUAUAGUCUAAUAUGAAAGAUAUUGCAUUAUUUGAUUUGAACCUCCAUAUGUCACAUGGUUUUUAGUUAGAAAACAGAUUAAAUUGGACCUUAAUCUAUAAGAUAUUCUCAAGUCAUCUAACUCUAAAUAUAAUAUAAUUUUCCAGGAUGAAACCUACAAAAUCUAUAAGAUAUCCUCAAGUCUUCCCAACUCUCUCUAUAUAUAAAUUAAUAUCAUUUUCCCAAGAUGAAACCUAAGAAAACAAUCAAAGUCAUAAAAUGUAUCAAUAUGGUGUAGUAUUUUUCAAAUCAACUCAACAUUCAACAACUACACAUUUUGUCUUUUACAAUCCAUAUUUUAGGGGUUUUUUUUUUUGUUUGAGAAAAACAGUUUAAUCUAUCUAUAUAUGUACUUGUAUCUAUACUAUAUUAAAGUGUGAGAUUCAUGAGAAACAUUUUUAGUCUAAAUUAUCCUCCUUAAUUUUAAGUUAUUACAUUUAUGUAUCCUUACUAUAGUGUUUUUAAUUUUAUUAUUCAUUUUAGUUUUAAUUUUAAGUUAUAACAAGGGACACUUAAAAAAUAAAAAGAGGAAAAACAAGUAUUAAUAAUUAAGUCUAUAACACACAUUUAUUGUUUGUAAAAAUGAUAAAGACAAAACCAACCCACUUAUAUAAUAUGUGAAAUGCCAUAAAUGUCUUUGUUACUGAUAUACAUUUGAUACACUUGAUACGCACCUGAUACAUCUGAUACUCUUUGAUACACUUGAUAUACAUUUGAUACUUCUUGAUAACUUUUGAACCUUGAUACACACUUGAUGUACCAUGAUACUCUUUGAUUGUGAGACUCGUUUCUAAUUUGAAUAUAGGAAUUAAAAUUCGGUUAAAAGUAUUAAAGAAAUUGGUGUUUGAAUAAAUCUGCCGAAAGGAUUAAGCGAUAAAAUCUUUUAUGGUUAGUAUAAGUUUUGAGAAAAAGAGGGUUUGCAGUAGAAUCUAUAAGUCUAAACGCUCUAAAAAAAGUUUGCUUAAGUUAAGUUUUGACUAAAACGACUAGGCGUUUAGGUAGUCUUCACGAUAAGAACCAAGGGUUUCGUGAUAAAAAAGUAUGCGAGGAAGUCUUGAAGUUUAAGUUCACGAUAAGUGUUCUAAGCGAGUAAAAAUUGGUUAGUUCGCGAUGAAGGUUUCUUGUAAAAAUAAAACCACGCGAUAAGGUUAUUCGCGAUGAGUGUUAAGUGGUUAAAAUUAUUUGUGGUAUGGGCUUAGGCAGGAAGUAAGGUCUAACUAAGAAAAUGUCAAAUAUGAUUUGACAGGGAUUAACGUGUAAGGUUAAGAAGUUAAAGCAUGUUGGGUUGAGUAUUAAAUUCAUGUGUAAAGUUUUAAGCAGAAGCUGGCAAAGUGAGAAGAGUUUAAGCAUGACUAAGAUAGUUUAAGGGCUUUAUAAAUAGAGGGUUUGGUCAUUAAGUAAGAAAGUUUUAUUAAAAAAAAAAAAAGCUAAAAUGCUAUUGUUUUAAUUUGCUUUUGUGAGAAGGAAAAAAAAACAAAAUAUUAAGUACGGUGAUUUGUUCCGCGAGAAGGCUCCACAAGACGAGAAUGAAGAGGAAGAUUUUUGUUAAAGUGUGGUGAGUGGUUUUCUUCUUAAAAGUUUUGUGAUUCUGCUUUACUAUUUUAAAAGAUGAUUUCAAAUGAGAAAGUGUUUAAAAAAGAAAUUUCUAUGAAAAGAUUAUAUGUCUUCAAGCAUGAUUUAUAAUGUUAAAGCUUGAUUUGAUGAUUACGAUUUCCUAAGAAAUGAUUUUCAAAACAUUAGUUGAUUCCUUGAGAUAAUAAUAACUUUUAUGUUCACAUAAAGAGUCAAGGCCACCAUGGAGUGUAUGGACUACAUGGUGAUAAGAAAUUGGCUUAUGUGUUGAAAGGAGUGUAUAAAGCUCAGCAGUCUAAGCAACAAGGAUGAAUCUGUAUGUUCUCAGAUGUUGUUGAUACAGUAGUCAAACGCAAGGUAAUGAGACCAAGCGUAGAUAAUGAUUCAGGAUCCUUGGCGAAAGAAAUAACUAUUAACUAAUUUGUGUUUAUGUGAAAUUGUUGUGUUAUGAAUGUGUUUGUUAAGCAUAAAGAAAGAUUUAUGCGAGAUGAAAUGAUUUGAUAUUAUUUAUGCGAAAUGAUGUUUAUGGAAAUGUAUUGCGAAAAGGAUUUCAUAAAAUCUCACUAGUCUUUUAGACUUAUUCUUUCAAAAAUUCAUCUUUCAGGAUCAGACGUUUAGGCCAAGUAAAGAAGAAGGUUGAAGGAUUUGCGACGAAAUAACUCUAGACCUUUUGGAAAUGGUUAAACAUUGGUUAUUUGAUCAAAGUGUUGUAAUUAUGUAUCCAACGCCUGUUAUUAAUAAAAUAUACUUAUUUAUUAUAUUUGGCAUUUAGGUUGACCACAGUUGCAUUUUGAGUUUUGUUGAUAGUAUAAAAGGAGUUGAGAAUAAGAUUUUGCGAUAAAAAAGUUUCAAUAAAUGGCGAUAUGCAAUGUGUGGGAAUUUAAUGCUCUCCAAGCCGAAGGGACUUGGUCAUUAGUUCCUCGACUUCCAUCUAUAAAUGUUGUUGGUUGUAAAUGGGUUUUCCACACGAAAUAUAAUCAUGAGGGCUCUGUUGCUUGCUACAAAGCAUGACUAGUUGCUAAGGGUCAUCAUCUGGUACAAGGCUUUGAUUUUGAUGAAACCUUUAGUACUAUUGUCAAAAAAACUCACUAUACGAGUUAUUCUGGCUCUUGUUGCUUAAUGCAAUUGGCAUUUAACCCAGUUAGAUCAAAAAUGUCUUUUUUCAUUGUCUUCUCUAGGAAAUAGUUUACAUGUCUCAACCUACUAGCUUCCACCAUAAAACAUAUCCAAAUCACGCGUGCCUCCUUUAGAAGAGUCUUUAUAGUCUCAAACAAGUCCCUCGUUCUUGGUUUGAUCGAUUUACAUCUUAUUUAUUUACCCUAGGUUUUGUUGCUUCUACUGCCAAUUCUUCAUUAUUCAUUUAGUUUGUUAGGUCUUCUCUCACUUACUUACUUCUAUAUGUAGAUGAUAUUAUUGUCACUCUUCGUAUAUUUUUAUUCUCAAACAACAAUUGGCUCAUGAGUUCCAAAUAUCAAAUCUUGAUCCUUUAAAGUACUUUCUUGGUCUCAAAAUACAUUCCUCCACUGAUGCAAUUUUCCUUAACCGAGCCAAAUAUCUCACUGAUCUUCUUCACACCUCCAUAAUGUCUUUUGCAAAAACUUGUGCCACAUCAAUGUCUACUUUUAUUGAUCUUUAUACCACUACCCUGCCAUUUAAUGACCCCUCCUUAUAUCGUUGGCUCAUUGGUUCCUUACAAUACCUUACUUUUAUCUCUCCUAAUAGUACAUUCUCUAUAAAUCAUGUUAGUUAAUUUAUGCACAAACUCAUUGUUAUUCACUUCUUUGAAAUCAAACGCAUCCUCCGAUAUCUAUAUAGUACUUCGACCAUUGACAUAAAAUUUUUACAACUUCGUUAUCUCUACAAACCUUUUGUGACUCUGAUUGGGCUGGAGAUAUUUCUGAUUGAUAUUCCACCUUUGGAUUCAUUGGCUUCCUUGGUUCUAAUUCAAUAUCUUGAUCUUCCAAAAAGCAACCUACAGGUUCGCGUUCUUCCACAUAAGCAAAAUAUCGCUCACUCGCCACUACCACUACCGAUCUUUACUGGAUCCAAAAACUUCUAUAUGAUCUUCAUGUUCCACUUAAGUCUUCAACAACGUUAUGGUGUGAUAAUGUUUAUGUGUUUCAUGCUUGAAUAAACACAUUGAGUUUGAUUACCACUUUGUUCAAGAAAAAAGUAUUUUGCAAAAACAUUCAUUUGUUACAUCUCUUCCAACGAACAACUUACUGAUCUACUAACAAAGCCACUCUCAUCUCCAACAUUUCUACAACUUCGAGAUAAAUUGCUGACUCAUUCCCAGCGAUCCGUUUUAGGAAGGGUAUUAGAGGAUAUUUUUAGAUUCACAAUUCUCUCCACAAUCUACUCCUCAAUUUCUACCCUUCAAUUUUGCCUAAAUUAUAUAUUCGAUUAUAUUGUAAUAUUUCCAUAUUGUAAUCUCUUGAAUUGUAUAUUUAUAGCAAGCAUUGUAAAAGAAAUAAGAUAUGCAAAAUACAUUAUUCUAAAAUCCUUUCGGCCACUAUAAUUUAAAGCAUCAACAUGGGGCUUAAACAACCAAGCUUAAACAUGACUUAUAAUCAGCACAUCCUUAAUCAAAUAAAUAUUAAUUGAAAACAAGAUUAGAAGAUAAAGAGAUUCAAAUUAACUAACAUGAAGUUCAUACGUACUAAACCAUAACGAAGAACAAAAACGACUAAAAAUUUUAUCUAAUCUACGUGUUACUUUAUGGUUUUUUUCCAAAGUUUCACGAGUCAAGUAGUGUAGUUUUUUAUAGUAUUAUCGGAAACUUACAAAUUAAAGAUAAUGACAAAAAGAUUUAUCCCCCUAAUAGAGAAAAAACUGUAUCGAAAUGGUCAAUCUCAAUUUUGAAGCCAACAAAAAAAUGAUAGAGAAGUCUUGUAAAUAGCUUUAGAUUAGAGGGUAUAUAAGAAAAUUUCAUGGGAUUUAGAUGGUGAAAUUGGGCUUUGACUGGGCCAUAAAAUAAAUGGGCCUAGUGGCCCAUUAGGGGAUGUAAGAAAAUGAAAAAAAAAAAAAAAUUACAAAAACCAUGUUGCAGCUUCGAAGUACAGCAAGGGAAGAGUUUUUGCUUCUGGAGAAUGACGAGGGCCGCUCUCUUCCAUUUGCUACGAUCACAAUCCAAACAUAUCUCGAGAAGAAAUUACUAUUCAGGUAUGUUUCUUCUUCCUUCUUCCAUUUUCCAAUCCCUCCUUGCAAGAAUGAGACAUUUUUCUUUCUCAAGCUUUCAAUUCUGCAAUUUUCAUGCUCCCAGUGUAGUAAAGAAUGUUAAAUUUCUUGUUUGCUUCCGAUGAAUGCGAUUAGAAAAUAUUAACGUUAGCCUUUAAUGUUCUGAAAUUAUCUCAAAAUUAUUUUACAAGACCUCUUCGUGAAGUUUUAUGCCAUAUGAUAGCUUGUCUAGCUAGGGAUCUUGUCUUGAAUAAUCUCAUUUUGAUUUUAGGUUUGAGAUAAAUUUUACCGGAAGAAUUAUGCAUGCUUUGAGUUGGAACUUUGGGUGCAUUUUGCUUCUCUUUUUUUUUCUACACCUAGCUACUGUCACGAACAUUUCAAUGUUCACUUGUUGCACAUGAAUUUAGGGAUUCUUGCAAAACUAGGUUUUAUUUCAUAUUUCGUAUGUGUUACUCCUCUCCUUGCUAAUUAGCUUUGAGGUAGAACUCCAUGUAUAUCUAAUGUGGUAUUAGAAUCUAUGAUAUCCGAAAAAACAUUCUUUGUAAAUAAAUUGAAAUCUGACUCAAGAAUGGUGAGCCCAAAGAGGCAUUAUGUUGAGGGGCAUGUGGAGAGGAGAUGUCAUAAUCUUUAUAGAACACACAAGUUACUUCUCUUAUUGUCAAUUGGCUUUGAGCUGGAAUUAUGUUUGUAUGUGUUCUCUUAAAGUAAUAUUUACACUGAAAGUACGCAUUUGGCUCAUCUCCUUGUAAGACAUCCCUUUUAUCUCUAUAGCUGCCUUGUUUCCUUGUUUCCCACUUCCAAUAUUGUAGUCUAGCAUCGUUGUUUGGUGGGUUCAUCUAAGUAUCACUAUGGAAAUUUUCUUUUUUGCAUAUAACACCCUUAUAAGUUAAAAAAGAUUAAGCAACAUCUAGUAAGUAAACAAAUAAAACAAUGCAAAUGAAAUUCUUGAUUGAAAUCAAGUAAAUUCACAAAAAUGUUGAGCAAAAAGCUAGAAAAUUUUCAAUUCUUUUAACGAGACCAAAAAUUUACUGGUAGAAAAGCACUGGAAAGCAUACAAUAUCAAGUUUUAGCAAAUAUAAUGAAAGGAAAUUGCUGCCCUCUAGGAUUGGAUGUCAGAAUUUACUAUAGUAUUUCUGGUUGUUAACUAUAUUUAGAUACUCAGUUUGUUAUGUGAUAGGGUGCUAGCCACUCAGGUAUUCAGGGUUGGGAGGCUUCCAUCUCUUCUCUGGCAGUUACUGAAGAUUCGUUUGUAUUUUUUCCCCUGCUUUUCUUCCUUCCCUCACAAUAACUUAAAAGACAAGCAUAAUCUUAGACCAAAUAUAUCCAGGACUAGCAAUACUUUAAUUUUUAGGUUAAAAAGUACAAAUAUUAAGCACUAGAAACAUGCUAAUCGGGCUUGGUGUAAGACUUUCUGUGGGAAAUAACUCCCUUUCUAUUAAUCACUUGCAAUUGCUGGAUGAUGCCAUUCUUGUUCUCUUACUUCGUGAAGUCCUCACAUUCUCGUUAUUAUUGUCAAGUCUUUGUAGAGGCUUCGGUCCCUACCAUAGGUAAGGUAAAUCAGAUAUUGCUGGCAUUGGUUGUGUGACCUCCAUCAUUAAGCUGAUUGCUCUGAACUUCAGCUUAGAAUCGGGACACUGGCCAUUUCUUACUUAGAGCCUCCUCUGUUUUUUCUUUAGACCUUUUUAUUGAAAGAUGAGAAAAUAAACUCUAAUAAAGAAAAUGCCUCAUUGAAGAAGGCAGGCAACCUUAUUUGAAUAGAUUCUCUCUAAUCUUCUUAUAAUAUCUAAUAAAGAGAGUAGAGAGCCCAGUGUCAAUUGAUUUUGAGGUGGAAUCUCAUGUUAUAUAAUGUCAUAAAGCCAAAACGGGUAUUUGAUCCAAUAGCAAAUUGAGAUCCAAUAAAAAAUGGUGAACCCAAAAGAGUCACAUCAUGAGGGAUCAUGUUGAGAAUCCCACAUGGAAGAAACCAAGAGAACUGAAACUCCUUAUUUUAGGAUAGGACCCCUUUGUCAAUUGGUUUUGAGAUGGAACCUCAUUGCUAAGAAUUCCACAUAGGAAAAACUAAGGUACCUCGCACUCCUUAUAAGAUAGACGAAUUUCUUUCCUAUUGUCAAUUGGUUUUAAGAUGGAAUUAACUCUAUGCUUGUGGGCUCGAAAUAUGAAAACUCAACAAGUGGAAAUGAAUAAUAAUUGGAGAGAAAACAACAAUGUAGAGGUUUGAGAAAAAACAACAAUUUAGAGGUUUGAACACAGGAUCUUCUGAACCAACCUGCUUUAAACCCCUCUUCAAUCAAUACCAUCUUAAAUUAUCAAUUGACUCAAAGUGGCUUUUUUGGAGAUUUAUUUGACAUGGAGAUUUCACCUUGAAAAGGAUAAUUUUUGGAAGAAAUUUGUUGUUGCUAGAACGGCAUUGCUAAUGAUGGAGGAAAUGUAUUUUGUUUACUUUUAAAAUUGUAAAUAUUUUUACUUCUGGCUCUUGCAUACAGUGCAUUGCAUAUGAUCCUACCCAACCCUGAGUACCUUUCCUACAUGUUGGACGAUCUUUCCCAUUCUUCCAUCAUCCAUGGGACUUGGUUUUCCUUGUAAUUGUUUAUUCAAUGAAGUUAGUUGUUCAAUUGUUUGUUAUUGUUUUUUUUAUCAGAAAAGCUUUAGUUAUUUUGACUUGGAAAGCGAGAGAAUUAUACAACAGAAAUAAGGAUGGUCUAUUGGUCUCUCUAUAUUUCCAUUAAAAGAAAGAAAUGGUUUUAAACUCAACUUAUAAGCAGUAUAUUGAUGUCUUUUUGUUCCCUUUUGUGAAGGAGUUAGCAAACAAACUCAAGACGAAUCAUUAUCUGAUGUCACUAUCCUUCAUGAGUCCGUCUUAUAUUUGUUAUUUAUUUUGGAUUUGCUUCACUCUCAAAGCCCUGGGCCUUGUCUUGUCUUGUUUUCAUUAUUUUUAAAGAUAGUAAUAGCUAGGGUUUUUCCUUCCUUAUUAACUAAGAAAAAUCGAAUUUACUCAGCCUAAAUGCAAAAGUUCUCUUGUUCAGAUUGGUUUUUCUUUUUCAUAUUUCCACUCCAACUAUGCUUUCUCUUCUUUAUGUAAUAUUUUUGUUUGCGCUUUGCAGUUAAGCUCUAGAAGACUAAAGCUCUUUUUAUCUAAAAGUAAGUGCUCUUUUGCCUCAGGUUAUCAUCUCCAACGAUCAACAGCAUGGAUCAAUGAAAAAUUUGUACCCACCAGCAACUUUCUUUCGCAGAAAAAUGCAGUCCAGAAGAGAUGGGCAUCUCAAGCUACAACAAGAGAAGAUGAUGGCAAGAUCAGCAUUGGACCCGGAAGAGGACAAGAAGCCGAGGAAGAUGAAAAAGAUGUUGCUUAUAUUGGGCCAAUCUCGUCAACUAUCAAAAAAGUCAAGCUUCUAUCUUUAUCUACAUGCUGCCUCUCUGUAUCACUCGGACCAGUCAUAACCUUCAUGACGUCCCCCGACAUGAAUGUGAUUCUGAAAGGUGUUGUUGCAUCAUCUGUGAUAUUCCUCAGUGCUACUACUACUGGAGCGCUUCACUGGUUCGUGAGCCCUUAUGUUCAUAAAAUUAGGUGGAAACCAGGUUCAGACAGUUUUGAGGUUGAGGUUAUGUCGUGGCUGGCGACUUACAUUCCACGAACCAUUAGAUUUGCUGAUAUUCGACCACCCGAAACAAACCGCCCCUUUGUGACAUUCAAGGCUAAUGGGAGUUUCUACUUCGUAGACAAAGAGCACUGUCAGAAUAAGGCACUCUUAGCCAGACUGACUCCUCAGCAACGCGAAUCAGCUCUUAGAAACUUAUGAUUGUCUUGGAGACUGACUUUUCUUUUUCUUCAUUGAGUUGAAGGCCAAUGAGAUGGCUGAACUGUUGUCAUAAAUCAUAUACUUUCACCAUAGACAAAUUGCUGCUCAUUGUACUGUUUAGAUCAAUUUUGGCAGAAUGGUUUUUUUAAAACACAAUAAUUCAUUCAUGUGUACAACCUUUGAUAACUGAUAGAUGAUACUACAUAACAUAUAUUACGUAGUUUGGAAUUUUAAAAAUAGUUUCUAUUAACAUAUUCUUUAUAUAUUUUUGAAAAGAUACUCACAUAGUAUAACUUUUCGUAAAUUUUUUUACUAUGUAAACCAUUUUUAUCCAAAUACUUCUUGGACUGAAUUUAAGAUUUGUUUAAAGUUUAGUGAUAAUGCAAUCUUAAUUCUUAACCUAAAAGUUCAAACUUUUUGUUGGUAGGAAGAUUUAAAUCCAAGAAACUAACUCCUUGUAUGAAAUUUAAAUCAACCAAAAGGGAAAAGGGAAAAAAAAUGUUAGAAUUAGAUUAUCUCUUUCCGGUAGGAUUUCAAACUUUGUUCCAUUCUACUGUCUCUCUACAAAUUUGAAGAAAAGUUGUUUGAAGAAAAGUUGUUCAAAUUUCUCAGAAAAAACCUCAAAGAAUGAGAGCUCAAAUUAGAUUAAUAAAAUCUUCGAUCAAGAUUAAAAGGAUGAAACAAUUGGUAUAUAGCAUUUUAUAGAGAUUGUAAUCUUUUCAAUCUAUAGACACAAAAUUCAAAAUAAAAUAUUAAAGAAAGAAGUUAUUUUCUAAAUCUCAAUCUUUUCAGCUACCAUCUUUAAUGUAUCUUCAUCUUUACAACCACUAUCUUUAAUGCAUCUUGCUCCAGAAACAUUAACUAAGUUAAAAUUGCUAAAGAAAUGUUAAGAAAACUAAUAACAGAAGUUAUCAACUUACGUUCGUUAAUUACAAUUGUGUCAUGAUACAUAUCAUCUGAUUUAGAAACUGAAUUUGAAUAACUAAACUAAAACUAUAGAAAAUUUAUUGAAAUUCACUAUUCUUUACUCUAAAAACGUCAAGUUGUUUUUUUGUUCAUCCAAAAUUACUUUUUUUUUUUCUUUACACCUAUCCAGACUAAUUUACAUAUACCACGACAAGUUUUCUUAGUCAAAACCCUACACAAUAUUUAGGUAACACAAAAACCUAGAAAAUAUUAAAACUUAGGUAAAUAGUCACAAAAGAUUGAAUCCAUACCGAUAGCCUUCUUACCAAAGUACAUGAAAAAUUGGCUCUUUUUUUCUAUUAUGCUAAUGGUUUAUUAUUCAUAUCAGGGUAGUGGCUCCGAAAUCAAGAAACCAACGUUGAUGAGGAUGAAAAGGGGAAGAGAGUUGAGUGAAAUGUGAGCACAAAGAGUGUGUUAAGGAUCCCGAAAUAGAGGGUUGUGAUGCGAGGAUUGUAGCAAUUAGAGAAAGUAGUGUGUCCAAAUCAGGUACAAAAUGAGGUUUAUUUGGUUUGGAAGACGACAAAAGAUUAUAGGGAUCGGAAUGGGGAAAGGAGAGGCAAGAUCAAUAGCAGGAGGCAAAGAAGAAGCAUAACUCAAUACAUUUGUGAUUUAGGGAAGAAGUUGUGAAGGUAGAGGUGAAUGUUGUAGAUUGGCCAAAUUGGAACGCACAUUAUAUGAACUUGCACGACGCUUCACCAGAAACGUAUGUAAGACCAUUGGAGCAGAAGUAGGUACCUGAACUUGCUCAUCUCAUGUCCCUUGUCUACUCGUUCAUAUAAAUUUCACGUAUUCACUUCAACAUAUCCGCUUUUGCAUUUUUAAUAUGAAUUUUAAGUAGUUUUAAAUAUAUAUAUAUACAAACUCAACAUAUUAAACAAUAACAAGAAACCCUAAACAUAAUUUUUUUAAACUCCACUUCACAACAAAAUUUUAAAACAAGAAAAGACCAACAAUAGUACACUUUAACAAUGGCAACUCCACUUUUGUUGCCAUUGCAAGUUGAGUUUAAGGUUCUUUUAAGCUUUUUGAUUCUUUCAAAAAAGAGAAAAAAUGGUUUUGAUGGGAAAUCAAUCAAGAAAUGGUCACAAAGGGGGGCCUUGACAAUAUACUCAAACAAAACAACGUAUAUAAGAAACAGAAACAAAGAUCAAUACCAGAAAAAAGUAGUUUGAAGUAAAACGAGCAUAGAACAUAUAACCUUAAUUAGGAAGGACUUGCCACCGCCGAUCAAGCACCCAAUUCUGAGAGAAUCUGCUUAACGACGAUGGAGGAAACUUAAAGACGCAACCAACGAAACAGAGACAAAACAAACCCCAACCAGAUAGUAAUUUAAUAAGAACCCACUCAUCAUUCUGACAAACUUCACCACAGCCAACGGCUACUCGUACCAUUCACUUCCCUGAUUUCUUUGCUGCAGACUUGGUGACCUUGGCGCCCGAUGCAUCCUUCUUCUCAACGGCCUUGAUGACACCAACAGCCACGGUUUGACGCAUGUCCCUCACGGCAAAUCGUCCAAGAGGGGGAUACGCAGAGAAUGUUUCCACCACCAUAGGCUUGGUGGGAAUCAUCUUAACAAAUCCAGCAUCUCCGUUCUUCAAAAACUUGGGCUCUUUCUCCAGUUCUUUACCAGAUCGCCUGUCAAUCUUAGUUAAAAUCUCGGCAAAUUUGACAGCAAUGUGAGAUGUGUGGCAAUCGAGUACAGGUGCAUAACCAUUUCCAAUCUGUCCUGGAUGGUUCAUGAUGAUAACUUGGGACGUGAAAUUGGCAGCUUCCUUGGCAGGAUCAUCCUUGGAAUUUGAGGCAACAUAACCACGCUUGAGAUCCUUCACAGCAACAUUCUUCACGUUGAACCCCACGUUGUCACCAGGGAGAGCUUCUUGGAGAGCUUCGUGGUGCAUCUCCACAGACUUAACUUCAGUAGUCAGUCCAGAUGGAGCAAAGGUUACCACCAUACCAGGCUUUAUAAUGCCAGUUUCAACACGACCCACUGGAACAGUUCCAAUACCUCCAAUCUUGUAGACAUCCUGAAGUGGAAGACGAAGGGGUUUGUCAGAUGGCCUCUUAGGCUCUUGGAUCAGAUCGAGAGCCUCAAGAAGGGUCGGUCCCUUGUACCAGUCGAGGUUGGUGGAUCUUUCAAUCAUGUUGUCACCCUCAAAGCCAGAGAUGGGGACGAAGGGAAUUUUUUCUGGGUUGUAGCCAACCUUCUUGAGGUAGGAAGAAACUUCCUUCACAAUUUCAUCGUACCUAGAUUUCGAGUACUUGGGCGUGGUGGCAUCCAUCUGUCACAUAAAUAGCCAAGUCAGUAAGUAACAAAACACGAAAAAACCAGAAUACUAAAGAAUCAGGAUUGACUAUAAACAUCAUUACCUUGUUACAGCAGCAAAUCAUUUGCUUGACACCAAGGGUAAAGGCAAGAAGGGCGUGUUCACGGGUCUGCCCAUCCUUAGAAAUACCAGCUUCAAAACCUCCAGUAGUGGAGUCGAUAAUAAGAACAGCACAGUCAGCCUGGGAAGUACCAGUAAUCAUGUUCUUGAUGAAAUCACGAUGCCCAGGGGCAUCAAUCACAGUGCAGUAAUACUUGGUGGUCUCGAACUUCCACAGAGCAAUAUCAAUUGUGAUACCACGCUCACGUUCGGCCUUAAGUUUGUCCAACACCCAGGCAUACUUGAACGAUCUCUUGUUCAUCUCAGCAGCUUCCUUCUCAAACCUCUCAAUAACACGCUUGUCAAUACCUCCAAGCUUGUAAAUCAAAUGGCCAGUAGUGGUCGACUUGCCAGAGUCGACAUGACCAAUGACCACAAUGUUGAUGUGAGUCUUUUCCUUACCCAUGCUUGAAUAUUAGGUCAAAGAACUGCGAAACAAGAAAAAGUUCACGAAAAAUAAGAAGAGCAAGAGCAGAUAACCAAAAUAUCAUUACUAAAAUUUGUGAAUAACCCUAAUUUUGUUAGAUUCACACAUCUAAAUAACGUUAAAAUUAAAAUAUCCACCACAAUAUCAACUCUUUUGGCUGGAAAACUUGUUGGUUAUAAAAAAAUGAUCGGAACUAGAACAGAGAAAAUAAAUAAAUAAAAAAAAACGAAAAACGACCAACCCAAUCAGCUAGACUAGAUUAAAAGCAGAUCUACGCGAUUGGCAGAACGACAGGGGACGUCUCGAUAGAUUGAUGAACAGAUACAUAAAACUAGCAUAAAAACAAAAGGGCAGGGACAAGAAGAAGAACAGAAGAAAUUAUAAUUCAUGCUAGGAUCUAGACGAGAAAAACAGUAAAAGCUAAAGAAAUAAGAGAGUAUCAAGCAUAUAGAAGAAAGAAAUCGAGAAAAGGAAGAAGAUAGGGGGAAAGCACAACCUGAGGAGAAAUGCUGCUGUUAAACCCUUGCGGCGAGAGAUGGAGAAUGGCAAUGGGAUUGAAGGGGUUAACAAUAGGGUUUGAGGAUCCUUAUAUAUGCAAUGUCUGAAUUCCUUUGUUGACGAAAAUACCCUUAUCAUAAUUUCAACAUUCCUACACAGUGGCUCUCAACAAUAAAAGAUUUUCGAAUUUACCUACUAGAUUCCAAAUAAAAUAAAGUAACAUUUUAGAAUAUAGUAAAAUUUGUCAAAUUCUAUCAAUGAUAUAAAUGUAUCAACGAUAGACAUGUUACAAAUAUUAGUCUAUCACUAAUAGACCAUACGAAGUCUAUAGUUUUGUUAUAUUUGCAAUUUUUUAAAAAUGUUAAUAUAUUAUUAAUUACUAUUCAUAAAAUGAUCAUCAACUACGAUUUUUAAAAAAAGUUCUUUUUUUCUCAACUUUCCAUUUCAAGUUAAAGGUUUAAAAAAUAUCAUCAAAACUCUUGGAAAGGUUAAAAAACAUGUUUAAAAAAUAUAACUAUUAAAAGUUUCAAAAAUUCCCUUGAAUUUAAAAAAUGUUAAAGGAAAAACUUUCUUAAAAUGUAAUAUGAACUAAAAGUGUAAUAUCUCGCUAAAAAAUAACUUUAAAUUAAAAAUGUCUUUAUCGUUAAUACAUUGAAAAUUUUAUUUGAAUUUGUUAAGUUUGAUUAGAUUGACAAAUAUUUGUUUUAUGGCUUUAGAUAUAAAAAUUGUGACAUUGAUGUUAUUUUUAAAAAAUGGAUGAUCUACCAAAAUGUUGAUUAUCCAAUAUACUUUUCCUACGAGUAGUUGUGUUUUCAAUUUCUCAUGUUGGCAUCUUCCUUUAUGUAGCGUGUAGUUGCUUUGGAGGUUAGGGUUGCUUAUUUGUGAUUUCACUGUGCAUAUUUCAAGGACACUUAGUUCUAAGGUUUGGGUUUUGGCGGUUUAGUUUGUUUUAAUAGCAACAUUUGUAUUGUCUUUAUGUAGUAUUUUCAGCUUGUGUUAGAAGAAGAGAGUGCUACGUGUAUUUGAGGCAUACUCCAUUCUCCCUACUACUGUGCAUUGUGAUGUACUGAGAAGAGAUUAUUUAUGUUUAGGGGAUCUUAAAUAUACCAACGAGAUAUUAACAGUUUCAAAUAAAUUUAUUACUAUACUAACGAUAGAGAUAUUUUUAAUUAUUUAGAGUUAGUUUUUGCAACGAGAUAUUAACAAUUUUAGAUCAUAUACUAAUUGUGAGAGUAAAUUUAAAAGAAUAUAUAAUUUAAGGGUGUUUUUUAAAUUUUUCAAUAAUUGAGGAAUAUUUUUAACAAAACUUUAACCUUCUACAUCCAAAACUAACAUUAAGGGUAUUUUCGAACCCUUUUCGAAAGUUUGAGAGUAUUUUUUAAACUGUUGAAAGUUUAGGGGUAUUUUUUACUCAAAAUACAAAAUUGGGGGGUGUUUUUUUUACAAUUUAGCGUUUUUUUUGUGUUUUUUCUAGGCCAAUAUCAAUUUAUACCUCUGAACUUUAGAUGUUGUAUCAAUUUAAACUUUGAACUUUCUUAUAUGCAUCAAUUUAAACUCUCAACUUUCACAAAUGUGUCCAAGUAAAACAUAAUGGACGAUUUAAAAUGAUUCAUGUUAUAAGUGUAAAGUCUAAAUUGAUACAAUUAAUAGUUUAGGGUCUAUAUUGAUACAAAUUUUAAAGUUGAGAGUUUAAAUUAAUACAAUUAUUAGUUUAAGGUUUAAAGUUCAUUGAUAUAAAUUGAAAUUAGCCCAAUUUUUUUUUAAAAAAAAACUUUAAACUAAUUAAAACUACGAGCCACUACCGUGAAGGCAUAAGUGAACCAAAGUAGGAAAGAUCAAGCCUAAGUUUUUCAAUGACUGACUCAACUUUGAAUCACUCUACUUUGUGGUACAGUCAACUCUUCCCUUUUUUAUUGAGUCAAGUUAAGUCGAAGCAACGAGACCUAGUGUCAUGCCCUACUCCAAAUGACUCUUCAUGCGACCAAGUGGAGGCAUGUCGCCUAGACAAUCAAUGCACAACUUCUGCGAGAUGGUACGCUAAACACCUAGUAAGCGGAACUACUUCUUACAGCACAAGGUUAAGCGCACAAUUUGUACUUUAAUGAAACAAGAGAACUUCAUUGAUAGACAAUUUACAAGAGUACAUUUGAUUCCUAUUACACAAAUCGUUCAAAAGAGGACACAGACUCAACAACGACUUGACUUUUCCCCACUUAGCUUCUACAUGCUACACGAGAUAAUAGUAGCCACUACCAAGACAAUGUGAUUUAGGAGGUACGGUAGACGAUCAAGACAGCAAAUUCUAUGUCAGAUGUCCUUUGCUACCUAAGGGGGAUGAAAUAAACAUUAGAAGGGUUGGGCGAAAAUGUCUAGUGAAUGGAAUCUCUUAACAGAUGUUUUAUGUAAAUUAAUCGUUUUUUUACCAGAUAAUCAGCUCCAGAACAGGUAUUAUAGCAAAAUGUGUCGAAUGUCAUUUAUCUCUUACAACACUACUCCGAAGAAAGAAUUUAUUUAAAACAAUAUAAUAGUGUUAAUAAUAAAAAAGAUCAAGAUUGAGGAUAAACACAUUACCUUCGUCAUUUUAUGAGUUUUGUCCUCCCACGUUAUGCAAACUUGUUGGAAGCUUUGGCAAUAGUUGUGGCUGAAUGUUGAAGCAAUCAUUCAAGUACAAUGCUAUUAAGUUAGUAAGUCGAGGGAGGCUUUGUUUGAGCCUUACAAAAGAAUUCUUGCUAAGGUCAAGAAUUUCCAAUAAGAAAAGACAUUUGAUAUCAUCACGAAUAUCUUCGUCCACAAUAUUGCAAUCACUUAGAUUCAAAUCUCUAAUAGGCAAAACAUCAUUACUCCCAACCAAAUCAUUCAAUGACCACCAAAUAUUUUUUGAAAGCCUUUCACAAUUCAAAGUUUCAAGACUCUUUAAACGAGCGAUAGCAUUUGGUGCUUGAUCUAUAAAUGUUCCUCCAUUGUCAAGCAUGGUAAGAGAUUGUAUUGUCCCCAAAGUGAAAGGAAAUUUGGUGGAGGUUUUUGCAGCCAUUCAAAUUGAGAGUUUGAAGUGAUAUCAAUUUUCAAAUUGAUGUUGGAAGACUUGAUAGCUUAGUACAAUCCCUUAGGUUCAAUUAAGUUAAGUGAGCUAGAAGUCCAAAUGAUGAAGGAAGGUCUUGUAUAAGAGUUCCAUCAAGGUGAAGUUCAGUUAAAGUUUUGGUUGGUUUUUCAAUCUUUGGUAAAGAUUUAAGGCAUAAAUUGGAAAGAAUUAAUGUUUGGAAUCUUUUGCAAGUUACUAGUUUAGAUGGAAAUGUUUUGAGAUUGACACAAUUUGCCAUAUGAACUAAAACAAGAUGGUUGAGAGUAGUAAUGGAAGAAUGAAUCACACACAAUCUUGCACAAUUCCUUGACAUCAACCUUUGGAGAUUUGGAAGCUUGGGUCUCAACCAAAUUCUGUGAUCCACUCACAUCAAACUCUUUCAACCUACUAAAUUCAUGUGGAAAACAAGUCCACACCAUCACAUUAGAUACCACUCUACUUCUCAAAUUCUUACCCAAAAAUAAAAGGAGAGUUGAAAAUUUGGUCAUUUGAAAAAGAGGAAGAAAAAUUCUUGAGAGAGAGUCGACUGAGAAAGUUGUUUAGAGAGAAUCUCUACAAGGAAUUUUUUUUUGAAGCAAAUAUUCCCAAUGUAGGUUUUAUUUAUUCACUUUAUUACUAUAUUUAUUUUUUUUCUUUAUCCUAAACAAUUUAAUCAAUGGAAAAUUUAGUUGAAUAGUGCAUUUGGCUCGGAUUUAUUUCCAAGAAUUCAUACCUCAUACGACAAGUCUUUCGGAUUUGAAUCAUUGUUUUUUUCUCUUUCUAAAGGUUGUGAGAGAAUUUAUUUUCUCUCGCUACUUUUUUGUAUAGUUAUUUCUUUUUCUAAAAAGACAAAUCUUUAGUCUUUUUCUUCUCACUAACAAAAAUAGAGAGAAAGAAAAGUGUUUUGUUUUUUAAUUUUUAACUAUCAUAUAUUUGUUUAAAAUAAUAUUAAAAACAUGACAUUAAUAUAAUUGUGAGAGUAAGAUCAACAAAGUAAAUACAAUAUCAAAUUUGGUCCUAACCUACUAUAAAUUAAUAAAUCCAUAUCCUAAUUUUGGUAGAUAAAAAUAAAUCCUACUCAAAUCUUUUAUAAUGAUUUCAUAUGAGUUAUCUAAUAAAUGCUAAUUACUUCUUCUCUAAUAUUCAAUUUUCUUAUUAUACUUAGACAUUACUAAUGUAAAGUGAGGGUGGUACGUUUCCUUUGACCAAAAUUUGAUAUCAUAUGCAUGUUACAUAUACGUGUGUGCAACAUGUAGAGAGUAGUGAAGGGGUGAACAUAGAUAUUGGGGAGAGAUCUACACAAUCAUGUACCAAAUUUAAAUGAUCCUGGUAAACGAUUGUUUAUAUUCGUAAGGAAAGAGAAAUGACAUGAUACUGGAGAUGACGCCGAAGGUAAGAUAUGACAAAGAAUAAAAAAAUUAUGGAAGAGUCACGAAGAAAUUAUGAAUAAGAAGAUGUGGGAAUAUGGAGAAUGAUUAGGACUAUGAUAUAUGAUACCUAAUAAUAUAAAAAAAAUGUGCAAGCAUAACUCGAAAUUCAAAACUAAUAAAGGUAAAUCUAGAUUUUUUUUGUUACACGGAUCAUAAAUAUUUUUUAGUUUUGUUAUAUAUAUGUGUGUUUAAUUAACCAUUUUUUAUUUAUUCAAUCUAAUUUAAUUUUUGUUUUCAUAUGAUUUUUUUUAUUAAUUCAAAUUUUAUUCUAGUGUUUUUUUUAAUAAUUAUAUAUAUAUAUAUAUAUAUAUAUAUAUAUAUAUAUAUAUGACAACAAAUAUGUGUCAUUUAUAUUGUUCACAAAUGACCUUCUCAUUAACCUCUAUGUGAAAACCUAAAUCACUUAUAUGUGACUCUGCCUUCUAGCCAUCGAUCUAUUUUGCUACUUUGGUGAGUAUUCGAUUAAGUUUUGGUACUUCCAUCAAAUAUCUCAAAUAUCUAUUUUUUUUUAAUUAUCCCAAAAAGUUGAUCUGAUUUUAACCAAAAUUGUAAAUCCCAAAAAGUUGAUUGAUUUUAACCAAAAUUGUUGAUUGAGUUAACUAAGCUAAGACGCAUAACUUGAUUGAUAUGAAUGAUUGAAAUGUUAUGACAAAUGAUAUAUUAAUCACAUGACAACGACGUUCCGAUUGAUAUUUAUGUCAUGUUAUAAUAUGUUACAUGUUAUGGACAAGUGUUCUACUAACUUUAUCUAAUUACAAGUAAUUCCUAAAAAUUUACGGUCUUCAAUUAAUACAAAAUAAAUAAAUUACAACGAUUAAUAUCGAUAAAUUAAAAAUUAAUGAAAACAUAGAUUUUAAAAUUAAAAAAAAGGUUGAAAGAUAGAUUAGUAUUAAAUUAAAAAUGAAAGAAUUUAGUUUUUAAAAAUGAAAAAUAAAAUUCAAAAUGAAUAAAGAUUAAAAAAAAGUAUAAUUUAGUUUUUAAGAAUAAAAUUAAAAUUCACAAAGAUAAAAAGAUUACAUGAAUUUUUAUUAAAAAAGUACAAUUUAGUUUUCAGAAAUGAAAAUUAAGAUUCAAAUAGAAUAAAGAUACAAAAAUUAUAUAAAAAAUAAAGAAAAAAAAGUUGAUUUAGUUUUUUUAAAAAAUCAAAUUGGAAAAAGAAAAUAUAUAUAGAGAGAGGUCCACAAAUUCUUUUAUAAACAAAAAUUAUAGAGUUUGAUAAUCUAAAUAAAUUAGGAACUAAUACACAUUCAAGAAGAUUAUAUUACAAAAAAUAUAUAGUUAAUUUUAAGUUUUAGGUAAAAGUAAUAAAUUGAAUAAAAUUUCAAGUAAAUAUUCAAAUAUUAAAAAUUUAAAUUUUAAAUAUACACGUGCAAUUAAAGACUAGUAAAUAUUCAAAUACUAAACACCCAUAUUUCAUUUGGAUUCAUAAGUAAAGUGUGUAAGAAAAAUUAUGAAGGCAAUGAGAAAGGAAUUGGUAAAUAAUGUGUUGAAACAAAAACGAUAAAUGUAUUAAGCAAUAAAUAAGAACUCAUAACAAGUCGUUUGAAAUAAAACAGCCAUAAAACAUAGAAAUUUCAAAGAUAAAAAUGGAAGACUUGCCACCGCCGAUCAAGCACCCAAUUCUGCGAAAAGCUACUCACCGACCAUGGAGGAAACUUGAAGACAUAACCAACCAGACACACACAACACACAACCCAACAACCACAGAACGUAUUAAUAAGCUUCCAGUCAUCAUGAUGAUUAACAUCAAGCCGUUGGCCGCCAACGGCUACUCGCACCAUUCACUUCCCUGAUUUCUUUGCUGCAGACUUGGUGACCUUGGCGCCGGAUGCAUCCUUCUUCUCAACGGCCUUGAUGACACCAACAGCCACAGUUUGACGCAUGUCCCUCACGGCAAAUCGUCCAAGAGGGGGAUACGCAGAGAAUGUUUCUACCACCAUGGGCUUGGUGGGAAUCAUCUUAACAAAUCCAGCAUCUCCGUUCUUCAAAAACUUGGGCUCUUUCUCCAGUUCUUUACCAGAUCGCCUGUCAAUCUUAGUUAAAAUCUCGGCAAAUUUGACAGCAAUGUGAGAUGUGUGGCAAUCGAGUACAGGUGCAUAACCAUUUCCAAUCUGUCCUGGAUGGUUCAUGAUGAUAACUUGGGACGUGAAAUUGGCAGCUUCCUUGGCAGGAUCAUCCUUGGAAUUUGAGGCAACAUAACCACGCUUGAGAUCCUUCACAGCAACAUUCUUCACGUUGAACCCCACGUUGUCACCAGGGAGAGCUUCUUGGAGAGCUUCGUGGUGCAUCUCCACAGACUUAACUUCAGUAGUCAGUCCAGAUGGAGCAAAGGUUACCACCAUACCAGGCUUUAUAAUGCCAGUUUCAACACGACCCACUGGAACAGUUCCAAUACCUCCAAUCUUGUAGACAUCCUGAAGUGGAAGACGAAGGGGUUUGUCAGAUGGCCUCUUAGGCUCUUGGAUCAGAUCGAGAGCCUCAAGAAGGGUCGGUCCUUGUACCAGUCGAGGUUGGUGGAUCUUUCAAUCAUGUUGUCACCCUCAAAGCCAGAGAUGGGGACGAAGGGAAUUUUUUCUGGGUUGUAGCCAACCUUCUUGAGGUAGGAAGAAACUUCCUUCACAAUUUCAUCGUACCUAGAUUUCGAGUACUUGGGCGUGGUGGCAUCCAUCUGUCACAUAAAUAGCCAAGUCAGUAAGUAACAAAACACGAAAAAACCAGAAUACUAAAGAAUCGGGAUUGACUAUAAACAUUAUCACCUUGUUACAGCAGCAAAUCAUUUGCUUGACACCAAGGGUAAAUGCAAGAAGGGCGUGUUCACGGGUCUGCCCAUCCUUAGAAAUACCAGCUUCAAAACCUCCAGUAGUGGAGUCGAUAAUAAGAACAGCACAGUCAGCCUGGGAAGUACCAGUAAUCAUGUUCUUGAUGAAAUCACGAUGCCCAGGAGCAUCAAUCACAGUGCAGUAAUACUUGGUGGUCUCGAACUUCCACAGAGGAAUAUCAAUUGUGAUACCACGCUCACGUUCGGCCUUCAGUUUGUCCAACACCCAGGCAUACUUGAACGAUCUCUUGUUCAUCUCAGCAGCUUCCUUCUCAAACCUCUCAAUAACACGCUUGUCAAUACCUCCAAGCUUGUAAAUCAAAUGGCCAGUAGUGGUCGACUUGCCAGAGUCGACAUGACCAAUGACCACAAUGUUGAUGUGAGUCUUUUCCUUACCCAUGCUUGAAUAUUAGGUAAAAGAUCUGUGAAACAAGAAAAAGUACGAAAAAUAAAUAAUAAAAAGAGUUGAUAGAAAAUAAGAAAAAGGAAGAUUAAAGAGGCAAAAAAAAAGCUCAUUAUUGAGACUUUCUGAACUUCACAUAUGGUAUUUGUAAAUCUAAAAUACCCACUCUAAUCUAAACCUCUAAACCUCGAUAAUCUAAACCUCUAAACCUCGAUGAUUAUCAAAAAAAAAAUUCUCAGAACUAACAAAUAAAAUAAACUGAAAAACAAAUUAAAAUGAAUCCAAUCCAAUCAGACUAGAUUAAAUGCAGACUAGAUUAAAUGCAGAUCUACAGAAGAUUAUCAACAACAACACUUACGUCGCAAAUAAAAUCGGCCAAUUCAAAACAAAACAAUGACAAAUAUGCAUAAAAGAUAAACAGGAAGAAUAGAAGAAUAAAAGAUAACGAAAAGCUCAUUAAUAAAGAAGUAAUACAAAAUAUAAAACAAAACUAGACUUCAUGAUCUACAAGAGAAGAACAAUAAAACGAAACUAGACUUCAUGAUCUACAAGAGAAGAACAAUAAGAGCUCUAAAAAUCAACAAGAAAAAUGAAGAAAACCUGAGGAGAAAGGUGUGCUGUUAAACCCUUGCGGCGAGAGAUGAGGAAUGAAAACUAGAUUGGAGGGGUUAAUAAUAGGGUUUGAGGAUUGUUAUAUAGUAUGUCUAAACAUGUUUUGUUGACGAAAAUACCCUCAACCAAAUUUCAUAAUUCAGUAGACCUAAACAGUAAAAAGUUGUAUUGAAACAGAAAAAGAUAAACAGUUUAAAAUAUCUCUUCAUUUAUUUGAAAUUAUUAUUUACCAUUACAAAUUUUAUGUUUGUUCACAUCUUCUAAAAAAUUUAGAUAUACAUCUCAAUGUUUAUUUGUUUAUUAUGGUUUAUAAUAAUUUUAUUUGAAAUAAUUAUAAUAGAUAGUAAUUUUAUGAAUAAUAAUUAAAUGUAUAACAAUUAUUUUUAAAAAAUUACAAAUAUAAAAAAGUAUAACAAUUAUUUUUAAAAAAUUACAAAUAUAAAAAAGUAUAUUUAGAGUGAACUUAUUUUAGUCGUAUCAGUUAUAAUAAUAUUGGUUGGGUUGAGAAUGUCUUCCAACCUAACCUAACCUAAUCUGAUUUAACUCCUACUUAUCGUUAACUUUUGGUUUUUCUUUUUAUAGGAUUAUAGUGGAAACCUGAGCUUAUUCUUUACAUAUUCUACAGCUUCUCAUUUUAGUGGAAAAUUUGAAUAAAGAGUUCAUAUCAAAUUAAACAAUUUGUUAAAAUAAUAAAGUUUAAAUAAAUGUGAUUUGAAAUAAAUUUAAUUUAUAGAAAAAAAACUAUAAUUUAAAAUAUAUUUUCUAGGAUGAAAGGUGAUGUUAUAUGGGAGUGAACUAUAUUUUCCAUCUAUAAGUUUUGUUUAUAAUUAGUACAUGGAUGUUAAUAAUUUUUUAUGAAUAUAUAAAUAAAUAUUGAUUUUAAUGAUAAAAAGUCCAUUCUUAUUUAAACAUAUACCUAAAUUUUAUAAUAAUUUUGUUUAGAGUUUUUAUCGAAUAUUAAUUACUUUUAUGAAAAUAAAAUAAUUUUAAUGAAAAAUCUAUUCUUAUUUAUAAUAAUUAUAAAUAUAACAAAAUAUUAAUAUAUUAAUAUGUACCAUCGAUAUAACAAAAUAAAAAAACUUAAGAAGUGGACCAUUUUUUAAAAUCCCAACAGGUUUGCUUUUUCUUUUUAUCUUUUUUCUUCGAUUUUUUUUUAUAUUUUUUGAAAUCAUAAUAUUUGAUCAAAAUAAUUUUUUAUUAUUUUUUUCGAGUGUUACUAGUUUAAGAUUGUGUACCAAAUAAAUGAAAUGUUGGUAUAUUUAGAUUUUGAAAAAUUAUUGUUCAUAUUGGUACAAAAUCUUAGAUUUGAGUAGCGAAAUCUAAGCUAUAUGAUAAUGAAUUUUGAAAAAAAAAUGCAAAUCUAACUAUCAUUGUGUACCAAAUCUAAACAAAUCAUGUACGGAAUAUUUACCAUACAUUCUUUCCAAACUAAAAUUUUAAGGUAAAUAUUAAUAUAAUCUUAAAGAGUUGUAUCAAUUAAAAGACUAAAUUAAUAAUUGUAACAACUUAACUCUUUAAGUUUAGAAAGUAACCAUCCAUUUCAGAUCUUGUUCAACUAAUAUGGUGUGGCAUUAAACUCUUAAAAUUUUAUACGUUGGUAAAUUUAGAUAUUUCUUUUUAAUUAUCUUAAAAUGCCACAUAUAUGUACUACUUUGGAAAGAAUUUUGAAUUAUGAUUAAGUAUUAGGAUAUAUACUCAUGUAUGUGGUUUAUACAUAUAUACUCAUGUAUUAAGAAAAAUGUUUUAUCCUUACUUUGUAUAAAAGUUUGUAAUAAUUAAUAUACAAAUCAAAUGUUGAAAUAUGUUUCCUAAUAUUACGAGUCUAAGGUCGUGUGUGUGAUUUUUUAACAUUUUCGGUUUUUAAUUUUGAAAAACAAUUCAUCUUGAAAAAAAAAUUAUUCAAAAAAUAUAUUUUUGCAACAUUUUCAAAAUUAUUUUAAAUAUUUUUUAUCAAAAGUAUUUAGAAAAUGAAAAUUAGGAUAAAUGAUAAAAACAAUAAAAAUAUUUACAAAAUUUAAUAUUUACUAAAUCUUUACUCGAUAUUUUAUCUCUAUGUCUUGAAAAAUACAUUAAAAUUUAGUCCAUAUAUUUGAUGAGUAGGACUUAGUUUCUAUACUUUUUGAUCAAACUCUCAUAAAUAGUCCUUAAAUUUAUAAUGAUUUUAUUAAAACUUUGGGAAAAGACUUCAUCAAACAUAAAGAUUGGAUUUAAAUUUUCUCUAAAUUAAAGUGUAUAUGACCCAAUCAAUAAUGUAAUUUAGUCUUACUUGACUUUAAAACCAUAAAUUAUGGGUAGAAUUAGAAGUAAACAAUAAUAGCAUAGCAAAUGAAAUCAAACUCAAAGUUAACCCAACAAAAGUUCACUUAUACAAGUACUCAAACCAUCCCCACCAAAUAAUGUAUCCAAUAGAUCACUUAUGAAAAACAUCCCACCAACGAAAAUAAAAAUUGUAUAGCAAUAACCUAUAAGACAACAAGAGAAACAGC